rnacentral:lncRNA from 1 species
CCCGUUUCUUCUCUAGCCUGAGCCUGACACACUAUUCUAGCUAGACAUGGGUGUGGCUCGUAACACCUAAUGACCAAACGGAUCUACGGCACCGUUGAAUCUCAAACUUUAACUGCCAAAACUAUUGUUUUUCAUUAUGUAGUCCCUUUUAAAUUACUAAACGUCAUUUUUUGGGCUGAGAUAUCCAGGAAAGCUUUCUCGGGGUUUGUGUGCACGUAUUUCAAAUCAUACGGACCUAAAAAUUAGAAGUCAUUCCAUAUUUAUUCCCCUAGAGCCUUCCAGAAAUUCCUAAACCGCUCCAGUUGGACCACGUUAUCAUUCUUGUUAGUUCUGAGUGAAUUACCUCAGUAUGAUCAUUCUUUCAUCAGUUUGUUCCCCGUUUCUUCUAUAGUCUGAGCCUAGCACACUACUCUAGCUAGACAUGGGUGUGGCUCGUAACACCUGAUGACCAAACAGAUCUACGACACCGUCAAAUCUCAAACUUUAACUGCCAAAACUAUUGUUUUUCAUCCUGUAGUCCCUUUUAGAAUUACUAAACGUCCUUUUUUGGGCUGAGAUUUCCAGGAACGCUUUCGCGGGGUUUGUGUGCACGUAUUUUAAACCAUACGGACCUAAAAAUUAGAAGUCAUUCCAUCUUUAUUCCCCUAGAGCCUAACACACUAUUAUAGCUAGACAUGGGUGUGGCUCGUAACACCUGAUGACCAAACGGAUCUACGGCACCAUCGAAUCUCAAACUUUAACUGCCAAAACUAUUGUAUUUCAUCAUGUAGUCCCUUUUAGAAUUAUUAAACGUCCUUUUUUUGGGCCGUGAUUUCCAUGAACGCUUUCUCGGGGUUUCUGUGCACGUAUUUCAAAUCAUACAGACCUAAAAAUUAGAAGGCAUUUCAUCUUUAUUCCCCUAGAGCCUUCCAGCAGUUCCUAAACCGCUCCAGUCGGACCAUGUUAUCAUUCUUGUUAGUUCUGAGUGAAUUCCCUCGAUAUGAUCAUUCUUUCAUCAGUUUGUUCCCCGUUUCUUCUCUAGUCUGAGCCUAGCUCACUAUUCUAGCUAGAUAUGGGUGUGGCUCAUAAUACCCGAUGACCAAACGGAUCUACGGCACCAUCGAAUCUCAAACUUUAGCUGCCAAAACUAUUGUUUUUCAUCCUGUAGUCCCUUUUAGAAUUACUAAACGUCCUUUUUUGGGCCGGGAUUUCCAGGAGCGCUUUCUCGGGGUUUGUGUGCACGUAUUUCAAACCAAGCGUUCCUAAAAAUUAGAAGUCAUUUGAUCUUUAUUCCCCUAGAGCCUUCCAGCAGUUCCUAAACCGCUCCAGUCGGCGCACGUUAUCAUUCUUGUUAGUUCUGAGCGAAUUCCCUCGGUAUGAUCAUUCUUUCAUCAGUUUGUUCCUCGUUUCUUCUCUAGUCUGAGCCUAGCACACUAUUCUAGCUAGACAUGGGUGUGGGUCAUAACACCUGAUGACCAAACCGAUCUACGGCACCAUCGAAUCUCAAACUUUAACUACCAAAACUAUUGUUUUUCAUCCUGUAGUCCCUUUUAGAAUUACCAAACGUCCUUUUUUGGGCCGAGAAUUCCAAGAAUGCUUUCUCGGGGUUUGUGUGCACAUAUUUCAAACCAAACAUUCCUAAAAAUUAGAAAUCAUUCCAUCUUUAUUCCCCAAGAGCCUUCCAGCAGUUCCUAAACAGCUCCACUCAGAGCACGUUGUCAUUCUUGUUAGUUCUGAGCGAAUUCCCUCGGUAUGAUCAUUCUUUCAUCAGUUUGUUCCCUGUUUCUUCUCUAGUCUGAGCCUCGCACACUAUUCUAGCUAUUAAUGGGUGUGGAUCGUAACUCCUGAUGACCAAACGGAUCUACGGCACCGUCGAAUCUCAAACUUUAACUGCCAAAACUACUGUUUUUCAUUCUGUAGUCCCUCUUAAAUUACUAAACGUCAUUUUUUGGGCUGAGAUAUCCAGGAACGCUUUCUCGGGGUUUGUGUGCACGUAUUUCAAAUCAUACGGACCUAAAAAUUAGAAGUCAUUCCAUCUUUAUUCCCCUAGAGCCUUCCAGCAGUUCCUAAACCACUCCAGUCGGAGCACGUUAUCAUUAUUGUUAGUUCCGAGUGAAUUCCCUUGGCAUGAUCUUUCUUUCAUCAGUUUGUUCCCCGUUUCUUCUCUAGUGUUAGCCUAUCACACUAUUCUAGCUAGACAUGGGUGUGGCUCGUAACACCUGAUGACCAAACGGAUCUACGGCACCGUCGAAUUUCAAACUUUAACUGCCAAAACUAUUGUUUUUCCUCCUGUAGUCCCUUUUAGAAUUACUAAAUGUCCUUUUUUGGGCCGAGAUUUCCAGGAAUGCUUUCUCGGGGUUUGUGUGCAUGUAUUUCAAACCAUACGGACCUAAAAAUUAGGUCAUUCCAUAUUUAUUCCCCUAGAGCCUUCCAGCAGUUCCUAAACAUCUCCAGUCGGAGCACGUUAUCAUUCUUGUUUGUUCUGAGCGAAUUCCCUCAGUAUGAUCAUUCUUUCAUCAUUUUGUGCCCUGUUUCUUCUCUAGUCUGAGCAUAGCACACUAUUCUAGCUAGACAUGGGUGUGGCUCGUAACACCUGAUGACCAAACGGAUGUACGACACCGUCGAAUCUCAAACUUUAACUGCCAAAACUAUUGUUUUUCAUCCUGUAGUCCCUUUUAAAUUUACUAAAUGUCCUUUUUGGGCUGAGAUUUCCAGGAACGCUUUCGUGCGGUUUGUGUGCAAGUAUUUCUAAUCAUACGGACCUAUAAAUUAGAAGUCAUUCCAUCUUUAUUCCCCUAGAGCCUUCGAGCAGUUCCUAAACCGCGCCAGCCGGAGCAUGUUAUCAUUCUUGUUAGUUCUGAGUGAAUUCCCUCGGUAUGAUCAUUCUUUCAUCAGUUUGUUCCCCGUUUCUUCUCUAGUCUGAGCCUAGCACACUACUCUAGCUAGACAUGGGUUUGGCUCGUAACACCUGAUAACCAAACAGGUCUACGACUCCAUCGAAUCUCAAACUUUUUUGGGCCGAGAUUUCCAGGAACGCUUUCUCGGGGUUUGUGUGCACGUAUUUCAAAUCAUGCGGACCUAAAAAUUAGAAGUCAUUCCAUAUUUAUUACCCUAGAGCCUUCCAGCAGUUCCUAAACCGCUCCAGUCGGAGCAUGUUAUCAUUCUCUUUAGUUCUCAGGGAAUUCCCUCGGUAUGAUCAUUCUUUCAUCAGUUUAUUCCCUGUUUUUUCUCUAGCAUGAGCCUAACACACUAUUCUAGCUACACAUGGGUGUGGCUCGUAACACCUGAUGACCAAACGGAUCUACGGCACCGUCGAAUCUCAAACUUUAACUGCCAAAACUAUUGUUUUCGUCCUGUAGUCCCUUUUAGAAUUACUAAACGUCCUUUUUUGGGCCGAGAUUUCCAGGAACGCUUUCUCGGGGUUUGUGUGCACGUAUUUCAAAUCAUACGGACCUAAAAAUUAGAAGUCAUUCCAUCUUUAUUCCCCUAGAGCCUUCCAGCAGUUCCUAAACAGCUCUAGUCGGAGCAAGUUAUCAUUCUUGUUAGUUCUGAGCGAAUUCCCUCGGUAUGAUCAUUCUUUCAUUAGUUUGUUCUGCGUUUCUUCUCUAGUCUGAGCCUAGCACACUAUUCUAGCUAUUAAUGGGUGUGGAUCGUAACACCUAAUGACCAACGGAUCUACGGCACCAUCGAAUCUCAAACUUUAACUGCCAAAACUAUUAUUUUUCAUCCUGUAGUCCCUUUAAAAAUUAUUAAAUGUCAUUUUUUGGGCCGAGAUUUCCAGGAACGCUUUCUCGGGGUUUGUGUGCAUGUAUUUCAAGUCAUACGGACCUAAAAAUUAGAAUCCAUUCCAUCUUUAUUCCCCUAGAGCCUUGCAGCAGUUCCUAAACCGCUCCAGUCGGAGCACGUUAUCAUUAUUGUUAGUUCUGAGUGAAUUCCCUCGGUAUGAUUAUUCUUUCAUCAGUUUGUUCCCCAUUUCUUCUCUAGUCUGAGCCUAACACACUAUUCUAGCUAGACAUGGGUGUGGCUCGUAAUACCUGAUGACCAAACGGAUCUACAGCACCGUCGAAUCUCAAACUUUAACUACGAAAACUAUUGUUUUUCAUUCUAUAGUCCCUUUCAGAAUUACUAAACGUCCUUUUUUGGGCCGAGAUUUCCAGGAACGCUUUCUCGGGGUUUGAGUGCGCGUAUCUAACAAUACAGACCUAAAGAUUAGAAUUCAUUCCAUCUUUAUUCCCCUAGAGCCUUCCAGCAGUUCCUAAACUGCUCCAGUCGGAGCACGUUAUCAUUCUUGUUAGUUCUCAGGGAAUUCCCUCGGUAUGAUCAUUCUUUCAUCAGUUUGUUCCCCGUUUCUUCUCUAGCAUGAGCCAAACACACUAUUCUAGCUACACAUGGGUGUGCCUCGUAACACCUGAUGACCAAACGGAUCUACGGCACCGUCGAAUCUCAAACUUUAACUGCCAAAAUUAUUGUUUUUCAUCUUGUAGUCCCUUGUAGAAUUACUAAACGUCCUUUUUUGGGCCGAGAUUUCGAGAAACACUUUGUCAGGGUUUGUUUGCACGUAUUUCAAACCAUACGGACCUAAAAAUUAGAAGUCAUUCCAUCUUUGUUCCCCUAGAGCCUUCCAGCAGUUCCUAAACCGCUCCAGUCGGAGCAUGUUAUCAUUCUUGUUAGUUCUGAGCAAAUUCCCUCGGUAAGAUCAUUCUUUCAUCAGUUUGUUCCCUGUUUCUUCUCUAGCCUGAGCCUGACACACUAUUCUAGCUAGACAUGGGCGUGGCUCGUGACACCUGAUGACCAAACGGAUCUACGGCACCGUCGAAUCUCAAACUUUAACUACCAAAACUAUUGUUUUUCAUUCUGUAGUCCCUUUUAAAUUACUAAACGUCAUUUUUUCGGCCGAGAUUUCCAGGAACGCUUUCUUGUGGUUUGUGUGCAUGUAUUUCAAAUCAUACGGACCUAAAAAUUGGAAUCCAUUCCAUCUUUAUUCCCCUAGAGCCUUCCAGCAGUUCCUAAUCCGCUCCAGUCGGAGCACGUUAUCAUUGUUGUUAGUUCUGAGUGAAUUCCCUCGGUAUGAUCAUUCUUUCAUCAGUUUGUUCCCUGUUUCUUCUCUAGUCUGAGCCUAACACACUAUUCUAGCUAGACAUGGGUGUGGCUCGUAACACCCGAUGACCAAACGGAUCUACGGCACCGUCGAAUCUCAAACUUUAACUGCGAAAACUAUUGUUUUUCAUCCUGUAGUCCUUUUUAGAAUUACUAAACGUCCUUUUUUGGGACGAGAUUUCCAGGAACGCUUUCUCGGGGUUUGUGUGCGCGUAUUUCAAACCAUACGAACCUUAAAAUUAGAAUUCAUUCCAUCUUUAUUCCCCUAGAGCCUUCCAGCAGUUCCUAAACCGCUCCAGUCGGAGCACGUUAUCAUUCUUGUUAGUUCUGAGCAAAUUCCCUCGGUAUGAUCAUUCUUUCAUCAGUUUGUUCCCCGUUUCUUCUCUAGUCUGAGCCUAGCACACUAUUCUAGCUAUUAGUGGGUGUGGAUCGUAACACCUAAUGACCAAACGGAUCUAUGGCACCAUCGAAUCUCAAACUUUAACUGCCAAAACUAUUGUUUUUCAUCCUGUAGUCCCUUUUACAAUUAUUAAACGUCCUUUUUUGGGCCGAGAUUUCCAGGAACGCUUUCUCGGGGUUUGUGUGCAUGUAUUUCAAACCAAACGUUCCUAAAAAUUUGAAGGCAUUCCAUCUUUAUUCCCCUAGAGCCUUCCAGCAGUUCCUAAACCGCUCCAGUCGGAGCACGUUACCAUUCUUGUUAGUUCUGAGCGAAUUCCCUCGGUAUGAUCAUUUUUUCAUCAGUUUUUUCCCUGUUUCUUCUCUAGUCUGAGCCUCGCACACUAUUCUAGCUAUUAAUGGGUGUGGAUCGUAACACCUGAUGACCAAACGGAUCUACGGCACCGUCGAAUCUCAAACUUUAACUGCCAAAACUACUGUUUUUCAUUCUGUAGUCCAUUUUAAAUUACUAAACGUCAUUUUUGGGGCCGAUAUUUCCAGGAACGCUUUCUCGGGGUUUGUGUGCACGUAUUUCAAAUCAUACGGACCUAAAAAUUAGAAGUCAUUCCAUCUUUAUUCCCCUAGAGCCUUCCAGCAGUUCCUAAACCACUCCAGUCGGAGCAUGUUAUCAUUAUUGUUAGUUCUGAGUGAAUUCCCUCGGUAUGAUCAUUCUUUCAUCAGUUUGUUCCCCGUUUCUUCUCUAGUCUGAGCCUAUCAUACUAUUCUAGCUAGACAUGGGUGUGGCUCGUAACAUCUGAUGACCAAACGGAUCUAUGGCACCGUCGAAUCUCAAACUUUAACUGCCAAAACUAUUGUUUUUCAUCCAGUAGUCCCUUUUAGAAUUACUAAAUGUCCUUUUUUGGGCCGAGAUUUCCAGGAACGCUUUCUCGGGGUUUGUGUGCAUGUAUUUAAAACCAUACGGACCUAAAAAUUAGGUCAUUCCAUCUUUAUUCCCCUAGAGCCUUCCAGCAGUUCCUAAACCGCUCCAGUCGGAGCACGUUAUCAUUCUUGUUUGUUCUGAGCGAAUUCCCUCAGUAUGAUCAUUUUUCAUCAUUUUGUUCCCCGUUUCUUCUCUAGUCUGAGCCUAGCACACUAUUCUAGCUAGACAUGGGUGUGGCUCGUAACACUUGAUGACCAAAGGAUCUACGGCACCGUCGAAUCUCAAACUUUAACUGCCAAAACUAUUGUUUUUCAUCGUGUAGUCCCUUUGAAAUUUACUAAACGUCCUUUUUUGGGCUGAGAUUUCCAGGAAAGCUUUCGUGCGGUUUGUGUGCAAGUAUUUCAAAUCAUACGGACCUAUAAAUUAGAAGUCAUUCCAUCUUUAUUCCCCUAGAGCCUUCGAGCGGUUCCUAAACCGCUCCAGUCGGAGCAUGUUAUCAUUCUUGUUAGUUCUGAGUGAAUUCCCUCGGUAUGAUCAUUCUUUCAUCAGUUUGUUCCCCGUUUCUUCUCUAGUCUGAGCCUAGCACACGACUCUAGCUAGACAUGGGUUUGGCUCGUAACACCUGAUAACCAAAUGGCUCUAUGACACCAUCGAAUCUCAAACUUCUUUGGGCUGAGAUUUCCAUGAACGCUUUCUCGGGGUUUGUGUGCACGUAUUUCNNNNNNNNNNNNNNNNNNNNNNNNNNNNNNNNNNNNNNNNNNNNNNNNNNNNNNNNNNNNNNNNNNNNNNNNNNNNNNNNNNNNNNNNNNNNNNNNNNNNNNNNNNNNNNNNNNNNNNNNNNNNNNNNNNNNNNNNNNNNNNNNNNNNNNNNNNNNNNNNNNNNNNNNNNNNNNNNNNNNNNNNNNNNNNNNNNNNNNNNNNNNNNNNNNNNNNNNNNNNNNNNNNNNNNNNNNNNNNNNNNNNNNNNNNNNNNNNNNNNNNNNNNNNNNNNNNNNNNNNNNNNNNNNNNNNNGUAUUUCAAAUCAUGCGGACCUAAAAAUUAGAAGUCAUUCCAUAUUUAUUCCCCUAGAGCCUUCCAGCAGUUCCUAAACUGCUCCAGUCGGAGCAUGUUAUCAUUCUUGUUUGUUCUCAGGGAAUUCCAUCGGUAUGAUCAUUCUUUCAUCAGUUUGUUCCCCGUUUUUUCUCUAGCCUGAGCCUAACACACUAUUCUAGCUACACAUGGGUGUGGCUCGUAACACCUGAUGACCAAACGGAUCUACGACACCGUCGAAUCUGAAACUUUAACUGCCAAAACUAUUGUUUUUCAUCCUGUAGUCCCUUUUAGAAUUAGUAAACGUCCUUUUUUGGGCCAAGAUUUCCAGGAACGCUUUCUCGGGGUUUGUGUGCACGUAUUUCAAAACAUACGGACCUAAAAAUUAGAAGUCAUUCCAUCUUUAUUCCCCUAGAGCCUUCCAGCAGUUCCUAAACUGCUCUAGUCGGAGCAUGUUAUCAUUCUUGUUAGUUCUGAGUGAAUUCCCUCGGUAUGAUCAUUCUUUCAUAAGUUUGUUCCCCAUUUCUUCUCUAGUCUGAGCCUAGCACACUAUUCUAGAUAGACAUGGGUGUGGGCCAUAACACCUGAUGACCAAACGGAUCUACGGCACCCUCGAAUCUCAAACUUUAACUGCCAAAACUAUUGUUUUUCAUCUUGUAGUCCCUUUUAGAAUUACUAAACGUCCUUUUUUGGGCCGAGAUUUCCAGGAACGCUUUCUCGGGGUUUGUGUGCAUGUAUUUCAAACCAAACGUUCCUAGAAAUUAGAAGUCAUUCCAUGUUUAUUCCCCUAGAGCCUUCCAGCAGUUCCUAAACAGCUCUAGUCGAAGCACGUUAUCAUUCUUGUUAGUUCUGAGCGAAUUCCCUCGGUAUGAUCAUUCUUUCAUCAGUUUGUUUUGCGUUUCUUCUCUAUUCUGAGCCUAGCAAACUAUACUAGCUAUUAAUGGGUGUGGAUCGUAACACCUAGUGACCAAACGGAUCUACGGCACCAUCGAAUCUCAAACUUUAACUGCCAAAACUAUUAAACGUCCUUUUUUGGGCCGAGAUUUCCAGGAACGCUUUCUCGGGGUUUGUGUGCAUGUAUUUCAAAUCAUACGGACCUAAAAAUUAGAAGGCAUUCCAUCUUUAUUCCCCUAGAGCCUUCCAGUAGUUCCUAAACCACCCCAGUCGGAGCACGUUAUCAUUCUUGUUAGUUCUGAGCGAAUUCCCUUGGUAUGAUCAUUCUUUCAUCAGUUUGUUCCCUGUUUCUUCUCUAGCCUGAGCCUGACACACUAUUCUAGCUAGACAUGGGUGUGGCUCGUGACACCUAAUGAGCAAACGGAUCUACGGCACCGUCGAAUCUCAAACUUUAACUACCAAAACUAUUGUUUUUCAUUCUGUAGUCCCUUUUAAAUUACUAAACAUCAUUUUUUGGGCCGAGAUUUCCAGGAACGCUUUCUCGGGGUUUGUGUGCAUGUAUUUCAAUUCAUACGGACCUAAAAAUUAGAGUCCAUUCCAUCUUUAUUCCCCUAGAGCCUUCCAACAGUUCCUAAACCGCUCCAGUCGGAGCACGUUAUCAUUAUUGUUAGUUCUGAGUGAAUUCCCUCGGUAUGAUCAUUCUUUCAUCAGUUUGUUCCCGUUUCUUCUCUAGUCUGAGCCUAACACACUAUUCUAGCUAGACAUGGGUGUGGCUCGUAACACCUGAUGACCAAACGGAUCUACGGCACCGUCGAAUCUCAAACAUUAACUACGAAAACUAUUGUUUUUCAUUCUAUAGUCCCUUUUAGAAUUACUAAGCGUCCUUUUUUGGGCUGAGAUUUCCAGGAACGCUUUCUCGGGGUUUGUGUGCACGUAUUUCAAACAAUACGGACCGAAAAAUUAGAAUUCAUUCCAUCUUUAUUCCCCUAGAGCCUUCUAGCAGUUCCUAAAUCGCUCCAGUCGGAGCACGUUAUCAUUCUUGUUAGUUCUCAGGGAAUUCCCUCGGUAUGAUCAUUCUUUCAUCAGUUUGUUCCCCGUUUCUUCUCUAGCCUGAGCCUAACACACUAUUCUAGCUACACAUGGGCAUGGCUCGUAACACCUGAUGACCAAAUGGAUCUACGACACCGUCGAAUCUCAAACUUUAACUGCCAAAACUAUUGUUUUUCAUCCUGUAGUCCCUUGUAGAAUUACUAAACGUCCUUUUUUGGGCCGAGAUUUCGAGGAACGCUUUGUCGGGGUUUGUGUGCACAUAUUUCAAACCAUACGGACCUAAAAAUUAGAAGUCAUUCCAUCUUUGUUCCCCUAGAGCCUUCCAGCAGUUCCUAAACCGCUCCAGUCGGAGCACGUUAUCAUUCUUGUUAGUUAUGAGCAAAUUCCCUCGGUAUGUACAUUCUUUCAUCAGUUUGUUCCGUGUUUCUUCUCUAGCCUGAGCUUGACACACUAUUCUAGCUAGACAUGGGUGUGGCUCGUGACACCUAAUGACCAAACGGAUCUACGGCACCGUCGAAUCUCAAACUUUAACUACCAAAACUAUUGUUUUUCAUUCUGUAGUCCCUUUUAAAUUACUAAACGUCCUUUUUUGGGCCGAGAUUUCCAGGAACGCUUUCGCCCGGUUUGUGUGCAAGUAGUUCAAAUCAUACGGACCUAAAAAUUAGAUGUCAUUCCAUCUUUAUUCCCUCUAGAGCCUUCCAGCACUUCCUAAACCGCUCUAGUCGGAGCACGUUAUCAUUCUUGUUAGUUCUGAGUGAAUUCCCUUGGUAUGAUCAUUCUUUCAUCAGUUUGUUCUCCAUUUCUUCUCUAGUCUGAGCCUAACACACUACUCUAGCUAGACAUGGGUGUGGCUCAUAACACCUCAUGACCAAACAGGUCUACGGCACCAUCAAAUCUCAAACUUUAACUGCCAAAACUAUUGUUUUUCAUUCUGUAGUCCAUUUUAGAAUUACUAAACGUCCUUUUUUGGGACGAGAUUUCCAGGAACGCUUUCUCGGGGUUUGUGUGCACGUAUUUCAAAUCAUACAGACCUAAAAAUUAGAAGUCAUUCCAUCUUUAUUCCCCUAGAGCCUUCCAGCAGUUCCUAAACCGCUCCAGUCAGAGCAUGUUAUCAUUCUUGGUAGUUCUGAGUGAAUUCCCUCGGUAUGAUCAUUCUUUCAUCAGUUUGUUCCCCGUUUCUUCUCUAGCCUGAGCCUAACACACUAUUCUAGCUAGACAUGUGUGUGGCUCGUAACACCUGUUGACCAAACGGAUCUACGGCACCGUCGAAUCUCAAAUUUUAACUGCCAAAACUAUUGUUUUUCAUCUUGUAGUCCCUUUUAGAAUUACUAAACGUCCUUUUUUGGGCCGAGAUUUCCAGGAACGCCUUCUCGGGGUUUGUUUGCACGUAUUUCGAACCAUAUGGACCUAAAAAUUAGAAGUCAUUCCAUAUUUAUUCCCCUAUAGCCUUCCCGCAGUUUCUAAACCGCUCCAGUCGAAGCAUGUGAUCAUUCUUGUUAGUUCUGAGUGAAUUCCCUCGGUAUGAUCAUUCUUUCAUCAGUUUGUUCCCUGUUUCUUCUCUAGCCUGAGCCUGACACACUAUUCUAGCUAGACAUGGGUGUGGCUCAUGACACUUGAUGACCAAACGGAUCUACGGCACCGUUGAAUCUCAAACUUUAACUACCAAAACUAUUGUUUUUCAUUCUGUAGUCCCUUUUAAAUUACUAAACGUCAUUUUUUGGGCCGAGAUUUCCAGGAACGCUUUCUCGGGGUCUGUGUGCAUGUAUUUCAAAUCAUACGGACCUAAAAAUUAGAAUCCAUUCCAUCUUUAUUCCCCUAGAGCCUUCGAGCAGUUCCUAAACCGCUCCAGUUGGAGCACGUUAUCAUUAUUGUUAGUUGUGAGUGAAUUCCCUCGGUAUGAUCAUUCUUUCAUCAGUUUGUUCCCUGUUUCUUCUCUAGUCUGAGCCUAACACACUAUUCUAGCUAGACAUGGGUGUGGCUCGUAACACCCGAUGACCAAACGGAUCUACGGCACCGUCGAAUCUCAAACUUUAACUGCGAAAACUAUUGUUUUUCAUCCUGUAGUCCUUUUUAGAAUUACUAAACGUCCUUUUUUGGGACGAGAUUUCCAGGAACGCUUUCUCGGGGUUUGUGUGCGCGUAUUUCAAACCAUACGAACCUUAAAAUUAGAAUUCAUUCCAUCUUUAUUCCCCUAGAGCCUUCCAGAAGUUCCUAAACCGCUCCAGUCGGAGCACGUUAUCAUUCUUGUUAGUUCUGAGCGAAUUCCCUCGGUAUGAUCAUUCUUUCAUCAGUUUGGCCCCCCUUUCUUCUCUAUUCUGAGCCUAGCACACUAUUCUAGCUAUUAAUGGGUGUGGAUCGUAACACCUAAUGACCAAACGGAUCUACGACACCAUCGAAUCGCAAUCUUUAACUGCCAAAACUAUUGUUUUUCAUCCUGUAGUCCCUUUUACAAUUAUUAAACGUCCUAUUUUGGGCCGAGAUUUCCAGGAACGCUUUCUCGGGGUUUGUGUGCAUGUAUUUCAAAUCAUACGGACCUAAAAGUUUGAAGGCAUUCCAUCUUUAUUCCCCUAGAGCCUUCCAGCAGUUCCUAAACCGCUCCAGUCGGAUCACGUUAUCAUUAUUGUUAGUUCUGAGCAAAUUCCCUCGGUAUGAUCAUUCUUUCAUCAGUUUGUUCCCUGUUUCUUCUCUAACCUGAGCAUGACACACUAUUCUAGCUAGACAUGGGUGUGGCUCGUGACACCUGAUGACCAAACGGAUCUACGGCACCGUCGAAUCUCAAACUUUAACUGCAAAAACUAUUGUUUUUCAUUCUAUAGUCCCUUUUAAAUUACUAAACGUCCUUUUUUGGGCCGAGAUUUCCAGGAACGCUUUCGCCCGGUUUGUGUGCAAGUAUUUCAAAUCAUACGGACCUAAAAAUUAGAUGUCAUUCCAUCUUUAUUCCCUCUAGAGCCUUCCAGCACUUCCUAAACCGCUCUAGUCGGAGCACGUUAUCAUUCUUGUUAGUUCUGAGUGAAUUCCCUUGGUAUGAUCAUUCUUUCAUCAGUUUGUUCUCCAUUUCUUCUCUAGUCUGAGCCUAGCACACUACUCUAGCUAGACAUGGGUGUGGCUCAUAACACCUGAUGACCAAACGGAUCUACGGCACCGUCGAAUCUCUAACUUUAACUGCAAAAACUAUUGUUUUUCAUCCUGUAGUCCCUUUUAGAAUUACUAAACGUCCUCUUUUGGGCCGAGAUUUCCAAGAACGCUUUCUCAGGGUUUGUGUGCGUGUAUUUCAAAGCAUAUGGACCUAAAAAUUAGAAUUCAUUCCAUCUUUAUUCCCCUAGAGCCUUCCAGCAGUUCCUAAACCGCUCCACUCGGAUUACGUUAUCAUUCUUGUUAGUUCUGAGCGAAUUCCCUCGGUAUGAUCAUUCUUUCAUCAGUUUGUUCCCCGUUUCUUCUCUAGUCCGAGCCUAGCACACAAUUCUAGCUAGACAUGGGUGUGGCUCGUAUCACCUGAUGACCAAACGGAUCUACGGCACCGUCGAAUCUCAAAUUUAACUGCCAAAACUAUUAUUUUUCAUCCUGUAGUCCCUUUUAGAAUUACUAAACGUCCUUUUUUGGGCCGAGAUUUCCAGGAACGCUUUCGCGCGGUUUGUGUGCAAGUAUUUCAAAUCAUACGGACCUAAAAAUUAGAUGUCAUUCCAUCUUUAUUCCCCUAGAGCCUUCCAGCACUUCCUAAACCGCUCCAGUCGGAGCACGUUAUCAUUCUUGUUAGUUCCGAGUGAAUUCCCUUGGUAUGAUCAUUCUUUCAUCAGUUUGUUCUCCAUUUCUUCUCUAGUCUGAGCCUAGCACACUACUCUAGCUAGACAUGGGUGUGGCUCAUAAGACCUCAUGACCAAACGGGUCUACGGCACCAUCAAAUCUCAAACUUUAACUGCUAAAACUAUUGUUUUUCAUUCUGUAGUCCCUUUUAGAAUUACUAAACAUCCUUUUUUGGGCCGAGAUUUCCAGGAACGCUUUCUCGGGGUUUGUGUGCAUGUAUUUCAAAUCAUACAGACCUAGAAAUUAGAAGUCAUUCCAUCUUUAUUCCCCUAGAGCCUUCCAGCAGUUCCUAAACCGCUCCAGUCAGAGCAUGUUAUCAUUCUUGGUAGUUCUGAGUGAAUUCCCUCGGUAUGAUCAUUCUUUCAUCAGUUUGUUCCCCGUUUCUUCUCUAGCCCGAGCCUAACACACUAUUCUAGCUAGACAUGUGUGUGGCUCGUAACACCUGAUGACCAAACGGAUCUACGGCACCGUCGAAUCUCAAACUUUAUCUGCCAAAACUAUUGUUUUUCAUCUUGUAGUCCCUUUUAGAAUUACUAAACGUCCUUUUUUGGGCCGAGAUUUCCAGGAAUGCUUUCUCGGGGUUUGUUUGCAUGUAUUCCAAACCAUACAGACCUAAAAAAUUAGAAGUCAUUCCAUAUUUAUUCCCCUAUAGCCUUCCAGCAGUUUGUAAACCGCUCCAGUCGGAGCAUGUUAUCAUUCUUGUUAGUUCUGAGUGAAUUCCCUCGGUAUGAUCAUUCUUUCAUCAGUUUGUUCCCUGUUUCUUCUCUAGCCUGAGCCUGACACACUAUUCUAGCUAGACAUGGGUGUGGCUCAUGACACCUGAUGACCAAACGGAUCUACGGCACCGUCGAAUCUCAAACUUUAACUACCAAAACUAUUGUUUUUCAUUCUGUUGCCCCUUUUAAAUUACAAAACGUCAUUUUUUGGGCCGAGAUUUCCAGGAACGCUUUCUCGGGGUUUGUGUGCAUGUAUUUCAAGUCAUACGAACCUAAAAAUUAGAAUACAUUCCAUCUUUAUUCCCCUAGAGCCUUCCAGCAGUUCCUAAACCGCUCCAGUCAGAGCACGUUAUCAUUCUUGUUAGUUCUCAGGGAAUUCCCUCGGUAAGACCAUUCUUUCAUCAGUUUGUUCCCCGUUUCUUCUCUAGCCUGUGCCUAGCACACUAUUCUAGCUACACAUGGGUGUGGCUCGUAACACGUGAUGACCAAACGGAUCUACGACACCGUCGAAUCUCAAACUUUAACUGCCAAAACUAUUGUUUUUCAUCCUGUAGUCCCUUGUAGAAUUACUAAACGUCCUUUUUUGGGCCGAGAUUUCGAGGAACGCUAUGUUGGGGUUUGUGUGCACGUAUUUCAAACCAUACAGACCUAAAAAUUAGAAGUCAUUCCAUCUUUGUUCCCCUAGAGCCUUCCAGCAGUUCCUAAACCGCUCUAGUUGGAGCACGUUAUCAUUCUUGUUAGUUCUGAGCAAAUUCCCUCGGUAUGAUCAUUCUUUCAUCAGUUUAUUCCCUGUUUCUUCUCUAGUUUGAGCCUAGCACACUAUUCUAGCUACUAAUGGGUGUGGAUCGUAACACCUGAUGACCAAACGGAUCUACGGCACCGUCGAAUCUCAAACUUUAACUGCCAAAACUACUGUUUUUCAUUCCGUAGUCCCUUUUAAAUUACUAAACGUCAUUUUUUGGGCAGAGAUAUCCAGGAACGCUUUCUCGGGGUUUGUGUGCACGUAUUUCAAAUCAUACGGACCUAAAAAAUAGAUUCCAUUCCAUCUUUAUUCCCCUCGAGCUUUCCAGCAGUUCCUAAACCGCUCCAGUCGGAGCACGUUAUCAUUAUUGUUAGUUCUGAGUGAGUUCCCUCGGUAGGAUCAUUCUUUCAUCAGUUUGUUCCCCGUUUCUUCUCUAGUCUGAGCCUAACACACUAUUCUAGCUAGACAUGGGCAUGGAUCAUAACACCUGAUGACCAAACGGAUCUACGGCACCGUCGAAUCUCAAACUUUAACUGCGAAAACUAUUGUUUUUCAUCCUGUAGUCCCUUUUAGAAUUACUAAACGUCCUUUUUGGGCCGAGAUUUCCAGGAACGCUUUCUCAGGGUUUGUGUGCGUGUAUUUCAAACCAUACGGACCUAAAAAUUAGAAUUCAUUCCAUCUUUAUUUCCCUAGAGCCUUCCAGCAGUUCCUAAACCGCUCCAGUCGGAGCACGUUAUCAUUCUUGUUAGUUCUGAGCGAAUUCCCUCGGUAUGAUCAUUCUUUCAUCAGUUUGUUCCCCGUUUCUUCUCUAGUCUGAGCCUAACACACGAUUCUAGCUAGACAUGGGUGUGGCUCGUAUCACCUGAUGACCAAACAGAUCUACGGCACCGUCGAAUCUCAAAUUUAACUGCCAAAACUAUUAUUUUUCAUCCUGUAGUCCCUUUUAGAAUUACUAAACGUCCUUUUUUUGGCCGAGAUUUCCAGGAACGCUUUCGCCCAGUUUGUGUGCAAGUAUUUCAAAUCAUACGGACCUAAAAAUUAGAUGUCAUUCCAUCUUUAUUCCCCUAGAGCCUUCCAGCACUUCCUAAACCGCUCUAGUUGGAGCACGUUAUCAUUCUUGUUAGUUCUGAGUGAAUUCCCUUGGUAUAAUCAUUCUUUCAUCAGUUUGUUCUCCAUUUCUUCUGUAGUCUGAACCAAGCACACUACUCUAGCUAGACAAGGGUGUGGCUCAUAACACCUCAUGACCAAACGGGUCUACGGCACCAUCAAAUUUCAAACUUUAACUGCCAAUACUAUUGUUUUUCAUUCUGUAUUCCCUUUUAGAAUUACUAAACGUCCUUUUUUGGGCCGAGAUUUCUAGGAACGCUUUCUCGGGGUUUGUGUGCACGUAUUUCAAAUCAUACGGACCUAAAAAUUAGAAGUCAUUCCAUCUUUAUUCCCCUAGAGCCUUCCAGCCGUUCCUAAACCGCUCCAGUCGAAGCACGUUAUCAUUAUUGUUAGUUGUCAGUGAAUUCCCUCAGUAUGAUCAUUCUUUCAUCAGUUUGUUCCCUGUUUCUUCUCUAGUCUGAGCUUAACACACUAUUCUAGCUAGACAUGGGUGUGGCUCGUAACACCCGAUGACCAAACGGAUCUACGGCACCGUCGAAUCUCAAACUUUAACUGCGAAAACUAUUGUUUUUCAUCCUGUAGUCCUUUUUAGAAUUACUAAACGUCCUUUUUUGGGACGAGAUUUCCAGGAACGCUUUCUCGGGGUUUGUGUGCAUGUAUUUCAAAUCAUACGGACCUAAAAAUUAGAUGUCAUUCCAUCUUUAUUCCCCUAGAGCCUUCCAGCACUUCCUAAACCGCUCUAGUCGGAGCACGUUAUCAUUCUUGUUAGUUCUGAGUGAAUUCACUUGGUAUGAUCAUUCUUUCAUCAGUUUGUUCUCCAUUUCUUCUCUAGUCUGAGCCUAGCACACUACUCUAGCUAGACAUGGGUGUGGCUCAUAACACCUCGUGACCAAACGGGUCUACGGCACCAUCAAAUCUCAAACUUUAACUACCAAAACUAUUGUUUUUCAUUCUGUAUUCCCUUUUAGAAUUACUAAACGUCCUUUUUUGGGCCGAGAUUUCCAGGAAUGCUUUCUCGGGGUUUGUGUGCACGUAUUUCAAAUCAUACGGACCUAAAAAUUAGAAGUCAUUCCAUCUUUAUUCCCCUAGAGCCUUCCAGCAGUUCCUAAACCGCUCCAGUCAGAGCAUGUUAUCAUUCUUGGUAGUUCUGAGUGAAUUCCCUCGGUACGAUCAUUCUUUCAUCAGUUUGUUCCCCGUUUCUUCUCUAGCCUGAGCCUAACACACUAUUCUAGCUAGACAUGUGUUUGGCUCGUAACACCUGAUGACCAAACAGAUCUACGGCACCGUCGAAUCUCAAACUUUAACUGCCAAAACUAUUGUUUUUCAUCUUGUAGUCCCUUUUAGAAUUACUAAACGUCCUUUUUUGGGCCGAGAUUUCCAGGAACGCUUUCUCGGGGUUUGUGUGCAUGUAUUUCAAACCAUACGGACCGAAAAAUUAGAAGUCAUUCCAUAUUUAUUCCCCUAUAGCCUUCCAACAGUUUCUAUCCGCUCCAGUCGGAGCAUGUUAUCAUUCUUGUUAGUUCAGAGUGAAUUCCGUCGGUAUGAUCAUUCUUUCAUCAGUUUGUUCCCUGUUUCUUCUCUAGCCUGAGCCUGACACACUAUUCUAGCUAGACAUGGGUGUGGCUCGUGACACCUGAUGACCAAACGGAUCUACGGCACCGUCGAAUCUCAAACUUUAACUACCAAAACUAUUGUUUUUCAUUCUGUAGUCCCUUUUAAAUUACUAAACGUCAUUUUUUGGGCCGAGAUUUCCAGGAACGCUUUCUCGGGGUUUGUGUGCAUGUAUUUCAAAUCAUACGGACCUAAAAAUUAGAAUCCAUUCCAUCUUUAUUCCCCUAGAGCCUUCGAGCCGUUCCUAAACCGCUCCAGUCGGAGCACGUUAUCAUUAUUGUUAGUUGUCAGUGAAUUCCCUCAGUAUGAUCAUUCUUUCAUCAGUUUGUUCCCUGUUUCUUCUCUAGUCUGAGCUUAACACACUAUUCUAGCUAGACAUGGGUGUGGCUCGUAACACCCGAUGACCAAACGGAUCUACGGCACCGUCGAAUCUCAAACUUUAACUGCGAAAACUAUUGUUUUUCAUCCUGUAGUCCUUUGUAGAAUUACUAAACGUCCUUUUUUGGGACGAGAUUUCCAGGAACGCUUUCUCGGGGUUUGUGUGCGCGUAUUUCAAACCAUACGAACCUUAAAAUUAGAAUUCACUCCAUCUUUAUUCCCCUAGAGCCUUCUAGCAGUUCCUAAACCGCUCCAGUCGGAGCACGUUAUCAUUCUUUUUAGUUCUGAGCGAAUUCCCUCGGUAUGAUCAUUCUUUCAUCAUUUUGUUCCCCCUUUCUUCUCUAUUCUGAGCCUAGCACACUAUUCUAGCUAUUAAUGGGUGUGGAUCGUAACACCUAAUGACCAAACGGAUCUACGGCACCAUCGAAUCUCAAACUUUAACUGCCAAAACUAUUGUUUUUCAUCCUGUAGUCCCUUUUACAAUUAUUAAACGUCCUUUUUUGGGCCGAGAUUUCCAGGAACGCUUUCUCGGGGUUUGUGUGCAUGUAUUUCAAAUCAUACGGACCUAAAAGUUUGAAGGCAUUCCAUCUUUAUUCCCCUAGAGGCUUCCAGCAGUUCCUAAACCGCUCCAGUCGGAGCACGUUAUCAUUAUUGUUAGUUCUGAGCGAAUUCCCUCGGUAUGAUCAUUCUUUCAUCAGUUUGUUUCCUGUUUCUUCUCUCUCCUGAGCAUGACACACUAUUCUCGCUAGACAUGGGUGUGGCUCGUGACACCUGAUGACCAAACGGAUCUACGACACCGUCGAAUCUCAAACUUUAACUACCAAAACUAUUGUUUUUCAUUCCGUAGUCCCUUUUAAAUUACUAAACGUCAUUUUUUGGGCCGAGAUUUCCAGGAACGCUUUCUCGGAGUUUGUGUGCAUGUAUUUCAAAUCAUACGGACCUAAAAAUUAGAAUCCAUUCCAUCUUUAUUCCCCUAAAGCUUUCCAGCAGUUCCUAAACCGCUCCAGUCGGAGCACGUUAUCAUUAUUGUUAGUUCUGAGUGAGUUCCCUCGGUAUGAUCAUUCUUUCUUAAGUUUGUUCCCCGUUUCUUCUCUAGUCUGAGCCUAACACACUAUUCUAGCUAGACAUGGGCGUGGCUCGUAACACCUGAUGACCAAACGGAUCUACGGCUGUUGGGGAACGUUGCAGAAAACAAAAAAUUUCCUACUCGUUUCACCAAGAUCAUCUAGGAGUUCAUCUAGCAACGAGUCAUUGGAUGCAUCUACAUACCUUUGUAGAUCGCGAGCGGAAGCGUUCAAAAGAACGGUGAUGAUGUAGUCGUACUCGACGUGAUCCAAAUCACCGAUGACCAGCGCCGAACGGACGGCACCUCCGCGUUCAACACACGUACGGGACGGGAGACGUCUCCUCCUUCUUGAUCCAGCAAGGGGGAAGGAGAGGUUGAUGAAGAUCCAGCAGCACGACGGCGUGGUGGUGGAUGCAGGGCGUCACAGCAGCAGGGCUUCGCCGAGACUACGAGGGAGAGACGUAACGGGGGGAGGUGGAGGCGCCAGGGGCUGGUGUAAAAUCCCCUAGUAGAUGGCAUCUACUAGGGGGGGCGGCGGCCCUAGUAGAUGGCAUCUACUAGGGGGGGCGGCGGCCAAGGGGAGGUUUCCCUCCCCCCCAAGGCACCUAGGGGUGCCUUCCACCACAUGGACUCUUCCAUGGUGGAAACCCUAGGCGCAUGGGCCUAUAGGGGCUGGUGCCCUUGGCCCAUCUAGGCCAAGGCGCACCCCCUACAGCCCAUGUGGCCCCCCGGGACAGGUGGCCCCACCCGAUGGACCCCCGGGACCCUUCCGGUGGUCCCGGUACAAUACCGAUAACCCCGAAACUUGUCCCGAUGCCCGAAAUAGCACUUCCUAUAUAUAAUUCUUUACCUCCGGACCAUUCGGAACUCCUCGUGACGUCCGGGAUCUCAUCCGGGACUCCGAACAACAUUCGGGUUUCUGCAUAUACAUAUCUUCAUAACCCUAGCGUCACCGAACCUUAAGUGUGUAGACCCUACGGGUUCGGGAGACAAGCAGACAUGACCGAGAAGACUCUCCGGUCAAUAACCAACAGCGGGAUCUGGAUACCCAUGUUGGCUCCCACAUGCUCCACGAUGAUCUCAUCGGAUGAACCACGAUGUCGAGGAUUCAAUCAAUCCCGUACGCUAUUCCCUUUGUCUAUCGAUAUGUUACUUGCCCGAGAUUCGAUCGUCGGUAUCCCAAUACCUCGUUCAAUCUCGUUACCGGCAAGUCACUUUACUCGUACCGUAAUGCAUGAUCCCGUGACCAGACACUUGGUCACUCUGAGCUCAUUAUGAUGAUGCAUUACCGAGUGGGCCCAGUGAUACCUCUCCGUCAUACGGAGUGACAAAUCCCAGUCUUGAUCCAUGUCACCCAACAGACACUUUCGGAGAUACCCGUAGUCUACCUUUAUAGUCACCCAGUUACGUUGUGACGUUUGGCAUACCCAAAGCACUCCUACGGUAUCCGGGAGUUACACGAUCUCAUGGUCUAAGGAAAAGAUACUUUGACAUUGCAAAACUCUAGCAAACGAACUAUACGAUCUUGUGCUAUGUUUAGGAUUGGGUCUCAUCCAUCACAUCAUUCUCCCAAUGAUGUGAUCUCGUUAUCAAUGACAUCCAGUGUCCAUAGUCAGGAAACCAUGACUAUCUGUUGAUCAACGAGCUAGUCAACUAGAGGCUCACUAGGGACAUGUUGGUGUCUGUUAUUCACACAUGCAUUACGAUUUCCGGAUAACACAAUUAUAGCAUGAAUAAAGACAAUUAUCAUGAACAAGGAAAUAUAAUAAUGCUUUUAUUAUUGCCUCUAGGGCAUAUUUCCAACAGUCUCCCACUUGCACUAGAGUCAAUAAUCUAGUUACAUUGUGAUGAAUCGAACACCCAUGGAAUUCUGGUGUUGAUCAUGUUUUGCUCUAGGGAGAGGUUUAGUCAACGGAUCUGCUACAUUCAGGUCCGUAUGUACUUUACAAAUCUCUAUGUCUCCAUCUUGAACAUUUUCACGAAUGGAGUUGAAGCGACGCUUGAUGUGCCUUGUCUUCUUGUGAAACCUGGGCUCCUUGGCAAGUGCAAUAGCUCCAGUGUUGUCACAGAAGAGCUUGAUCGGCCCCGACGCAUUGGGUAUGACUCCUAGGUCGGUGAUGAACUCCUUCACCCAUAUUGCUUCAUGUGCUGCCUCUGAGGCUGCCAUGUACUCCGCUUCACAUGUAGAUCCCGCCACGACGCUUUGCUUGCAACUGCACCAGCUCACUGCCCCACCAUUCAAAAUAUACACGUAUCCGGUUUGUGACUUAGAGUCAUCCAGAUCUGUGUCGAAGCUAGCGUCGACGUAACCCUUUACGACGAGCUCUUCGUCACCUCCAUAAACGAGAAACAUUUCCUUAGUCCUUUUCAGGUACUUCAGGAUAUUCUUGACCGCUGUCCAGUGUUCCUUGCCGGGAUUACUUUGGUACCUUCCUACCAAACUGACGGCAAGGUUAACAUCAGGUCUGGUACACAGCAUGACAUACAUAAUAGAACCUAUGGCUGAGGCAUAGGGGAUGACGCUCAUCUCUUCUAUAUCUUCUGCCGUGGUCGGACAUUGAGCUGAGCUCAAUUUCACACCUUGUAACACAGGCAAGAACCCCUUCUUGGAUUGAUCCAUAUUGAACUUCUUCAAUAUCUUAUCAAGGUAUGUGCUUUGUGAAAGACCUAUGAGGCGUCUUGAUCUAUCUCUAUAGAUUUUGAUGCCUAAUAUAUAAGCAGCUUCUCCAAGGUCCUUCAUUGAAAAACUUUUAUUCAAGUAGGCCUUGAUGCUGUCCAAGAGUUCUAUAUCAUUUCCCAUCAAAAGUAUGUCAUCUACAUAUAAUAUGAGAAAUGCUACAGAGCUCCCACUCACUUUCUUGUAAACGCAGGCUUCUCCAUAAGUCUGUGUAAACCCAAACGCUUUGAUCAUCUCAUCAAAGCGAAUGUUCCAACUCCGAGAUGCUUGCACCAACCCAUAAAUCGAGCGUUGGAGCUUGCACACUUUGUCAGCAUUCUUAGGAUCGACAAAACCUUCCGGCUGUAUCAUAUACAAUUCUUCCUUAAGGAAACCAUUAAGGAAUGCCGUUUUGACGUCCAUUUGCCAUAUUUCGUAAUCAUAGAAUGCGGCAAUUGCUAACAUGAUCCGGACGGACUUCAGCUUCGCUACCGGCGAGAAAGUCUCAUCAUAGUCAACCCCUUGAACUUGUCGAUAACCCUUAGCGACAAGCCGAGCUUUAUAGAUGGUCACAUUACCAUCCGCGUCUGUCUUCUUCUUAAAGAUCCAUUUAUUUUCUAUGGCUCGCCGCUCAACGGGCAAGUCAGUCAAAGUCCAUACUUUGUUUUCAUACAUGGAUCCUAUCUCGGAUUUCAUGGCUUCCAGCCAUUUGUCGGAAUCCGGGCCCGCCAUCGCUUCUUCAUAGUUCGAAGGUUCACCGUUGUCUAACAGCAUGAUUUCCAAGACUGGGUUGCCGUACCACUCUGGUGCGGAACCUGUCCUUAUGGACCUUCGAAUUUCAGUAGGGGCUUGAUCAGAAGUAUCUUGAUCAUUGUCAUUAACUUCCUCUCUAGUCGGUGCAGGCACCUCAGGAACAUUUUCUUGAGUUGCGCCAUUUUCCGGUUCAAGAGGUAAUACUUCAUCAAGCUCUACUUUCCUCCCACUUCUUCUUUCGAGAGAAACUCUUUCUCCAGAAAGGACCCAUUCUUGGCAACAAAGAUCUUGCCUUCGGAUCUGAGGUAGAAGGUGUACCCAAUAGUUUCUUUUGGGUAUCCUAUGAAGACGCAUUUUUCCGAUUUGGGUUCGAGCUUUUCAGGUUGAAGUUUCUUGACAUAAGCAUCGCAUCCCCAAACUUUUAGAAACGACAGCUUAGGUUUCUUCCCAAACCAUAAUUCAUACGGUGUCGUCUCAACGGAUUUCGACGGAGCCCUAUUUAAAGUGAAUGCGGCAGUCUCUAAAGCAUAGCCCCAAAAAGAUAGCGGUAAAUCGGUAAGAGACAUCAUAGAUCGCACCAUAUCUAAUAGAGUGUGAUUACGACGUUCGGACACACCAUUACGCUGAGGUGUUCCAGGCGGCGUGAGUUGUGAAACUAUUCCACAUUUUCUUAAGUGUGUGCCAAACUCGUAACUCAAGUAUUCUCCUCCACGAUCUGAUCGUAGAAACUUGAUUUUCCUGUCACGUUGAUUUUCAACCUCACUCUAAAAUUCCUUGAAUUUUUCAAAGGUUUCAGACUUGUGUUUCAUUAAGUAGAUAUACCCAUACCUACUUAAAUCAUCAGUGAGGGUGAGAACAUAACGAUAGCCACCGCGAGCCUCAACACUCAUUGGACCGCACACAUCAGUAUGUAUGAUUUCCAAUAAGUCGGUUGCUCGCUCCAUUGUUCCUGAGAAUGGAGUCUUGGUCAUUUUACCCAUAAGGCAUGGUUCGCAUGUGUCAAAUGAUUCAUAAUCAAGAGACUCUAAAAGUCCAUCAGCAUGGAGCUUCUUCAUGCGUUUGACACCUAUGUGACCAAGGCGGCAGUGCCACAGGUAUGUGGGACUAUCAUUACCAACCUUACUUCUUUUGGUACUCACAUUAUGAACAUGUGUAGCAUCACGUUCGAGAUUCAUAAAGAACAAACCAUUCACCAUAGGAGCAUGACCAUAAAACAUAUCUCUCAUAAAAAUGGAACAACCAUUAUUCUCAGAUUUAAAAGAGUAGCCAUCUCGAAUUAAACGAGAUCCUGAUACAAUGUUCAUGCUCAAAGCUGGCACUAAAUAACAAUUAUUAAGGUUUAAAACUAAUCCCGAAGGGAGAUGCAGAGGUAGCGUGCCGACGGCGAUCACAUUGACCUUGGAACCAUUCCCGACGCGCAUCGUCACCUCGUCCUUUGCCAGUUUCCGCUUAUUCCGCAGCCCCUGCUUUGAGUUACAAAUGUGAGCAACUGCACCGGUAUCAAAUACCCAGGAGCUACUACGGGCACUAGUAAGGUACACAUCAAUUACAUGUAUAUCACAUAUACCUUUUGUUUUGCCGGCCUUCUUAUCCGCUAAGUACUUAGGGCAGUUCCGCUUCCAGUGACCGCUUCCCUUACAAUAAAAGCACUCAGUCUCGGGCUUGGGUCCAUUCUUUGGCUUCUUCCCGGCAGCUUGCUUGCCGGGCGUGGCAACCUCCUUGCCGUCCUUCUUGAAGUUCUUUUUACCCUUGCCUUUCUUGAACUUAGUGGUUUUAUUGACCAUCAACACUUGAUGUUCCUUCCUGACUUCUACCUCUGCUGAUUUCAGCAUAGCAAAUACUUCAGGAAUGGUCUUUUCCAUCCCCUGCAUAUUGAAGUUCAUCACAAAGCUCUUGUAGCUUGGUGGAAGCGACUGGAGGAUUCUGUCAAUGACCGCAUCAUCCGGGAGAUUAACUCCCAGCUGGGUCAAGCGGUUAUGCAACCCAGACAUAGUGAGUAUGUGCUCACUGACAGAACUGUUUUCCUCCAUCUUACAGCUGAAGAAUUUGUCGGAGACUUCAUAUCUCUCGACCCGGGCAUGAGCUUGGAAAACCAUUUUCAGCUCUUCGAACAUCUCAUAUGCUCCAUGUCUCUCAAAACGCUUUUGGAGCCCCGGCUCUAGGCUGUAAAGCAUGCCGCACUGAACGAGGGAGUAGUCAUCGAAACGUGCCUGCCAAGCGUUCAUAACAUCUUGUUCUGCAGGGAGAACGGGUGCGUCACCAAGCGGUGCUUGUAGGACAUAAUCUUUCUUGGCAGCUAUGAGGAUGAUCCUCAGGUUCCGGACCCAGUCCGUAUAGUUGCUGCCAUCGUCUUUCAGCUUGGUUUUCUCUAGGAACGCGUUGAAGUUGAGGACUACGUUGGCCAUUUAAUCUACAAGACAUAUUGUAAAAUAUUUAGACUAAGUUCAUGAUAAUUAAGUUCAACUAAUCAAAUUAUUAAUGAACUCCCACUUAGAUUAGACAUCCCUCUAGUCAUCUAAGUAUAACAUGAUCCGAGUUAAACUAGACCGUGUCCGAUCAUCACGUGAGACGGACUAGUCAACAUCGGUGAACAUCUUCAUGUUGAUCGUAUCUUCUAUACGACUCAUGCUCGACCUUCCGGUCUUCCGUGUUCCGAGGCCAUGUCUGUACAUGCUAGGCUCGUCAAGUCAACCUAAGUGUUUGCAUGUGUAAAUAUGUCUUACACCCGUUGUAUGUGAAUGUCUGAAUAAAACAUCCGAUCAUCACGUGGUGUUUUGAAACAGCGAACUGUCGCAACGGUGCACAGUUAGGGGGAACACUUCUUGAAAUUAGUAUGAGGGAUCACCUUAUUUACUACCGUCGUUCUAAGUAAACAAGAUGCAAAACAUGAUAAACAUCACAUGCAAUCAAAUAAUAAACGUGACAUGAUAUGGCCAAUAUCACAUAGCUCCUUUGAUCUCCAUCUUGGGGCUCCAUGAUCAUCUUGUCACCGGCUUGACACCAUGAUCUCUAUCAUCAUGAUCUCCAUCAUCGUGUCUCCAUGAAGUUGCUCGCCAACUAUUACUUCUACUACUAUGGCUAACGCGUUUAGCAAUAAAGUAAAGUAAUUUACAUGGCGUUUCUCGAUGACACGCAGGUCAUAUAAAAGAAUAAAGACAACUCCUAUGGCUCCUGCCGGUUGUCAUACUCAUCGACAUGCAAGUCGUGAAUCCUAUUACAAUAACAUGAACAUCUCAUACAUCACAUAUAGAUCAUUCAUCAUUCAUCACAACUUUGGCCAUAUCAUAUCACAAACCACUUGCUGCAAAAACAAGUUAGACGUUCUCUAAUUGUUGUUGCAAGUUUUACGUGGCUGAAUUAGGGUUCUAGCAGGAACGUCUUCUUACCUACGUUAAAGCCACAACGUGAUUUGUCAACUUCUAUUUACCCUUCAUAAGGACCCUGUUCAUCGAUUCCGCUCCAACUAAAGUAGGAGAGACAGACACCCGCCAGCCACCUUAUGCAACUAGUGCAUGUUAGUCGGUGGAACCGGUCUCACGUAAGCGUACGUGUAAGGUUGGUCCGGGCCGCUUCAUCCCACAAUACCGCUGAAUCAAGAAAGGACUAGUAACGGCAAGAAAGUUGACAAAUCUACGCCCACAACAAAUUGUGUUCUACUCGCGCAAGAAGAACUACGCAUAGACCUAGCUCAUGAUGCCACUGUUGGGGAACGUUGCAGAAAACAAAAAUUUUCCUACUCGUUUCACCAAGAUCAUCUAGGAGUUCAUCUAGCAACGAGUCAUUGGAUGCAUCUACAUAACUUUGUAGAUCGCGAGCAGAAGCGUUCAAAAGAACGGUGAUGAUGUAAUCAUACUCGACGUGAUCCAAAUCACCGAUGACCAGCGCCGAACGGACGGCACCUCCGCGUUCAACACACGUACGGGACGGGAGACGUCUCCUCCUUCUUGAUCCAGCAAGGGGGAAGGAGAGGUUGAUGAAGAUCCAGCAGCACUACGGCGUGGUGGUGGAUGCAGGGCGUCACAGCAGCAGGGCUUCGCCGAGACUACGAGGGAGAGACGUAACGGGGGGAGGUGGAGGCGCCAGGGGCUGGUGUAAAAUCCCUCCUCUCCCCCACUAUAUAUAGGGGUGCCAGGGGGGCGCCGGCCCUAGUAGAUGGCAUCUACUAGGGGGGGCGGCGGCCAAGGGGAGGUUUCCCUCCCCCCCAAGGCACCUAGGGGUGCCUUCCACCACAUGGACUCUUCCAUGGUGGAAACCCUAGGCGCAUGGGCCUAUAGGGGCUGGUGCCCUUGGCCCAUCUAGGCCAAGGCGCACCCCCUACAGCCCAUGUGGCCCCCCGGGACAGGUGGCCCCACCUGGUGGACCCCCGGGACCCUUCCGGUGGUCCCGGUACAAUACCGAUAACCCCGAAACUUGUCCCGAUGCCCGAAAUAGCACUUCCUAUAUAUAAUUCUUUACCUCCGGACCAUUCCGGAACUCCUCGUGACGUCCGGGAUCUCAUCCGGGACUCCGAACAACAUUCGGGUUUCGGCAUAUACAUAUCUUCAUAACCCUAGCGUCACCGAACCUUAAGUGUGUAGACCCUACGGGUUCGGGAGACAAGCAGACAUGACCGAGACGACUCUUCGGUCAAUAACCAACAGCGGGAUCUGGAUACCCAUGUUGGCUCCCACAUGCUCCACGAUGAUCUCAUUUGAUGAACCACGAUUCCGAGGAUUCAAUCAAUCCCGUACGCUAUUCCCUUUGUCUAUCGAUAUGUUACUUGCCCGAGAUUCGAUCGUCGGUAUCCCAAUACCUCGUUCAAUCUCGUUACCGGCAAGUCACUUUACUCGUACCGUAAUGCAUGAUCCCGUGACCAGACACUUGGUCACUCUGAGCUCAUUAUGAUGAUGCAUUACCGAGUGGGCCCAGUGAUACCUCUCUGUCAUACGGAGUGACAAAUCCCAGUCUUGAUCCAUGUCACCCAACAGACACUUCCGGAGAUACCCGUAGUCUACCUUUAUAGUCACCCAGUUACGUUGUGACGUUUGGCAUACCCAAAGCACUCCUACGGUAUCCGGGAGUUACACGAUCUCAUGGUCUAAGGAAAAGAUACUUGACAUUGGAAAACUCUAGCAAACGAACUAUACGAUCUUGUGCUAUGUUUAGGAUUGGGUCUUGUCCAUCACAUCAUUCUCCCAAUGAUGUGAUCUCGUUAUCAAUGACAUCCAGUGUCCAUAGUCAGGAAACCAUGACUAUCUGUUGAUCAACGAGCUAGUCAACUAGAGGCUCACUAGGGACAUGUCGGUGUCUGUUAUUCACACAUGUAUUACGAUUUCCGGAUAACACAAUUAUAGCAUGAAUAAAGACAAUUAUCAUGAACAAGGAAAUAUAAUAAUAAUGCUUUUAUUAUUGCCUCUAGGGCAUAUUUCCAACAACGGCACCGUCGAAUCUCAAACUUUAACUGCGAAAACUAUUGUUUUUCAUCCUGUAGUCCCUUUUAGAAUUACUAAACGUCCUUUUUUGGGCCGAGAUUUCCAGGAACGCUUUCUCAGGGUUUGUGUGCGUGUAUUUCAAAGCAUACGGACCUAAAAAUUAGAAUUCAUUCCAUCUUUAUGCCCCUAGAGCCUUCCAGCAGUUCCUAAACCGCUCCAGUCGGAUUACGUUAUCAUUCUUGUUAGUUCUGAGCGAAUCCCCUCGGUAGGAUCAUUCUUUCAUUAGUUUGUUCCCCGUUUCUUCUCUAGUCUGAGCCUAGCACACAAUUCUAGCUAGACAUGGGUGUGGCUCGUAUCACCUGAUGACCAAACGGAUCUACGACACCGUCGAAUCUCAAAUUUAACUGCCAAAACUAUUAUUUUUCAUCCUGUAGUCCCUUUUACAAUUAUUAAACAUCCUUUUUUGGGCCGAGAUUUCCAGGAACGCUUUCUCGGGGUUUGUGUGCAUGUAUUUCAAAUCAUACGGACCUAAAAAUUAGAUGUCAUUCCAUCUUUAUUCCCCUAGAGCCUUCCAGCACUUCCUAAACCGCUCUAGUCGGAGCACGUUAUCAUUCUUGUCAGUUCUGAGUGAAUUCACUUGGUAUGAUCAUUCUUUCAUCAGUUUGUUCUCCAUUUCUUCUCUAGUCUGAGCCUAGCACACUACUCUAGCUAGACAUGGGUGUGGCUCAUAACACCUCGUGACCAAACGGGUCUACGGCACCAUCAAAUCUCAAACUUUAACUGCCAAAACUAUUGUUUUUCAUUCUGUAUUCCCUUUUAGAAUUACUAAACGUCCUUUUUUGGGCCGAGAUUUCCAGGAAUGCUUUCUCGGGGUUUGUGUGCACGUAUUUCAAAUCAUAGGACCUAAAAAUUAGAAGUCAUUCCAUCUUUAUUCCCCUAGAGCCUUCCAGCAGUUCCUAAACCGCUCCAGUCAGAGCAUGUUAUCAUUCUUGGUAGUUCUGAGUGAAUUCCCUCGGUAUGAUCAUUCUUUCAUCAGUUUGUUCCCCAUUUCUUCUCUAGCCUGAGCCAAACACACUAUUCUAGCUAGACAUGUGUGUGGCUCGUAACACCUGAUGACCAAACGGAUCUACGGCACCGUCGAAUCUCAAACUUUAACUGCCAAAACUACUGUUUUUCAUCUUGUAGUCCCUUUUAGAAUUACUAAACGUCCUUUUUUGGGCCGAGAUUUCCAGGAACACUUUCUCGGGGUUUGUUUGCACGUAUUUCAAACCAUACAGACCUAAAAAUUAGAAGUCAUUCCAUAUUUAUUCCCCUAUAGCCUUCUAGCAGUUUCUAAACCGCUCCAGUCGGAGCAUGUUAUCAUUGUUGUUAGUUCUGAGUGAAUUCCCUCGGUAUGAUCAUUCUUUCAUCAGUUUGUUCCUUGUUUCUUCUCUAGCCUGAGCCUGACACACUAUUCUAGCUAGACAUGGGUGUGGCUCGUGACACCUGAUGACCAAAUGGAUCUACGGCACCGUCGAAUCUCAAACUUUAACUACCAAAACUAUUAUUUUUCAUUCUGUAGUCCCUUUUAAAUUACUAAACAUCAUUUUUUGGGCCGAGAUUUUCAGGAACGCUUUCUCGGGGUUUGUGUGCAUGUAUUUCAAAUCAUACGGACCUAAAAAUUAGAAUCCAUUCCAUCUUUAUUCCCCUAGAGCCUUCCAGCAGUUCCUAAACCGCUCCAGUCGGAGCACGUUAUCAUAAUUGUUAGUUCUGAGUGAAUUCCCUCAGUAUGAUCAUUCUUUCAUCAGUUUGUUCCCCGUUUGGUCAUCAGGUGUUACGAGCCACACCCAUGUCUAGCUAGAAUAGUGUGUUAGGCUCAGGCUAGAGAAGAAACGGGGAACAAACUGAUGAAAGAAUGAUCAUACCGAGGGAAUUCACUCAAAACUAACAAUAAUAAUAACGCGCUCCGAUUGGAGCGGUUUAGGAACUGCUGGAAGGCCCUAGGGGAAUAAAGAUGCAAUGACUUCUAAUUUUUAGGUCCUAUGAUUUUAAAUACUUGCACACAAACGACGCGAAAGUGUUCCUGGAAAUCUCAGCCCAAAAAAGGACGUUUAGUAAUUCUAAAAGGGACUAUUAGAUGAAAAACAAUAGUUUUGGCAGUUAAAGUUUGAGAUUCGACGGUGCCGUAGAUCCAUUUGGUCAUCAGGUGUUACGAGCCACACCCAUGUCUAGCUAGAAUAGUAUGUUAGGCUCAGGUUAGAGAAGAAAUGGGGAACAAACUGAUGAAAGAAUGAUCAUACCAAGGGAAUUCACUCAGAACUAACAAGAACGAUAACGUGCUCCGACUGGAGCGGUUUAGGAACUGCUGGAAGGCUCUAGGGGAAUAAAGAUGGAAUGACUUCUAAUUUUUAGGUCCGUAUGAUUUGAAAUGCUUGCACAUAAACCACGCAAAAGCGUUCCUGGAAAUCUCAGCCUAAAAAGGACGUUUAGUAAUUCUAAAAGGGACUACAGGAUGAAAAACAAAAGUUUUGGCAGUUAAAGUUUGAGAUUCGACGGUGCCGUAGAUCCGUUUGGUCAUCAGGUGUUACGAGCCACACCCAUGUCUAGCUAGAAUAGUGUAACACCCUCGAUGCAACUAUAUCUCCCACGUGUCGAGGCAGGACUUACACGCAUAAUCGCAUUGACGGCAUAUGUCGCAAAUUAGGCAAUCUUCACAACAUCCCAUGUAAUAUAGAUAAUAAAAGGGGAGAUAACAUAGUUGGCUUACACUCGCCACGUCAAUCAAGGUACAUAAAUAACAUGACAUCAUCCAAACACUCAUGGCCCGACUACGGCGCCAAAAUAAAAGAUAACCCAACAUGCGACACGGUUCCGAUCACCCCCAACUGGGCACCACUACUGAUCAUCAAGAAAGGAAACAUAGUAUCAUUGAGAGUACUCGUCGAACACCCACAUGAGCUCAAGCGCGUCACCUGGAGCUGAAUCAUCAGGCCCUGCAUCUGGUUUAAUAGUAAUCUGUGAGCCACAGGGACUCAGCAAUCUCACACCCUCGCAAUCAAGACUAUUUAAGCUUAUAGGUAAGGCAAGGUAAAUAUGUGAGCUGCAGCAAGCGACUAGCAUAUAUGGUGGCUAUCAUGUUCGAAAAAGAGGGCGAGAAGAGGAGGCUAAGCGCGAACGAAUAACUAGAGAGCAACCUGCGCAAACAUUACUCCAACACCGUGUCCACUUCCCGGACUCCACCGAGAAGAGGCCAUCACGGUAACUCACACUGUUGAUUCAUUUUAAUUAAGUUAAGGUUCAAGUUGUCUACAACCGGACAUUAACAAAUUCCCAUCUGCCCAUAACCGCGGGCACGACUUUCGAAAGUUCAAAUCCCUGCAGGGGAGUCCCAACUUAGCCCAUGACUAGCUCUCAUGGUCAACGAAGGAAUAGACCUCCUCCCGAGAUGUUCCGACCAGACUCGGUAUCUCGGUUCUUCAAGACACUUCGACAGGUUAAAACAAAUCCAGCAACACCACCCGAAUGUGCCGACAAAUCCCGAUAGGAGCUGCACAUAUCUCUUUCUCAGGGCACACUCAGAUUGUCUUAGGUACGGGUAGGCCAGCCCAGAGUUGCCCCUGGUGGCCACCGGCAGCUGACAGGUGGACCAACACUCAGAGGGGCACUAGNNNNNNNNNNNNNNNNNNNNNNNNNNNNNNNNNNNNNNNNNNNNNNNNNNNNNNNNNNNNNNNNNNNNNNNNNNNNNNNNNNNNNNNNNNNNNNNNNNNNNNNNNNNNNNNNNNNNNNNNNNNNNNNNNNNNNNNNNNNNNNNNNNNNNNNNNNNNNNNNNNNNNNNNNNNNNNNNNNNNNNNNNNNNNNNNNNNNNNNNNNNNNNNNNNNNNNNGGGGGGGGUUAAAAUAAGAUGACCCUCAGGCUCCGGAAACCCAAGGGAAAAAGAGGCUAGGUGGCAAAUGGUAAAACCAAGGUUGGGCAUUGCUGGAAAAGCUUUAAUCAAGGUGAACUAUCAAGGGGUUCCCAUUAUAACCCAACCGCGCAAGGAACGCAAAAUCCGGGAACAUAACACCGAUAUGACGGAAACUAGGGCGGCAAGAGUGGAACAAAACACUAGGAGAGAGGCCGAGCCUUCCACCCUUUACCAAGUAUAUAGAUGCAUUAAGAUAACAUGGCAAUAUAAUGAUAUCCCAACAAGUAAAUAAAUGUUCCAGCAAGGAACGGUCUCCAAUCUUCACCUGCAACUAGCAACGCUAUAAGAGGGGCUGAGCAAAGCGGUAACAUAGCCAAUCAACGGUUUGCUAGGACAUGGUGGGUUAGAGGUUUGACAUGGCAAUUUGGGAGGCUUGAAAGCAGGUGGUAGGCAUCGUAGCAUUGGCAUAGAAAAAGAGCAAGCAUCUAGCAAAGCAAAGAUAGUAGUGAUUUCGAGGGUAUGAUCAUCUUGCCUCCAAAGUUGUCAGAGUUGACUGGAUCCUCGAAAGCAAACUCAUCGGGCUCCUCGUUAGAGAACUCGUCUCCCGGCUCUACCCAAACAAGACAAACAAGCAAACGGAACACAAUCAACCACGUGCAAAGCUCAAACAAUAUGAUGCAAAGAUGAUAUGCUAUGCGGGAUGCGAUGCGGGAUGCAUAUGCAAGAUUUGACAAGGAAUGCAUGAACCUGACCUCAACUUGUGAAUCCAAGUGUGCCACUGGAAAGAUGAGAUGAAAUCUCUUGAAAACAAUAUAAAGAUCACUGGAAUCGGAGUUACGGUUUGGAAAUGGCAAGCAAAUCAAAUAUGAUCACGUUUUGCGAUUUACAGCAAGUACCCAUCUAAAUGCAAUGAGAUGAACAAGCUACAGCACCCAAACAUGGCAUAAAAAUACAUGGAAGGGAUGCAUUCCUGAUGCUUAACAAAAGUCUAGCACUGAGCUACGGCCAAUUCAUCCACUAACAGGUUCAAACAAGCAUGGCAAAAAUGCAUAUGGUAAACAUAUUUCAGACUUAGUGAAAUUAACACUUGUCUGGAAUUUCAGAUCAGGUAGCACUCUUCGGAGCAUGAAAACUAUAUGCUACAGGACCUAAACAUGGCAAAGUAAAACAUGGCAUGGAGCUACUCAAAGAUCUUAACAAAAGUCCCUUAGUGACCUUGAGCCAAAAGGGAUCAGAAAAUAUAUUUGCAAGCAUGUGAACAUGGCAAAAACAUAAUCGGAUCACAGACUUAGUGAAAACUGGAGCAUGCUGAAAACAGAUAUCAAGUAGGCAUGUUUACGAACUCGAUGCACUCACUAUAGAGCAAGUCAUGACAAUCUAAGCAUACACCCAUCAAGAAUACACAAAAUUCAAGCUAUACAUGGCAAGAACAAUAACAUAGCAUGCACGGAUCAACUACAACAUCCUCGGCAAAAUUGCUAACAAGUAGACAAUCUGCCCAGAUUCACGAAAUAGCAAAAGUAGAGCUCGAUUGACUCAAGCUAGGGUGCUCCAUAAUUGCAAACAAAGACAUGGAUGCAUAGAGCACUACAAUAUUAACAAAACAUCCUUACUUAUCAUCCUCAAAAGAGGCACGGAUCACUAGGAAACAACAUGAACAUAUAGCCAUAUGAGAUAACCAGAUCAAGGGCUUAGUGGAAUUGCUAAGUCCCUGGAAUCAGCAUUACCAAGUGCCUCACUUUGCAAGCUUGUGCUAGUCAGCACACACAUCACAAAAAUACAUGGGUUGCACCUCUGGAAAGAUGGAAAAACCCUUAACAAAACAUAUGUAGAGCUCAUGGGCAUAUCAUGCACACAAUAAUUAUGGCAAAAAUGACAAAUAUCUAAAUGGAGUAGCAGAUCUGACAAUUAUCUCAAGUAGCACUCUUCCAACAGCAUUUCGGGCAUCAAGAUGAACUCAAAUGAAAAUGAUGCAAUAAGAUGAAAUGAUGUGCUCUCUGAGACGAACAUUUUGAUAUGCUAUAUGCCCAAAACGGAGCUACGGAUGAGGAGUUACGGCAUGAUGAACAAGGGCAUAUGAAAUAGGGUUAGGGAGAAAGUCAACCGUCGUUUUGGAUCUAGAUCCAGAUCCGGAUCGCGCGCGUUUCGAGGUUUGCCGGAGAUCUGUUCGCCGGAGUAGCCGCGGGGCAUCACCGGAGGUCGGAGACAAGGAGGGAGAGGCCGGGGCGAUGUGGGCCUCUGGGGAGAGGUCGCCGGCGGGGGUUUCGGGCGGCGCGGCGCCGGUCGNNNNNNNNNNNNNNNNNNNNNNNNNNNNNNNNNNNNNNNNNNNNNNNNNNNNNNNNNNNNNNNNNNNNNNNNNNNNNNNNNNNNNNNNNNNNNNNNNNNNNNNNNNNNNNNNNNNNNNNNNNNNNNNNNNNNNNNNNNNNNNNNNNNNNNNNNNNNNNNNNNNNNNNNNNNNNNNNNNNNNNNNNNNNNNNNNNNNNNNNNNNNNNNNNNNNNNNNNNNNNNNNNNNNNNNNNNNNNNNNNNNNNNNNNNNNNNNNNNNNNNNNNNNNNNNNNNNNNNNNNNNNNNNNNNNNNNNNNNNNNNNNNNNNNNNNNNNNNNNNNNNNNNNNNNNNNNNNNNNNNGGCGGCUUGCGGACGUGAGGCGGCGGGGCGAUGUGGGCCUCGGGGGCCCCGAGCGGGCCUCGCGGGCCGGCGGCGUUGCGGCGGCAAAGUGGGCGCGCGGGCGCCACGUGGCUAGAUCUGAUAGGUCGGCGGCGGUGGGCGGACAAUGCCCGGCCAUCCGGAUUUUGUCCGGCGGCUGGAGGAGGAGGAGGGUUAGGGUUUCUCCCGAGAUUUCGAAUGGGGAAGAUAUAUAUAGGCAUAGAGGGAGCUAGGAGAUUCCAAAUGAGGUGCGGUUUUCGGCCACGCAAUCGUGAUUGAACACUCUAGAUGAUGGAGAAGGUUUAGGUGGGUUUUGGGCCAACUUGGAAGGGUGUUGGGCUGCAACACACACGAGGCCUUUAUGGUCCCUCGGUUAACCGUUGGAGUAUCAAACGAAGUCCAAAUGAUACGAAACUUAACAGGCGGUCUACCGGUAGUAAACCAAGGCCGCUUGGCAAGUCUCGGUCCAAUCCGGAAAUGUUUAAUCCCCACACACGAAAGAAAGGUAGAAAUGACCACCGGAGGAGAACGAAGCGCCUGAAUGCAAAACGGACAAUGGGGAAAAUGUUCGAAUGCAUGAGAUGAACACGUAUGCAAAUGCAAUGCACAUGAUGACAUGAUAUGAGAUGCAUGACAAUGACAACAACACACGGAGACAAAAACCCAAACCCGAGAAAAUAAAAUAACUUAAGGCCGGAAACGGCAAGAGUUGGAAUACAUAUUGGGAAAGUCAUAUCCGGGGUGUUACAACACUCCACCACUACGAAAGGAUCUCGUCCCGAGAUCUAGGACUGAAAGAACACCGGGUACUCAGAACGGAGGUGAUCCUCGCGUUCCCAGGUAGCUUCACGGUCGGAAUGGUGUGACCACUUGACUUUGAGGAAUUUGAUUGACUUGUUGCGAGUCUUGCGUUCAGUCUCUUCAAGAAUAGCAACUGGGUGCUCACAAUAAGAGAGAUCUUCUUGGAGCUCAAUGUCCUCGAAGUUGACAGUGCGGUCAGGAGUCUUGAAGCACUUUCGAAGCUGAGAGACAUGGAACACAUCAUGAACAUUUGCAAAGUUUGAAGGAAGCUCAAGUUGAUAGGCGAGAUCGCCUCUCUUGCUGACAAUCUUGAAAGGUCCCACAUAUCUAGGGGCAAGCUUCCCUUUGAUACUGAAGCGACGAGUACCUUUCAUAGGAGAGACGCGGAGGUAAACAUGAUCUCCGAUCUCGAAAGCCAAAUCACGGUGCUUACUGUCAUAGUAGCUCUUCUAGCGGGAUUGGUCUGCUUUGAGGUUAUCUCGAAUGACUUUGCACAUUUCCUCUGCCUCUAUGAUUAAGUCAUUUCCGAGAAGCUGACGUUCACCUGUUUUGGACCAGUUGAGAGGGGUACGGCACUUCCUGCCAUACAGAAUUUCAAAUGGGGCCUUGCCCGAACUUGCUUGAAAACUGUUGUUGUAGGAGAAUUCAGCAUAAGGAAGACAAUCCUCCCACUUCAUGCCGAAGGAGAUCACACAAGCCCUGAGCAUAUCUUCAAGAAUCUGGUUGACACGCUCGACUUGACCGCUAGUUUGAGGAUGGAAAGCUGUGCUGAAGCGGAUGUUGGUGCCCAUGGCCUUCUGAAAAGAAUCCCAAAACUUGGAGGUAAAGAUGCUGCCACGGUCUGAAGAGAUCACUUGUGGAAUACCGUGCAGAGAGAAAAUUCGAGAGGUAUAGACUUCCGCCAAUUGAGCUGCAGUGAUUGACUCUUUGAUAGGCAGAAAGUGAGCCACUUUAGUGAGUUUGUCGAUGACAACGAAUAUAGCAUCAUUGCCACACUUGGACUUUGGAAACCUAGUCACGAAGUCCAUUUCAAUGUGGUCAAACUUCCAUUCUGGAAUGGCAAGAGGUUGGAGGAGACCCGCUGGUCUUUGGUGUUCUGCCUUCACUCUUCUGCGGACAUCACACUCAUUCACGAACUGAGCGAUCUCGCGCUUCAUUCGAGUCCACCAGUAAGCCUGCCUGAGGUCCUGAUACAUCUUCGUACUCCCAGGGUGGAUGGAGAGGAGAGAAUUGUGAGCCUUGUUCAUGAUCACUUUACGGAGGUCACCUUUGGGCACAACAAUACGAUCCUCGAAGAAGAGAGUCUCCUUGUCAUCAAGGCGGUAGCACUUGUACUUGGGUUGACUCUUGGCAAUCACAAUCUUCACCUUUUUCACCAUAGCAUCAAGAAGCUGGGCUUGGCGAAUCUGGUCUUCCAAGGUAGGAGAUACUUGAAGGUUGGCGAGGAAACCUUGAGGAACAACUUGCAGGUUAAGUUUGCGGAAAGCUUCACAAAGCUCGGGUUGAUAAGGCUUGAGAAUUAGACUGUUGCAAUAAGCCUUUCUGCUCAAUGCGUCAGCAAUCACAUUGGCCUUGCCUGGAGUAUACUCGAUACUCGGAUUAUACUCUUGAAUCAUUUCGACCCAUCGAGUUUGCCUAAGGUUGAGAUUAGGCUGAGUGAAGAUGUACUUGAGACUCUUGUGAUCAGUGAAAAUGUCCACUUUUCUUCCCAAUAAGAGAUGUCUCCAAGUCAAAAGAGCAUGCACAACUGCCGCCAACUCGAGAUCAUGAGUGGGGUAGUUCUUCUCAUUGGGCUUCAAUUGGCGAGAGGUAUAAGCAACAACUUUCUUCUCUUGCAUCAACACUGCGCCAAGACCUUGGAGAGAGGCAUCACAAAAGACCUCGUACGGCUUGGAUUCAUCAGGCGGAGUCAGAACUGGAGCAGUGAUCAAUUUCUCUUUCAAAGUGUUGAAAGCAAUGUCACACUCCGGAGACCAAACGUACUUGACGUGCUUCUGGAGAAGAUUUGAGAGAGGCUUCGCGAUCUUAGAAAAGUUUUCAACGAAUCUUCGAUAGUAGCUUGCGAGACCGAGGAAGCUACGAAGUUGCUUCACGUUCUGAGGAGGUUCCCAAUUCACAAUUGCAGACACCUUCUCAGGAUUCAUGGCAAUGCCCUUGGCAGAGAUGAUAUGACCAAGAUAAAGAACCUCAUCGAGCCAAAAUUCGCACUUGGAGAACUUGGCGUAGAACUUGUGUUCCCUCAACUUAUCGAGUACCAAACGCAAGUGCUUGGCAUGAUCUUCCUUGUUCUUCGAGCAAACCAGAAUGUCGUCGAGAUAGACCAAAUGAAGUCAUUGGUGUAGGCAUUGAAGAUGAAGUUCAUCAUGCGAGAGAAAGUCGGAGGAGCGUUGACGAGGCCAAAAGACAUGACAGUGUAUUCAUAUGACCCAUAGCUUGUCCUGAAAGCCGUCUUGGGAAUAUCUUGCUCACAGAUUUGAAUAUGAUGAUAACCCAUACGGAGAUCAAGCUUGGAGAAUACUUGCGCACCUUUGAGUUGUUCGAACAGCUUGUUGAUGUUGGGAAGUGGGUAUUUGUUCUUGAUAGUCUUCUUGUUCAAUGGACGGUAAUCAACACAAAGCCGAUCCGUUCCAUCCUUCUUCUUCACAAAAAGAACACCACAACCCCACGGAGAAGAACUAGGCUGGAUGAGACCCAUUCUCUCUUGAAUAUCGAGUUGCUUCUUCAGCUCCUUCAACUCUUCAGGUCCGAGCUUGUAAGGACGCUUGCACACUGGUUCCGUGCCAGGAUCAAGAUCGAUGACGAAUUUAACUGGCCGAUGCGGAGGCAUUCCUAGAAGCUCUUUUGGAAAGACGUCUUGAUAUUCGCAAACGACUGGAAUUUGCGAGAUAGCAUCCAGUUCACCCUUCUCAUUGAGAGAAAACAGACGGAUGGUAUCAUCACAAGCGGCAAAGACAAUUACAUCCUCAGACGAAUGAGUCAAUUGAAUCUGCCUGGCUGCACAAUCAAGCUGAGCCUUGUGCUUAGAAAGCCAAUCCAUUCCGAGAAUAAGAUCAAUAUCCGAGUCCCCAAGAACUGUAGGAGAAGAUAGAAAUUUGUAGUCUCCCAAAGUGAUAGUAACAUCUGGAGCAAUGGAGUUAGCAUGCAUGCGCCUACCGGGAGAGACAACUACUAAUGGACUAGGCAAAAUUUGCAAAGCCAACCCAUGCUUAGAUGAAAACGGUCUCGAUAUGAAAUAAUGCGAUGCACCCGUGUCAAAAAGAACUUUUGCAGGAAUAUCGUUAAUAGGAAGGUUACCCAUGAUGACAUCUGACGAGUCUGCAUUCAUCAAGUUGACCUUGGCGUGCUUGGGGUUAUGCUUGACCACAGGUGUACUUGCCCUCACAGGAGGAGGAGGAGGAGGAAGACGCCUCUGGUUGAAACACUUGUUGGCAUAGUGACCCUUCUAUUGGCACUUGUUGCACGUGACCUCUGAAAGUGGACGGUGAUACGGAGCACUCGAUCUUGGAGCUUGAGACGAAGUCUUGUUCUGAAAGCCAGGGUUGGGUGGGUGGGAAGAUCCACUGCCACCUUUGCUCUUCUGCUGAUACGGCUGACGGAACGGAGGAGGAGGAAGCCAAUACUUCUGCUGCUUGGCCACUUGAGUAGAGGAAGAAGGAGUAACAUCUCUAACUCGCUUCUUGGAAGCAUCACACCUCAGUUGAGCGGCAUCUUGCUUCAAUGCCAUGUUGUAGAACUCAUCGUACCUCAAGGGCUCAAAGAGAACAAGAGCUAGCUGAAUUUCCUCUCUGAGACCACCCCUGAACUGGUAUAUCAUGCUCUUCUCAUCAGGGACGUCCUGCUUGGCAAAGCGGGCGAGCUUCUGAAACAGCUUGUUGUAGUCAUAGACUGACAAAGAGCCUUGCUUCAGGUUGUGGAAUUCCUCACGCUUGCUUUCAACCACGCUCUGAGAAAUAUGAUGAGCUCUGAAAUCUUGACGGAAUUCAUCCCAGGUAAUAACACAUCCACCUCUGGAAUCCUUGUACUGCUGGAACCAUUCUGCAGCUUGAUCUUUGAGUUGGAAGGAAGCAAACUUGACGAAGUCCUCAGGCCCGACGUUACUGCACUUGAAAUGCUUGCACAGAUCCACGAGCCAAUCGUCAGCAUCGGUUGCCUCAACACAAUUGUUGAAAGUCUUUGGCCCAUUAGCAAGGAACUGGUUGAGAGUGGCAAAGUGAUUCUGAUUGUUGCCUUGGUUCCCUUGGUUGCCUUGAUUGCACUCUUGAAGAAUUUGCAUGAUCAACUGUGUGUUUGCAUUGGUUGCGGCCAUCACAGCUUGCCAUGCCUCCGGAGGAGGGGGAGGUGGUGGCGGAUCUUGAUUCUGAUUCUGAUUGGUGCUCUUAGCGGGAGCCAUCCUGAAGAGGUUGACCACCGUUAGCACAUAGAUAGAUAAAAUGAAGCUGAAUCCAAUGGAAUGAAAAUUGCAACAUAAAGUCUUCACAUCCGAACAGAAUGAACGAAUGCAUUCCUCUUGAAAUGGUCACAUAUCCAUAAAUUGACAAGCCACUUAGAAUUUAUGUAGAGAAAUAAAUCAACAAGGUAUGGAUCAAGAACGAAUACUCGGUAAGAAAUCCCAAUCUCAAACCAAAUAUCCGUGGAAGAAGAGCUAGAGCUACUUGAAUUCCCACCUAUGAAACUCCCGAACCUUUCCGGUUAUGCAAUCAGGUGUUGGGGAUACAGGGGAAGCAUAAUAUCUCACCCAAAUCUAGCAAAUCAUACAUCCAGCUGUAUCCAUCCUUCAACACAUAACCGAGAAAACUUCGGAAACCAUCUACCUCAACCUUCGAAAAGCAUCCGUUAUACAAGUUAUGGCGAUACUCCCGAACUCCCGCCCCAUUACGGGGUGGCGUCGAGGUUAUCUCACCAACGAACUACAUAAAAGAGAUUUUCGAUGUCGGCGUACUAAACUCAGGUAUUCCAGAACUGCAACGAUAAAAUUAUGACGACAACACCUCAGAGCUCAACUCCCCGGGACACUUCCACAAAACCCCUGACAGGAGGCACCAAGACAAUGUUCUCGUCAUAAAACCAUCGGAACGAUUCCAAGAUACCCGUGUGAUCCUAAAAAAAAUUAGUGAAAUUUGAGAAAAGAAGAGUCAAAACUCUACGUCAGGAUGCUUUACCAGAGCGAUGAGGAGACUGGGAAGUAAAAAAGAAUUCCUAAACUCUCCGAUAUAUAAUUCCUAAAUGACUCAAAACAUUUUUCUAGACACAACUCAGCCGCUAAUAAUGAUCAAGCAAUGGGGCUCCUAAGGUCGGGGAAGGCUCUAAUUACCAACUUGUAACACCCUCGAUGCGACUAUAUCUCCCACGUGUCGAGGCACGACUUAGAGGCAUAAUCGCAUUAAAGGCAUAUGUCGCAAAUUAGGCAAUCUUCACAACAUCCCAUGUAGUAUAGAUAAUAAAAGGGGAGAUAACAUAGUUGGCUUACACUCGCCACGUCAAUCAAGGUACAUAAAUAACAUUACAUCAUCCAAACACUCAUGGCCCGACUACGGCACCAAAAUAAAAGAUAACCCAACAUGCGACACGGUCCCGAUCGCCCCCAACUGGGCACCACUACUGAUCAUCAGGAAAGGAAACAUAGUAUUGUUGAGAGUGUUGGAGAACGUAGUAAUUUCAAAAAAAUUCCUAUGCACAUGCAAGAUCAUGGUGAUGCAUAGCAACGAGAGGGGAGAGUGUGAUCUACGUAUUUGUAGACCGACAGCGGAAGCGUUAGCACAACGCGGUUGAUGUAGUCGUACGUCUUCACGGCCCGACCGAUCAAGCACCGAAACUAUGGCACCUCCGAGUUUUAGCAUACGUUUAGCUCGAUGACGAUCCCCGGACUCCGAUCCAGCAAAGUGUCGGGGAAGAGUUCCGUCAGCACGACGGCGUGGUGACGAUCUUGAUGUACUAUCGUCGCAGGGCUUCGCCUAAGCACCGCUACAAUAUUGUCGAGGAUUAUGGUGGAAGGGGGCACCGCACACGGCUAAGAAUAUGAUCACGUGGAUCAACUUGUGUGUCUAGGGGUGCCCCCUGCCCCCGUAUAUAAAGGAUCAAGGGGAGGAGGCCGGCCGGCCCCUAUGGCGCGCCAAGGAGGAGUCCUCCUCCUAGUAGGAGUAGGACUCCUACUAGGAGGGGGAAAGAAGUGGGGAGGGAGAAGGAAAGGGGGGCGCCGCCCCCCCCUCUCCUAGUCCAAUUUGGACCAGGGGGGAGGAGGCGCGCGGCCCACCUUUGGCUGCCCCUUUCCCUCUCCACUAAGGCCCAUAUGGCCCAUUACUUCUCCCGGGGGGGUUCCGGUAACCCUCCGGCUCUCCGGUUUUCUCCGAAAUCACCCGGAACACUUCCGGUGUCCGAAUGUAGCCGUCCAAUAUAUCAAUCUUUAUGUCUCGACCAUUUAGAGACUCCUCGUCAUGUUCGUGAUCACAUCCGGGACUCCGAACUAACUUCGGUACAUCAAAACUCAUAAACUCAUAAUAUAACUGUCAUUGAAACCUUAAGCGUGCGGACCCUACGGGUUCGAGAACAAUGUAGACAUGACCGAGACACGUAUCCGGUCAAUAACCAAUAGCGGAACCUAGAUGCUCAUAUUGGCUCCUACAUAUUCUACGAAGAUCUUUAUCGGUCAGACUGCAUAACAACAUACGUUGUUCCCUUUGUCAUCGGUAUGUUACUUGCCCGAGAUUCGAUCGUCGGUAUCUCAAUACCUAGUUCAAUCUUGUUACCGGCAAGUCUCUUUACUCGUUUCGUAAUACAUCAUCUCGCAACUAACUCAUUAGUUGCAAUGCUUGCAAGGCUUAAGUGAUGUGCAUUACCGAGAGGGCCCAGAGAUACCUCUCCGACAAUCGGAGUGACAAAUCCUAAUCUCGAAAUAUGCCAACCCAACAUGUACCUUUGGAGACACCUGUAGAGUACCUUUAUAAUCACCCAUUUAUGUUGUGACGUUUGGUAGCACACAAAGUGUUGCUCCGGCAAACGGGAGUUGCAUAAUCUCAUAGUCAUAGGAACAUGUAUAAGUCAUGAAGAAAGCAAUAACAACAUACUAAACGAUCGGGUGCUUAGCUAAUGGAAUGGGUAAUGUCAAUCAGAUCAUUCACCUAAUGAUGUGAUCCCGUUAAUCAAAUAACAACUCUUUGUUCAUGGUUAGGAAACAUAACCAUCUUUGAUUAACGAGCUAGUCAAGUAGAGGCAUACUAGUGACACUCCGUUUGUCUAUGUAUUCACACAUGUAUUAUGUUUCCGGUUAAUACAAUUCUAGCAUGAAUAAUAAACAUUUAUCAUGAUAUAAGGAAAUAAAUAAUAACUUUAUUAUUGCCUCUAGGGCAUAUUUCCUUCAGAGAGUCCUCGUCGAACUCCCACUUGAGCUCAAGCGCGUCACCUGGAGUGGAAUCAUCAGGCCCUGCAUCUGGUUUAAUAGUAAUCUGUGAGCCAGAGGGACUCAGCAAUCUCGCACCCUCGCGAUCAAGACUAUUUAAGCUUAUAGGUAAGGCAAGGUAAAUAUGUGGAGCUGCAGCAAGCGACUAGCAUAUAUGGUGGCUAUCCUGUUCGCAAAAGAGGGCGAGAAGAGAAGGCUAAGCGCGAAUGAAUAACUAGAGAGCAACCUGCGCAAACAUUACUCCAACACCGUGUCCACUUCCCGGACUCCGCCGAGAAGAGGCCAUCACGGUAACUCACACUGUUGAUUCAUUUUAAUUAAGUUAAGGUUCAAGUUGUCUACAACCGGACAUUAACAAAUUCCCAUCUGCCCAUAACCACGGGCACGGCUUUCGAAAGUUCAAAUCCCUGCAGGGGAGUCCCAACUUAGCCCAUGAUAAGCUCUCACGGUCAACGAAGGAAUAGACCUCCUCCCGAGACGUUCCGAUCAGACUCGGUAUCUCGGUUCUUCAAGACACUUCGACAGGUUAAAACAAAUCCAGCAACACCGUCCGAAUGUGCCGACAAAUCCCGAUAGGAGCUGCACAUAUCUCUUUCUCAGGGCACACUCAGAUUGUCUUAGGUACGGGUAGGCCAGCCCAGAGUUGCCCCUGGUGGCCACCGGCAGCUGACAGGUGGACCAACACUCAGAGGAGCACUGGCCCGGGGGGGUUUAAAAUAAGAUGACCCUCGGGCUUCGGAAACCCAAGGGAAAAAGAGGCUAGGUGGAAAAUGGUAAAACCAAGGUUGGGCAUUGCUGGAAAAUCUUUAAUCAAGGCGAACUAUCAAGGGGUUCCCAUUAUAACCCAACCGCGUAAGGAACGCAAAAUCCGGGAACAUAACACCGAUAUGAUGGAAACUAGGGCGGCAAGAGUGGAACAAAACACUAGGCGAGAGGCCGAGCCUUCCACCCUUUACCAAGUAUAUAGAUGCAUUAAGAUAACAUGCCAAUAUAAUGAUAUCCCAACAAGUAAAUAAAUGUUCCAACAAGGAACGGUCUCCAAUCUUCACCUGCAACUAGCAACGCUAUAAGAGGGGUUGAGCAAAGCGGUAACAUAGCCAAUCAACAGUUUGCUAGGACAUGGUGGGUUAGAGGUUUGACAUGGCAAUUUGGGAGGCUUGAAAGCAAGUGGUAGGCAUCGUUGCAUUGGCAUAGCAAAAGAGCGAGCAUCUAGCAAAGCAAAGAUAGUAGUGAUUUUGAGGGUAUGAUCAUCUUGCCUGCAAAGUUGUCAAAGUUGACUGGAUCCUCGAAAGCAAACUCAACGGGCUCCUCGUUAGCGACCUCGUCUCCCGGCUCUACCCAAACAAGACAAACAAGCAAACAGAACACAAUCAACCACGUGCAAAGCUCAAACAAUAUGAUGCAAAGAUGAUAUGCUAUGCGGGAUGCAUAUGCAAGAUUUGAUAAGGAAUUCACGAACCUGGCCUCAACUUGGGAAUCCAAGUGUGCCACUGGAAAGAUGAGAUGAAAUCGCUUGAAAACGAUAUAAAGAUCACCGGAAUCGGGGUUACGGUUUGGAAAUGGCAAGCAAAUCAAAUAUGAUCACGUUCUGCGAUUUACAGCAAGUAGCCAUCUAAAUGCAAUGAGAUGAACAAGCUACAGCACCCAAACAUGGCAUAAAAAUACAUGGCAGGGAUGCAUUCCUGAUUCUUAACAAAAGUCUAGCACUGAGCUACGGCCAAUUCAUCUAUUAACAGGUUCAAACAAGCAUGGCAAAAAUGCAUAUGGUAAACAGAUUUCAGACUUAGUGAAAUUAACACUUGUCUGGAAUUUCAGAUCAGGUAGCACUCUUCGGAGCAUGAAAACUAUAUGCUACAGGACCUGAACAUGGCAAAGUAAAACAUGGCAUGGAGCUACUCAAAGCGCUUAACAAAAGUCCCUUAGUGAACUGGAGCCAAAAGGGAUCAGAAAAUACAUUUGCAAGCAUGUGAACAUGGCAAAAACAUAAUCAGAUCAUAGACUUAGUGAAAACUGGAGCAUGCUGAAAACAGAUAUCAAGUAGGCAUGUUUAUGAGCUCGAUGCACUCACUACAUAGCAAGUCAUGACAAUCUAUGAAUACACCCAUCAAGAAUACACAAAAUGCAAGCUAGACAUGGCAAGAACAAUAACAUAGCAUGCACGGAUCAACUAAAACAUCCUCGGCAAAAUUGCUAACAAGUAGACAAUCUGCCCAGAUUCACGAAAUAGCAAAAGUAGAGCUCGGUUGACUCAAGCUAGGGUGCUCCAUAAUUGCAAACAAAGACAUGGAUGGAUAGAGAACUACAAGAUUAACAAAACAUCCUUACUUAUCAUCCUCAAAAGAGGCACGGAUCACUAGGAAACAACAUGAACAUAUGGCCAUAUGAGAUAACCAGAUCAAGGACUUAGUGGAAUUGCAAAGUCCUUGAAAUCAGCAUUACCAAGUGCCUCACUUUGCAAGCUUGUGCUAGUCAGCACACACAUCACAAAAAUACAUGGGUUGCACCUCUGGAAAGAUGGCAAAACCCUUAACAAAACAUAUGUAGAGCUCAUGGGCAUAUCAUGCACACAAUAAUCAUGGCAAAAAUGACAAAUAUCUAAAUGGAGUAGCAGAUCUGACAAUUAUCUCAAGUAGCACUCUUCCAACAGCAUUUAGGGCAUUAAGAUGAACUCAAAUUAAAAUGAUGCAAUGCGACGAAAUGAUGUGCUCUCUGAGGCGAACAUUUUGAUAUGCUAUAUGCCCAAAACGGAGCUACGGAUGAGGAGUUACGGCACGAUAAACAAGGGCAUAUGAACUAGGGUUAGGGAGAAAGUCAACCGUCGUUUUGGAUCUAGAUCCAGAUCCGGAUCGCGCGUGUUUCGAGGUUCGCCGAAGACCUGUUCGCCGGAGUAGCCGCGGGGCGUCGCUGGAGGUCGGAGACGAGGAGGGAGAGGCCGGGGCGAUGUGGGCCUCGGGGGAGAGGUCGCCGGCGGGUGUACCGCGCGGCGCCGCGCCUGUCGGGAGGCGGCGGGGUCGGUCCGGCGGGCUCGCAGCCNNNNNNNNNNNNNNNNNNNNNNNNNNNNNNNNNNNNNNNNNNNNNNNNNNNNNNNNNNNNNNNNNNNNNNNNNNNNNNNNNNNNNNNNNNNNNNNNNNNNNNNNNNNNNNNNNNNNNNNNNNNNNNNNNNNNNNNNNNNNNNNNNNNNNNNNNNNNNNNNNNNNNNNNNNNNNNNNNNNNNNNNNNNNNNNNNNNNNNNNNNNNNNNNNNNNNNNNNNNNNNNNNNNNNNNNNNNNNNNNNNNNNNNNNNNNNNNNNNNNNNNNNNNNNNNNNNNNNNNNNNNNNNNNNNNNNNNNNNNNNNNNNNNNNNNNNNNNNNNNNNNNNNNNNNNNNNNNNNNNNNNNNNNNNNNNNNNNNNNNNNNNNNNNNNNNNNNNNNNNNNNNNNNNNNNNNNNNNNNNNNNNNNNNNNNNNNNNNNNNNNNGGGCGCGGCGCCGAUGGCCUCGGGCGGCCGGACGCGAGGAGGGUGGUGGCGGCUUGCGAACAUGAGGCGGCGGGGCGAUGUGGGCCUCGGGGGCCCCGAGCGCUGCGGCGGCGAAGUGGGCGCGUGGGCGCCACGUGGCAAGAUCUGGUAGGUCGGCGGCGGUGGGCGGACAAUGUCCGGCCGUCCGGAUUUUGUCCGGCGGCUGGAGGAGGAGGAGGGUUAGGGUUUCUCCUGAGAUUUCAAUGGGGAAGAUAUAUAUAGGCAUAGAGGGAGCUAGGAGAGUCCAAAUGAGGUGCGGUUUUCGGCCACGCGAUCGUGAUCGAACUCUCUAGAUGAUGGAGAAGGUUUAGGUGGGUUUUGGGCCAACUUGGAAGGGUGUUGGGCUGCAACACACACGAGGCCUUUACGGUCCCUCGGUUAACCGUUGGAGUAUCAAACAAAGUCCAAAUGAUACGAAACUUGACAGGCGGUCUACCGGUAGUAAACCAAGGCCGCUUGGCAAGUCUCGGUCUAAUCCGGAAAUGUUUAAUCCCCACACACGAAAGAAAGGUAGAAAUGACCACCGGAGGAGAACGAAGCGCCGGAAUGCAAAACGGACAACGGGGAAAAUGCUCGAAUGCAUGAGAUGAACAUGUAUGCAAAUGCAAUGCACAUGAUGACAUGAUAUGAGAUGCAUGACAACGACAAAAACACACGGAGACAAAAACCCAAACCCGAGGAAAUAAAAUAACAUAAGGCCAGAAAUAGCAAGAGUUGGAAUACAUAGUGGGAAAGUCAUAUCCGGGGUGUUACAAAUAAUGUGUUAGGCUCAGGCUAGAGAAGAAAUAGGGAACAAACUUAUGAAAGAAUGAUCAUACCGAGGGAAUUCACUCAGAACUAACAAGAAUGAUCACGUGCUCCGACUGGAGCGCUUAGGAACUGCUGGAAGGAUCUAGGGGAAUAAAGAUGGAAUGACUUCAAAUUUUUAGGCCCAUAUGAUUUGAAAUACUUGCACACAAACCGCGAGAAAGCGUUCCUGGAAAUCUCAGCCCAAAAAAGGAUGUUUAGUAAUUCUAAAAGGGACUACAGGAUGAAAAACAAUAGUUUUGGCAGUUAAAGUUUGAGAUUUGACGGUGUCGUAGAUCCGUUUGGUCAUCAGGUGUUACGAGCCACACCCAUGUCUAGCUAGAAUAGUGUGUUAGGCUCAGGCUAGAGAAGAAACGGGGAACAAACUGAUGAAAGAAUGAUCAAACCGAGGGGAUUCACUCAGAACUAACAAGAAUGAUAACGUGCUCCGACUAGAGCGGUUUAGGAACUUCUGGAAGGCUCUAGGGGAAUAAAGAUGGAAUGACUUCUAAUUUUUAGGUCCGUAUGAUUUGAAAUACUUUCACACAAACCGCGCGAAAGCGUUCCUGGAAAUCUCAGCCCCAAAAAGGACGUUUAGUAAUUCUAGAAGGGACUAUAGGAUGAAAAACAAUAGUUUUGGUAGUUAAAGUUUGAGAUUCGAUGGUGCCGUGGAUCCGUUUGGUCAUCAGGUGUUACGAGCCACACCCAUGUCUAGCUAGAAUAGUAUGUUAGGCUCAGGUUAGAGAAGAAACGGGGAACAAACUGAUGAAAAAAUGAUCAUACCAAGGGAAUUCACUCAGAACUAACAAGAAUGAUAACGUGCUCCGACUGGAGCGGUUUAGGAACUGCUGGAAGGCUCUAGGGGAAUAAAGAUGGAAUGACUUCUAAUUUUUACGUCCGUAUGAUUUGAAAUACUUGCACACAAACCACGCAAAAGCGUUCCUGGAAAUCUCAGCCUAAAAAAGGACGUUUAGUAAUUCUAAAAGGGACUACAGGAUGAAAAAUAAUAGUUUGGGCAGUUAAAAUUUGAGAUUCAACGGUGCCGUAGAUCCGUUUGGUCAUGAGGUGUUACGAGCCACACCCAUGUCUAGCUAGAAUAGUGUGUUAGGCUCAGGCUAGAGAAGAAACGGGGAACAAAUUGAUGAAAGAAUGAUCAUACCGAGGGAAUUCACUCAGAACUAACAAGAAUGAUAACGUGCUCCGACUGGAGCAGUUUGGAAACUGUUGGUAGGCUCUAGGGGAAUAAAGAUGGAAUCACUUCAAAUUUUUAGGUCCGUAUGAUUUGAAAUACUGGCACACAAACCGCGCGAAAGUGUUCCUGGAAAUCUCAGCCCAAAAAAGGACGUUUAGUAAUUCUAAAAGGGACUACAGGAUGAAAAACAAUACUUUUGGCAGUUAAAGUUUGAGAUUCGACGGUGCCGUAGAUCUGUUUGGUCAUCAGGUGUAACGAGCCACACCCAUGUCUAGCUAGAGUAGUGUGCUAGGCUCAGACUAGAGAAGAAACGGGGAACAAAGUGAUGAAAGAAUGAUCAUACCGAGGGAAUUCACUCAGAACUAACAAGAAUGAUAACGUGCUCCGACUGGAGCGGUUUAGGAACUGCUGGAAGGCUCUAGGGAAAUAAAGAUGGAAUGACUUCUAAUUUUUAGGUCCAUAUCAUUUGAAAUACGUGCACACAAACCCCGAGAAAGCGUUCCUGGAAAUCUCGGCCGAAAAAAGGAUGUUUAAUAAUUCUAAAAGGGACUACAGGAUGAAAAACAAUAGUUUUGGCAGUUAAAGUUUGAGAUUUGACGGUGCCGUAGAUCUGUUUGGUCAUCAGGGGUUACGAGCCACACCCAUGUCUAGCUAGAAUAGUGUGUUAGGCUCAGGCUAGAGAAGAAACGGGGAACAAAUUGAUGAAAGAAUGAUCAUACCGAGGGAAUUCACUCAGAACUAACAAGAAUGAUAACGUGCUCCGACUGGAGCAGUUUGGAAACUGUUGGUAGGCUCUAGGGGAAUAAAGAUGGAAUCACUUCUAAUUUUUAGGUCCGUAUGAUUUGAAAUACAUGCACACAAACCCCAAGAAAGCGUUCCUGGAAAUCUCGCCCCGAAAAACGACGUUUAGUAAUUCUAAAAGGGACUACAGGAUGAAAAACAAUACUUUUGGCAGUUAAAGUUUGAGAUUCGACGGUGCCGUAGAUCUGUUUGGUCAUCAGGUGUAACGAGCCACACCCAUGUCUAGCUAGAGUAGUGUGCUAGGCUCAGACUAGAGAAGAAACGGGGAACAAAGUGAUGAAAGAAUGAUCAUACCGAGGGAAUUCACUCAGAACUAACAAGAAUGAUAACAUGCUCCGACUGGAGCGGUUUAGGAAGUGCUGGAAGGCUCUAGGGAAAUAAAGAUGGAAUGACUUCUAAUUUUUAGGUCCAUAUCAUUUGAAAUACGUGCACACAAACCCCGAGAAAGCGUUCCUGGAAAUCUCGGCCGAAAAAAGGAUGUUUAAUAAUUCUAAAAGGGACUACAGGAUGAAAAACAAUAGUUUUGGCAGUUAAAGUUUGUGAUUCGAUGGUGCCGUAGAUCUGUUUGGUCAUCAGGUGUUACGAGCCACACCCAUGUCUAGCUAGAACAGUGUGUUAGGCUCAGGCUAGAGCAGAAACGGGGAACAAACUUAUGAAAGAAUGAUCAUACCGAGGGAAUUCACUCAGAACUAACAAGAAUGAUAACGUGCUCCAACUGGAGCGGUUUAGGAACUGCUGGAAGGCUCUAGGGGAAUAAAGAUGGAAUGACUUCAAAUUUUUAGGUCCGUAUGAUUUGAAAUACUUGCACACAAACCGCUAGAAAGCGUUCCUGGAAAUCUCAGCCCAAAAAAGGACGUUUAGUAAUUCUAAAAGGGACUACAGGAUGAAAAACAAUAGUUCUGGCAGUUAAAGUUUGAGCUUCGAUAAUGUCGUAGAUCCGUUUGGUCAUCAGGUGUAACGAGCCACACCCAUUUCUAGCUAGAGUAGUGUGCUAGGCUCAGACUAGAGAAGAAAUGGGCAACAAACUAAUGAAAGAAUGAUCAUACCGAGGGAAUUCACUCAGAACUAACAAGAAUGAUAACGUGCUCCGACUGGAGCGGUUUAGGAACUGCUGGAAGGCUCUAGGGGAAUAAAGAAGGAAUGACUUCUAAUUUUUAGGUCCGUAUGAUUUGAAAUGUGUGCACACAAACCCCGAGAAAGCAUUCCUGGAAAUCUCGGCCCAAAAAAGGACGUUUAGUAAUUCUAAAAGGGACUACAGGAUGAAAAACAAUAGUUUUGGCAGUUAAAGUUUGAGAUUCGAUAAUGCCGUAGAUCCGUUUGGUCAUCAGGUGUAACGAGCCACACCCAUGUCUGGUUAGAGUAGUGUGCUAGGCUCAGACUAGAUAAGAAACGGGGAACAAACUGAUGAAAGAAUGAUCAUACCGAGCGAAUUCACUCAGAACUAACAAGAAUGAUAACAUGCUCCGACUGGAGCGGUUUAGGAACUGCUGGAAGGCUCUAGGGGAAUAAAGAUGGAAUGACUUCUAAUUUUUAGGUCCGUAUGAUUUGAAAUACUUGCACACAAACCACGCGAAAGCGUUCCUGGAAAUCUCAGCCCAAAAAAGGACGUUUAGUAAUUCUAAAAGGGACUACAGGAUGAAAAACAAUAGUUUUGGCAGUUAAAGUUUGAGAUUCGACAGUGCCGUAGAUCCGUUUGGUCAUCAGGUAUUACGAGCCACACCCAUGUCUAGCUAGAAUAGUGUGCUAGGCUCAGGCUAGAGAAGAAACGGGGAACAAACUGAUGAAAGAAUGAUCAAACCGAGGGAAUUCACUCAGAACUAACAAUAAUGAUAACGUGCUCCGACUGGUGCGGUUUAGGAACUGCUGGAAGGCUCUAGGGGAAUAAAGAUGGAAUGACUUCUAAUUUUUAGGUCCGUAUGAUUUGAAAUACUUGCACACAAACCGCGCGAAAGCGUUCCUGGAAAUCUCAGCCCAAAAAAGGACGUUUAGUAAUUUUAAAAGGGACUAUAGGAUGAAAAACAAUAGUUUUGGCAAUUAAAGUUUGAGAUUCGACGGUGUCGUAGAUCCGUUUGGUCAUCAGGUGUUACGAGCCACACCCAUGUCUAGCUAGAAUAGUAUGUCAGGCUCAGGUUAGAGUAGAAACGGGGAACAAACUGAUGAAAGAAUGAUCAUACCAAGGGAAUUCACUCAGAACUAUCAAGAAUGAUAACGUGCUCCGACUGGAGUGAUUUAGGAACUGCUGGAAGGCUCUAGGGGAAUAAAGAUGGAAUGACUUCUAAUUUUUACGUCCGUAUGAUUUGAAAUACUUGCACACAAAUCACGCAAAAGCGUUCCUGGAAAUCUCAGCCUAAAAAAGGACGUUUAGUAAUUCUAAAAGGGACUACAGGAUGAAAAACAAUAGUUUGGGCAGUUAAAAUUUGAGAUUCGACGGUGCCGUAGAUCCGUUUGGUCAUCAGGUGUUACGAGCGACACCCUUGUCUAGCUAGAAUAGUGUGUUAGGCUCAGACUAGAGAAGAAACGGGGAACAAAGUGAUGAAAGAAUGAUCAUACCGAGGGAAUUCACUCAGAACUAACAAGAAUGAUAACGUGCUCCGACUGGAGCGGUUUAGUAACUGCUGGAAGGCUCUAGGGGAAUGAAGAUGGAAUGACUUCUAAUUUUUAGGUCCGUAUGAUUUGAAAUACAUGCACACAAACCCUGAGAAAGCGUUCCUGGAAAUCUCGGUCGAAAAAAGGAUGUUUAAUAAUUCUAAAAGGGACUACCGGAUGAAAAACAAUAGUUUUGGCAGUUAAAGUUUGUGAUUCGAUGGUGCCGUAGAUCUGUUUGGUCAUCAGGUGUUACGAGCCACACCCAUGUCUAUCUAGAAUAGUGUGUUAGGCUCAGGCUAGAGCAGAAACGGGGAACAGACUUAUGAAAGAAUGAUCAUACCGAGGGAAUUCACUCAGAACUAACAAGAAUGAUAACGUGCUCCGACUGGCGCGGUUUAGGAACUGCUGGAAGGCUCUAGGGGAAUAAAGAUGGAAAGACUUCUAAUUUUUAGGUCCGUAUGAUUUGAAAUACUUGCACACAAACCGCACGAAAGCGUUCCUGGAAAUCUCAGCCUAAAAAGGAUGUUUAGUAAUUCUAAAAGGGACUACAAGAUGAAAAAUAAUAGUUUGGGCAGUUAAAAUUUGAGAUUCGACGAUGCCGUAGAUCCGUUUGGUCAUCAGGUGUUAUGAGCCACACCCAUGUCUAGCUAGAAUAGUGUGUUAGGCUCAGGCUAGAGAAGAAACGGGGAACAAACUGAUGAAAGAAUGAUCAUACCGAGGGAAUUCACUCAGAACUAACAAGAAUGAUAACGUGCUCCGACUGGAGCAGUUUAGAAACUGCUGGAAGGCUCUAAUGGAAUAAAGAUGGAAUGCCUUCAAAUUUCUAGGUCCGUAUGAUUUGAAAUACUUGCACACAAACCGCUCGAAAGCGUUCCUGGAAAUCUCAGCCCAAAAAAGGACGUUUAGUAAUUCUAAAAGGGACUACAGGAUGAAAAACAAUAGUUUUGGCAGUUAAAGUUUGAGAUUCGAUGGUGCCGUAGAUCCGUUUGGUCAUCAGGUGUAACGAGCCACACACAUGUCUAGCUAGAGUAGUGUGCUAGGCUCAGACUAGAGAAGAAACGGGGAACAAAGUGAUGAAAGAAUGAUCAUACCGAGGGAAUUCACUCAGAACUUACAAGAAUGAUAACGUGCUCCGACUGGAGCGCUUUAGUAACUGCUGGAAGGCUCUAGGCGAAUAAAGAUGGAAUGACUUCUAAUUUUUAGGUCCGUAUGAUUUGAAAUACUUGCACACAAACCACGCAAAACCGUUCCUAGAAAUCUCGGUCGAAAAAAGGACGUUUAGUAAUUCUAAAAGGGACUACAGGAUGAAAAACAAUAGUUUUGGCAGUUAAAGUUUGAGAUUCGAUGGUGCCGUAGAUCCGUUUGGUCAUCAGGUGUUACGAGCCACACCCAUGUCUAGCUAGAGUAGUGUGCUAGGUUCAGACUAGAGAAGAAACGGGGAACAAAGUGAUUAAAGAAUGAUCAUACCGAGGGAAUUCACUCAGAACUAACAAGAAUGAUAACGUGCUCCGACUGGAGCGGUUUAGGAACUGCUGGAAGGCUCUAGGGGAAUAAAGAUGGAAUGACUUCUAAUUUUUACGUCCGUAUGAUUUGAAAUACAUGCACACAAACCACGCAAAAGCGUUCCUGGAAAUCUCAGCCUAAAAAAGGACGUUUAGUAAUUCUAAAAGGGACUACAGGAUGAAAAAUAAUAGUUUGGGCAGUUAAAAUUUGAGAUUCGACGCUGCCGUAGAUCCGUUUGGUCAUCAGGUCUUACGAGCCACACCCAUGUCUAGCUAGAAUAGUGUGUUAGGCUCAGGCUAGAGAAGAAACGGGGAACAAACUGAUGAAAGAAUGAUCAUACCGAGGGAAUUCACUCAGAACUAACAAGAAUGAUAACGUGCUCCGACUGGAGCAGUUUAGAAACUCCUGGAAGGCUCUAGGGGAAUAAAGAUGGAAUGACUUCAAAGUUUUAGGUCCGUAUGAUUUGAAAUACUUGCACACAAACCGCGUGAAAGCGUUCCUGGAAAUCUCAACCCAAAAAAGGGCGUUUAGUAAUUCUAAAAGGGACUACAGGAUGUAAAACAAUAGUUUUGGCAGUUAAAGUUUGAGAUUCGAUGGUGCCGUAGAUCCGUUUGGUCAUCAGGUGUAACGAGCCACACCCAUGUCUAGCUAGAGUAGUGUGCUAGGCUCAGACUAGAGAAGAAACGGGGAACAAAGUGAUGAAAGAAUGAUCAUACCGAGGGAAUUCACUCAUAACUAACAAGAAUGAUAACGUGCUCUGACUUGAGCGGUUUAGGAACUGCUGGAAGGCUAUAGGGGAAUAAAGAUGGAAUGACUUCAAAUUUUUAGGUCCGUAUGAUCUGAAAUACUUGCACACAAACCGCGAGAAAGCGUUCCUGGAAAUCUCAACCCAAAAAAGGACGUUUAGUAAUUCUAAAAGGGACUACAGGAUGAAAAACAAUAGUUCUGGCAGUUAUUGUUUGAGAUUCGAUAAUCUCGUAGAUCCGUUUGGUCAUCAGGUGUAACGAGCCACACCCAUGUCUAGCUAGAGUAGUGUGCUAGGCUCAGACUAGAGAAGAAACGGGGAACAAACUGAUGAAAGAAUGAUCAUACCGAGGGAAUUCACUUAGAACUAACAAGAAUGAUAACGUGCUCCGACUGGAGCGGUUUAGGAACUGCUGGAAGGCUCUAGGGGAAUAAAGAAGGAACGACUUCUAAUUUUUAGGUCCGUAUGAUUUGAAAUAUGUGCACACAAACCACGAGAAAGCGUUCCUAGAAAUCUCGGCCCAAAAGAGGACGUUUAGUAUUCUAAAAGGGACUACAGAAUGAAAAACAAUAGUUUUGGCAGUUAAAGUUUGAGAUUUGACGGUGCCGUAGAUCUGUUUGGUCAUCAGGGGUUACGAGCCACACCCAUGUCUAGCUAGAAUAGUGUGUUAGGCUCAGGCUAGAAAAGAAACGGGGAACAAAGUGAUGAAAGAAUGAUCAUACCGAGGGAAUUCACUCAGAACUAACAAGAAUGAUAACAUGCUCCGACUGGAGCGGUUUAGGAACUGCUGGAAGGCUCUAGGGGAAUAAAGAUGGAAUGACUUCUAAUUUUUAGGUCCGUAUGAUUUGAAAUACUUGCACACAAACCGCGCGAAAGCGUUCCUGGAAAUCUCAGCCCAAAAAAGGACGUUUAGUAAUUCUAAAAGGGACUACAGGAUGAAAAACAAUAGUUUUGGCAGUUAAAGUAUGAGAUUCAACGGUGCCGUAGAUCCGUUUGGUCAUUAGGUGUUACGAGCCACACCCAUGUCUAGCUAGAAUAGUGUGCUAGGCUCAGGCUAGAGAAGAAACGGGGAACAAACUGAUGAAAGAAUGAUCAAACCGAGGGAAUUCACUCAGAACUAACAAUAAUGAUAACGUGCUCCGACUGGAGCGGUUUAGGAACUGCUGGAAGUCUCUAGGGGAAUAAAGAUGGAAUGACUUCUAAUUUUUACGUUCGUAUGAUUUGAAAAACUUGCCCAUAAACCGCGCGAAAGUGUUCCUGGAAAUCUCAGCCCAAAAAAGGACGUUUAGUAAUUUUAAAAGGGACUACACGAUGAAAAACAAUAGUUUUGGCAGGUAAAGUUUGAGAUUCGACAGUGCCGUAGAUCCGUUUGGUCAUCAGGUGUUACGAGCCACACCCAUGUCUAGCUAGAAUAGUAUGUUACGCUCAGGUUAGAGAAGAAACGGGGAACAAACUGAUGAAAGAUGAUCAUACCAAGGGAAUUCACUCAGAACUAACAAGAAUGAUAACGUGCUCCGACUGGAGCGGUUUAGGAACUGCUGGAAGGCUCUAGGGGAAUAAAGAUGGAAUGACUUCUAAUUUUUACGUCUGUAUGAUUUGAAAUACUUGCACACAAACAACGCAAAAGCAUUCCUGGAAAUCUCAUCCUAAAAAAGGACGUUUAGUAAUUCUAAAAGGGACUACAGGAUGAAAAAUAAUAGUUUGGGAAGUUAAAAUUUGAGAUUCGAUAGUGCCGUAGAUCCGUUUGGUCAUCAGGUGUUAGGAGCCACACCCAUGUCUAGCUAGAAUAGUGUGUUAGGCUCAGGCUAGAGAAGAAACAGGGAACAAACUGAUGAAAGAAUGAUCAUACCGAGGGAAUUCACUCAGAACUAGCAAGAAUGAUAACGUGCUCCGACUGGAGCAGUUUUGAAACUGCUGGAAGGCUCUAGGGGAAUAAUGAUGGAAUGACUUCUAAGUUUUUGGUCCGUAUGAUUUGAAAUACGUGCACACAAACCCAGAGAAAGUGUUCUUGGAAAUCUCGGCCGAAAAAAGGAUGUUUAAUAAUUCUAAAAGGGACUACAGGAUGAAAAACAAUAGUUUUGGCAGUUAAAGUUUGUGAUUCGAUGGUGCUGUAGAUCUGUUUGGUCAUCAGGUGUUAUGAGCCACACCCAUGUCUAGCUAGAACAGUGUGUUAGGCUCAGGCUAGAGCAGAAACGGGGAACAAACUUAUGAAAGAAUGAUCAUACCGAGGGAAUUCACUCAGAACUAACAAGAAUGAUAACGUGCUCCGACUGGAGAGGUUUAGGAACUGCUGGAAGGCUCUAGGGGAAUAAAGAUGGAAUGACUUCAAAUUUUUAGGUCUGUAUGAUCUGAAAUACUUGCACACAAACCGCGAGAAAGCGUUCCUGGAAAUCUCAGCCCAAAAAAGGACGUUUAGUGAUUCUAAAAGGGACUACGGGAUAAAAAACAAUAGUUUUGGCAGUUAAAGUUUGAGAUUCGAUAAUGCCGUAGAUCCGUUUGGUCAUCAGGUGUAACGAGCCACACCCAUGUCUAGCUAGAGUAGUGUGCUAGGCUCAUACUAGAGAAGAAAUGGGGAACAAACUGAUGAAAGAAUGAUCAUACCGAGGGAGUUCACUCAAAACUAACAUGAAUGAUAACGUGCUCCGACUGGAGCGGUUUAGGAACUGCUGGAAGGCUCUAGGGGAAUAAAGAUGGAAUGACUUCUAAUUUUUAGGUCCGUAUGAUUUGAAAUACAUGCACACAAACCCCAAGAAAGCGUUCCUGGAAAUCUCGCCCCGAAAAACGACGUUUAGUAAUUCUAAAAGGGACUAUAGGAUGAAAAACAAUAGUUUUGGCAGUUAAAGUUUGAGAUUUGACGGUGCCGUAGAUCUGUUUGGUCAUCAGGUGUUACGAGCCACACCCAUUUCUAGCUAGAAUAGUGUGUUAGGCUCAGGCUAGAAAAGAAACGGGGAACAAAGUGAUGAAAGAAUGAUCAUACCGAGGGAAUUCACUCAGAACUAACAAGAAUGAUAACAUGGUCCGACUGGAGCGGUUUAGGAACUGCUGGAAGGCUCUAGGGGAAUAAAGAUGGAAUGACUUCUAACUUUUAGGUCCGUAUGAUUUGAAUUACUUGCACACAAACCGCGCGAAAGCGUUCCUGGAAAUCUCAGCCCAAAAAAGGACGUUUAGUAAUUCUAAAAGGGACUACAGGAUGAAAAACAAUAGUUUUGGCAGUUAAAGUUUGAGAUUCGACGGUGCCGUAGAUCCGUUUGGUCAGCAGGUGUUACGAGCCACACCCAUGUCUAGCUAGAGUAGUGUGCUAGGUUCAGACUAGAGAAGAAAUGUUGGGGAACGUAGCAGAAAUUCAAAAUUUUCCUACGUGUCACCAAGAUCUAUCUAUGGAGAGACUAGCAACGAGGGAAGGAGAGUGCAUCUACAUACCCUUGUAGAUCGCUAAGCGGAAGCGUUCAAGUGAACGGGGUUGAUGGAGUCGUACUCGUCGUGAUUCAGCUCACCGAUGAUCCUAGUGCCGAACGGACGGCACCUCCGCGUUCAACACACGUACAGCUCGACGAUGUCUCCCACGCCUUGAUCCAGCAAGGAGAGAGGGAGAGGUUGAGGAAGACUCCAUCCAGCAGAAGCACAACGGCGUGGUGGUGAUGGAGGAGCAUGGCAAUCCUGCAGGGCUUCGCCAAGCACCUAUGGGAGAGGAGGAGGUGUCACGGGAGGGAGGGAGGCGCCAAGGGCUCAGGUAUAGAUGCCCUCCCUCCCCUCCACUAUAUAUAGGGGCAAGGGAGAGGGGGGAGGCGCAGCCUUGCCCCUUCCUCCAAGGAAGGGGUGCGGCUAAGAGGGGGGGAGGAGUCCAUCCUCCCCAAGGCACCUCGGAGGUGCCUUCCCCCUUUAGGACUCUCCCCUUUUUCCUAUAUCUUGGCGCAUGGGCCUCUAGGGGCUGGUUCCCUUGGCCCAUGUAGGCCCAGGCGCACCCCCUACAGCCCAUGUGGCCCCCCGGGGCAGGUGGCCCCACCUGGUGGGCCCCCGGGACCCUUCCGGUGGUCCCGGUACAAUACCGAUGACCCCGAAACUUGUCCCGAUGGCCGAAACAGGACUUCCUAUAUAUAAAUCUUUACCUCCGGACAAUUCCGGAACUCCUCGUGACGUCCGGGAUCUCAUCCGGGACUCCGAACAACAUUCGGUAACCACAUACAAACUUCCUUUAUAACCCUAGCGUCAUCGAACCUUAAGUGUGUAGACCCUACGGGUUCGGGAGACAUGUAGUCAUGACCGAGAUGUUCUCCGGUCAAUAACCAACAGCGGGAUCUGGAUACCCAUGUUGGCUCCCACAUGUUCCACGAUGAUCUCAUCGGAUGAACCACGAUGUCAAGGACUCAAUCAAUCCCGUAUACAAUUCCCUUUGUCUAGCGGUAUGGUACUUGCCCGAGAUUCGAUCGUCGGUAUACCGAUACCUUGUUCAAUCUCGUUACCGGCAAGUCUCUUUACUCAUUUCGUAACACAUCAUCCCGUGAUCAACCCCUUGGUCACAUUGUGCACAUUAUGAUGAUGUCCUACCGAGUGGGCCCAGAGAUACCUCUCCGUUUACACGGAGUGACAAAAUCCCAAUCUCGAUUCGUGCCAACCCAACAGACACUUUCAGAGAUACCCGUAGUGUACCUUUACAGCCACCCAGUUACGUUGUGACGUUUGGCACACCCAAAGCACUCCUACAGUAUCCGGGAGUUGCACAAUCUCAUGGUCUAAGGAAAUGAUACUUGACAUUAGAAAAGCUUUAGCAUACGAACUACAUGAUCUUGUGCUAGGCUUAGGAUUGGGUCUUGUCCAUCACAUCAUUCUCCUAAUGAUGUGAUCCCGUUAUCAACGACAUCCAAUGUCCAUGGUCAGGAAACCGUAACCAUCUAUUGAUUAACGAGCUAGUCAACUAGAGGCUUACUAGGGACAUGGUGUUGUCUAUGUAUCCACACAUGUAUCUAAGUUUCCUAUCAAUACAAUUCUAGCAUGGAUAAUAAACGAUUAUCAUGAACAAGGAAAUAUAAUAAUAAUCAAUUUAUUAUUGCCUCUAGGGCAUAUUUCCAACAGUCUCCCACUUGCACUAGAGUCAAUAAUCUAGUUCACAUCGAUAUGUGAUUAACACUCAAGGUCACAUUCCCAUGUGACUAACACCCAAGAGUUUACUAGAGUCAAUAAUCUAGUUCACAUUUACCAUGUGAUUAACACUUGAUGAGUUCUGGGUUUGAUCAUGUUAUGCUUGUGAGAGAGGUUAUAGUCAACGGGUCUGAACCUUUCAGAUCCGUGUGUGCUUUACAAAUCUCUAUGUCAUCUCCUAGAUGCAGCUACCACGUUCUAUUUGGAGCUAUUCCAAAUAACUGUUCUACUUGGAGCUAUUCUAAAUUGUUGCUCCAUUAUACGUAUCCGGUAUCUCUACUCAGAGCUAUCCGGAUAGGUGUUAAGCUUGCAUCGACGUAACCCUUUACGACGAACUCUUUUACCACCUCCAUAAUUGAGAAAAUUCCUUAGUCCACUAGUUACUAAGGAUAACUUUGACCGCUGUCCUGUGAUCCAUUCUUGGAUCACUCUUGUACCCCUUGACUGACUCAUGGUAAAGCACACUUCAGGUGCGGUACACAGCAUAGCAUACUGUAGAGCCUAUGUCUUAAGCAUAGGGGACGACCUUCGUUCCUUUCUCUCUAUUCUGCCAUGGUCGAGCUUUAAGUCUUAACUUCAUACCUUACAACUCAGGCAAGAACUCCUUCUUUGACUGAUCCAUCUUGAACACCUUCAAGAUCACGUCAAGGCAUGUGCUCACGUCAAGAUCACGUCGGUAUACCGAUACCUUGUUCAAUCUCGUUACCGGCAAGUCUCUUUACUCGUUCCGUAACACAUCAUCCCGUGAUCAACCCCUUGGUCACAUUGUGCACAUUAUGAUGAUGUCCUACCGAGUGGGCCCAGAGAUACCUCUCCGUUUACACGGAGUGACAAAAUCCCAAUCUCGAUUCGUGCCAACCCAACAGACACUUUCAGAGAUACCCGUAGUGUACCUUUAUAGCCACCCAGUUACGUUGUGACGUUUGGCACACCCAAAGCACUCCUACGGUAUCCGGGAGUUGCACAAUCUCAUGGUCUAAGGAAAUGAUACUUGACAUUAGAAAAGCUUUAGCAUACGAACUACAUGAUCUUGUGCUAGGCUUAGGAUUGGGUCUUGUCCAUCACAUCAUUCUCCUAAUGAUGUGAUCCCGUUAUCAACGACAUCCAAUGUCCAUGGUCAGGAAACCGUAACCAUCUAUUGAUUAACGAGCCAGUCAACUAGAGGCUUACUAGGGACAUGGUGUUGUCUAUGUAUCCACACAUGUAUCUGAGUUUCCUAUCAAUACAAUUCUAGCAUGGAUAAUAAACGAUUAUCAUGAACAAGGAAAUAUAAUAAUAAUCAAUUUAUUAUUGCCUCUAGGGCAUAUUUCCAACAGUCUCCCACUUGCACUAGAGUCAAUAAUCUAGUUCACAUCACCAUGUGAUUAACACUGACAGGUCACAUCACCAUGUGACCAACAUCCAAAGAGUCUUGGGUUUGAUCAUGUUGCUUGUGAGAGAGGUUAUAGUCAACGGGUCUGAACCUUUCAGAUCCGUGUGUGCUUUACAAAUCUCUAUGUCAUCUCCUAGAUGCAGCUACCACGUUCUAUUUGGAGCUAUUCCAAAUAACUGUUCUACUUGGAGCUAUUCUAAAUUGUUGCUCCAUUAUACGUAUCCGGUAUCUCUACUCAGAGCUAUCCGGAUAGGUGUUAAGCUUGCAUCGACGUAACCCUUUACGACGAACUCUUUUACCACCUCCAUAAUUGAGAAAAUUCCUUAGUCCACUAGUUACUAAGGAUAACUUUGACCGCUGUCCUGCGAUCCAUUCUUGGAUCACCCUUGUACCCCUUGACUGACUCAUGGUAAAGCACACUUCAGGUGCGGUACACAGCAUAGCAUACUGUAGAGCCUAUGUCUUAAGCAUAGGGGAUGACCUUCGUUCCUUUCUCUCUAUUCUGCCAUGGUCGAGCUUUAAGUCUUAACUUCAUACCUUACAACUCAGGCAAGAACUCCUUCUUUGACUGGUCCAUCUUGAACACCUUCAAGAUCAUGUCAAGGUAUGUGCUCAUUUGAAAGUACUAUUAAGCGUUUUGAUCUAUCCUUAUAGAUCUUGAUGCUCAAUGUUCAAGUAGCUUAAUCCAGGUUUUCCAUUGAAAACACUUUCCAAAUAACCCUAUAUGCUUUCCAGAAAUUCUACGUCAUUUCUGAUCAUUAAUAUGUCAACAACAUAUAAUCAUCAGAAAUUCUAUAGUGCUCCCACUCACUUCUUUGGAAAUACAAGUUUCUCAUAAACUUUGUAUACACCCAAAAUCUUUGAUCAUCAUCAAAGCAUACAUUCCAACUCCGAGAUGCUCACUCCAGUCCUCAGAAGGAUUGCUGGAGCUUUGCAUACUUAUUAGCAUAUUUCAGGAUAGACAAAACCUUCCAGUUGUAUCACAUACAACCUUUCCUCAAGAAUCGUCGACGAAACAAUGUUUUGACAUCCUAUCUGCAAGAUUUCAUAAAUAAUGCAGUAAUUGUUAAUAUAAUUCCAACAGACUCUUAGCAUCGCUACGAGUGAGAAAGUCUCAUUGUAGUCAACUCCUUGAACUUGUCAAAAAACAUCUUAACGACAAGUCGAGCUUUCUCAAUGGUGACACUUACCAUCAUUGUCUGUCUUCCUUUCAAAAUCCAUAUGUACCUAACAGCCUUACGACCAUCAAGUAGUUCUUCCAAAGUCUACACUUUGUUUUCAUACAUGGAUCCUCUCUCGGGUUUUAUGGCCAUGAGCCAUUUAUCGGAAUCCGGGCCCACCAUUGCUUCUCCAUAGCUCGUAGGUUCAUUGUUGUCUAGCAACAUGACUUCCAAGACAGGAUUACUGUACCACUCUGAAGUAGUACGUAUCCUUGUCACCCUACGAGGUUUGGGAGUGACUUGAUCUGAAGUUUCAUGAUCACUAUCAUAAGCUUCUACUUCAAUUGGUGUAGGUGCCACAGGAACAACUUCCUGUGCCCUGCUACACACUGGUUGAAGUGAUGGUUCAAUAACCUCAUCAAGUCUCCACCAUCCUCCCACUCAAUUCUUUCGAGAGAAACCUUUCCUCGAGAAAGGACCCAAUUCUAGAAACAAUUCAUAUUGCUUUCGGAUCUGAAUUAGGAAGUAUACCCAACUGUUUUGGGUGUCCUAUGAAGAUGUACUUUAUCCGCUUUGGUUUCGAGCUUAAUCCUGAAACUUUUUCACAUAAGUGUCGCAGCCCCAAACCUUUAAGAAACGACAACUUAGGUUUCUCUAAACCAUAAUUCAUACGGUGUCAUCUCAUCGGAAUUACGUGGUGCCCUAUUUAAAGUGAAUGUGGUUGUCUUUAAUGCCUAACCCAUAAACUAUCGUGGCAGUUCGAUAAGAGACAUCAUGGUAUGCAUCAUAUCCAAUAGGGUGCAACUAUGAUGUUCGGACACACCAUCACACUAUGGUGUUCCAGGCGGUAUUAAUUGUGAAACAAUUUCCACAAUGUCUUAAUUGUGUGCCAAAACUCGUAACUCAGAUACUCAUCUCUAUGAUCAUAUCAUAGACAUUUUAUCCUCUUGUCACAAUGAUCUUCUACUUCACUCUGAAAUUACUUGAACCAUUCAACAAUUCAGACUUGUGUUUCAUCAAGUAAAUAUUCUCAACAUCUACUCGAAUCAUCUGUGAAGUAAGAACAUAACGAUAUUCACUGCAUGCCUCAGCACUCAUUGGACUGCACACAUCAAAAUGUGUUACUUCCAACAAGUUGCUAUCUUGUUCCAUCUUACUGAAAACGAGGCUUUUCAGUCAUCUUGCCCAUGUGGUAUGAUUUGCAUGUCCCAAGUGAUUCAAAAAUCAAGUGAGUCAAAACGGUCCAUUUGCAUGGAGUUUCUUCAUGCAUAUACACCAAUAGACAUGGUUCGCAUGUCUCAAACUUUUCAAAAACGAGUGAGCCCAAAGAUCCAUCAAUAUGGAGCUUCUUCAUGCGUUUUAUACCGAUAUGACUUACGUGGUAGUGCCACAAGUAGGUGGUACUAUCAUUACUAUCUUUUGGCAUGAACAUGUGUAUCACUACGAUCGAGAUUUAAUAAACCAUUCAUUUUAGGUGUAAGACCAUUGAAGGUAUUAUUCAAAUAAACAGAGUAACCAUUAUUCUCCUUAAAUGAAUAACCGUAUUGCGAUAGACGUAAUCCAAUCAUGUCUAUGCUCAACGCAAACACCAAAUAACAAUUAUUUAGGUUUAACACCAAUCUCUUUGGUAGAGGGAGCGUGCGAUGCUUGAUCAUAUCAAGCAUGGAAAAACUUACAACACAUAUCGUCAGCUCACCUUUAGCUAGUCUCUGUUUAUUCCGUAGCCUUUUGUUUCGAGUUACUAACACUUAGCAACCGAACUGGUAUCUAAUACCCUGGUGCUACUAGGAGUACUAGCAAAGUACACAUUAACACAAUGUAUAUCCAAUAUACUUCUAUCGACCUUGCCAGCCUUCUUAUCUACCAAGUAUCUAGGGUAAUUCUGCUCUAGUAGUUGUUCCCCUUAUUACAGAAGCACUUAGUCUCGGGUUUGGGUUUUACCUUGGGUUUCUUCACUAGAGCAGCAGCUGAUUUGCCGUUUCAUGAAGUAUCCCUUCUUGCCCUUGCCCUUCUUGAAACUAGUGGUUCCACCAACCAUCAACAAUUGAUGCUCCUUCUUGAUUUCUACUUUCGCGGUGUCAAACAUCGCGAAUACCUCAAGGAUCAUCAUAUCUAUCCCUGAUAUGUUAUAGUUCAUCAUGAAGCUCUAACAGCUUGGUGGCAAUGACUUUGGAGAACCAUCACUAUCUCAUCUGGAAGAUCAACUCCCACUCGAUUCAAGCGAUUGUUGUACUCAGACAAUCUGAGCACAAGCUCAACGAUUGAGCUUUUCUCCCUUAGUUUGCAGGUUAAGAAAGUCAUCGGAGGUCUUAUACCUCUUGACAUGGGCACGAGCCUGAAAUCCCAAUUUCAGCCCUCAAAACAUCUCAUAUGUUUCGCGAUGUUUCAAAAACGUCUUUGGUGCCUCAACUCUAAACCGUUUAACUGAACUAUCACGUAGUUAUCAAAACGUGUAUGUCAGAUGUUCGCAACAACCACAGACAACGUUCGAGGUUCAGCACACUGAGCGGUGCAUUAAGGACAUAAGCCUUCUAUGAAGCAAUGAGGACAAUCCUCAGUUUACGGACCUAGUCCGCAUAAUUGCUACUAUCAACUUUCAACUAAUUUUUCUCUAGGAACAUAUCUAAACAGUAGAACUAUAGCGUGAGCUACGACAUAAUUUGCAAAAACCUUUUGACUAUGUUCAGGAUAAUUAAGUUCAUCUUAUGAACUCCCACUCAGAUAGACAUCCCUCUAGUCAUCUAAGUGAUUACAUGAUCCGAGUCAAACUAGGCCGUGUCCGAUCAUCACGUGAGACGGACUAGUCAUCAUCGGUGAACAUCUUCAUGUUGAUCGUAUCUUCUAUACGACUCAUGUUCGACCUUUCGGUCUUCGUGUUCCGAGGCCAUGUAUGUACAUGCUAGGCUCGUCAAGUUAACCCUAAGUGUUUCGCGUGUGUAAAUCUGUCUUACACCCGUUGUAUGUGAACGUUAGAAUCUAACACCCGAUCAUCACGUGGUGCUUCGAAACACGAACUGUCGCAACGGUGCACAGUUAGGGGAGAACACUUCUUGAAAUUGUUGUAAGGGAUCAUCUUAUUUACUACCGUCGUUCUAAGCAAAUAAGAUGUAUAAACAUGAUAAACAUCACAUGCAAUCAAAUAGUGACAUGAUAUGGCCAUCAUCACUUUGCUCCUUUUGAUCUCCAUCUUCGGGGCUCCAUGAUCAUCAUCGUCACCGGCAUGACACCAUGAUCUCCAUCAUCAUGAUCUCCAUCAUCGUGUCUUCAUGAAGUUGCCUCGCCAACUAUUACUUCUACUACUAUGGCUAACGGUUAGCAAUAAAGUAAAGUAAUUACAUGACGUUUAAGUUGACACGCAGGUCACAAAUGAAUAAAGACAACUCCUAUGGCUCCUGCCGGUUGUCAUACUCAUCGACAUGCAAGUCGUGAUUCCUAUUACAAGAACAUGAUCAAUCUCAUACAUCACAUAUAUCAUUCAUCACAUCCUUUUUGGCCAUAUCACAUCACAUAGCAUACCCUGCAAAAACAAGUUAGACGUCCUCUAAUUGUUGUUUGCAUGUUUUACGUGGCUGCUAUGGGUUUCUAGCAAGAACGUUUCUUACCUACGCAUGAACAACAACGUGAUAUGCCAAUUGCUAUUUACCCUUCAUAAGGACCCUUUUCAUCGAAUCCGAUCCGACUAAAGUGGGAGAGACAGACACCCGCCAGCCACCUUAUGCAACUAGUGCAUGUUUGUCGGUGGAACCGGUCUCACGUAAGCGUACGUGUAAGGUUGGUCCGGGCCGCUUCAUCCCACGAUGCCGCCGAAUCAAGAUAAGACUAGUAACGGCAAGCAUAUUGAACAAUAUCAACGCCCACAACUACUUUGUGUUCUACUCGUGCAAAGAAUCUACGCAAUAGACCUAGCUCAUGAUGCCACUGUUGGGGAACGUAGCAGAAAUUCAAAAUUUUCCUACGUGUCACCAAGAUCUAUCUAUGGAGAUACUAGCAACGAGGGAAGGAGAGUGCAUCUACAUACCCUUGUAGAUCGCUAAGCGGAAGCGUUCAAGUGAACGGGGUUGAUGGAGUCGUACUCGUCGUGAUUCAGAUCACCGAUGAUCCUAGUGCCGAACGGACGGCACCUCCGCGUUCAACACACGUACAGCUCGACGAUGUCUCCCACGCCUUGAUCCAGCAAGGAGAGAGGGAGAGGUUGAGGAAGACUCCAUCCAGCAGCAGCACAACGGCGUGGUGGUGAUGGAGGAGCGUGGCAAUCCUGCAGGGCUUCGCCAAGCACCUACGGGAGAGGAGGAGGUGUCACGGGAGGGAGGGAGGCGCCAAGGGCUCAGGUAUAGAUGCCCUCCCUCCCCUCCACUAUAUAUAGGGGCAAGGGAGAGGGGGAGGCGCAUCCUUGCCCCUUCCUCCAAGGAAGGGGUGCGGCUAAGAGGGGGGGAGGAGUCCAUCCUCCCCAAGGCACCUCGGAGGUGCCUUCCCCCUUUAGGACUCUCCCCUUUUUCCUAUAUCUUGGCGCAUGGGCCUCUAGGGGCUGGUGCCCUUGGCCCAUGUAGGCCAAGGCGCACCCCCCUACAGCCCAUGUGGCCCCCCGGGGCAGGUGGCCCCACCCGGUGGGCCCCCGGGACCCUUCCGGUGGUCCCGGUACAAUACCGAUGACCCCGAAACUUGUCCCGAUGGCCGAAACAGGACUUCCUAUAUAUAAAUCUUUACCUCCGGACCAUUCCGGAACUCCUCGUGACGUCCGGGAUCUCAUCCGGGACUCCGAACAACAUUCGGUAACCACAUACAAACUUCCUUUAUAACCCUAGCGUCAUCGAACCUUAAGUGUGUAGACCCUACGGGUUCGGGAGACAUGUAGUCAUGACCGAGAUGUUCUCCGGUCAAUAACCAACAGCGGGAUCUGGAUACCCAUGUUGGCUCGCACAUGUUCCACGAUGAUCUCAUCGGAUGAACCACGAUGUCAAGGACUCAAUCAAUCCCGUAUACAAUUCCCUUUGUCUAGCGGUAUGGUACUUGCCCGAGAUUCGAUCGUCGGUAUACCGAUACCUUGUUCAAUCUCGUUACCGGCAAGCCUCUUUACUCGUUCCGUAACACAUCAUCCCGUGAUCAACCCCUUGGUCACAUUGUGCACAUUAUGAUGAUGUCCUACCGAGUGGGCCCAGAGAUACCUCUCCGUUUACACGGAGUGACAAAAUCCCAAUCUCGAUUCGUGCCAACCCAACAGACACUUUCAGAGAUACCCGUAGUGUACCUUUAUAGCCACCCAGUUACGUUGUGACGUUUGGCACACCCAAAGCACUCCUACGGUAUCCGGGAGUUGCACAAUCUCAUGGUCUAAGGAAAUGAUACUUGACAUUAGAAAAGCUUUAGCAUACGAACUACAUGAUCUUGUGCUAGGCUUAGNNNNNNNNNNUGAUCAACCCCUUGGUCACAUUGUGCACAUUAUGAUGAUGUCCUACCGAGUGGGCCCAGAGAUACCUCUCCGUUUACACGGAGUGACAAAAUCCCAAUCUCGAUUCGUGCCAACCCAACAGACAUUUUCAGAGAUACCCGUAGUGUACCUUUAUAGCCACCCAGUUACGUUGUGACGUUUGGCACACCCAAAGCACUCCUACGGUAUCCGGGAGUUGCACAAUCUCAUGGUCUAAGGAAAUGAUACUUGACAUUAGAAAAGCUUUAGCAUACGAACUACAUGAUCUUGUGCUAGGCUUAGGAUUGGGUCUUGUCCAUCACAUCAUUCUCCUAAUGAUGUGAUCCCGUUAUCAACGACAUCCAAUGUCCAUGGUCAGGAAACCGUAACCAUCUAUUGAUUAACGAGCUAGUCAACUAGAGGCUUACUAGGGACAUGGUGUUGUCUAUGUAUCCACACAUGUAUCUGAGUUUCCUAUCAAUACAAUUCUAGCAUGGAUAAUAAACGAUUAUCAUGAACAAGGAAAUAUAAUAAUAAUCAAUUUAUUAUUGCCUCUAGGGCAUAUUUCCAACAAGAAACGGGGAACAAACUGAUGAAAGAAUGAUCAUACCGAGGGAAUUCACUCAGAACUAACAAGAAUGAUAACGUGCUUUGACUGGAGCGGUUUAAAAACUGCUGGAAGGCUCUAGGGGAAUAAAGAUGGAAUGCCUUCAAAUUUCUAGGUCCGUAUGAUUUGAAAUACUUGCACACAAACCGCGCGAAAGCGUUCCUGGAAAUCUCAGCCCAAAAAAGGACGUUUAGUAAUUCUAAAAGGGACUACAGAAUGAAAAACAAUAGUUUUGGCAGUUAAAGUUUGAGAUUCGAUGGUGCCGUAGAUCCGUUUGGUCAUCAGGUGUAACGAGCCACACCCAUGUCUAGCUAGAGUAGUGUGCUAGGCUCAGGCUAGAGAAGAAACGGGGAACAAACUGAUGAAAGAAUGAUCAUACCGAGGGAAUUCACUCAGAACUAACAAGAAUGAUAACGUGCUCCGACUGGAGCGGUUUAGGAACUGCUGGAAGGCUCUAGGGGAAGAAAGAAGGAAUGACUUCUAAUUUUUAGGUCCGUAUGAUUUGAAAUACGUGCACACAAACCGCGCGAAAGCGUUCCUGGAAAUCUCAGCCCAAAAAAGGACGUUUAGUAUUCUAAAAGGGACUACAGAAUGAAAAACAAUAGUUUUGGCAGUUAAAGUUUGAGAUUCGACGGUGCCGUAGAUCCGUUUGGUCAUCAGGUGUUACGAGCCACACCCAUGUCUAGCUAGAAUAGUGUGCNNNNNNNNNNNNNNNNNNNNNNNNNCGUAUGAUUUGAAAUACGUGCACACAAACCGCGCGAAAGCGUUCCUGGAAAUCUCAGCCCAAAAAAGGACGUUUAGUAUUCUAAAAGGGACUACAGAAUGAAAAACAAUAGUUUUGGCAGUUAAAGUUUGAGAUUCGACGGUGCUGUAGAUCCGUUUGGUCAUCAGGUGUUACGAGCCACACCCAUGUCUAGCUAGAAUAGUGUGCUAGGCUCAGGCUAGAGAAGAAAAGGGGAACAAACUAAUGAAAGAAUGAUCAAUACGAGGGAAUUCACUCAGAACUAACAAUAAUGAUAACGUGCUCCGACUGGAGCGGUUUAGGAACUGCUGGAAGGCUCUAGGCGAAUAAAGAUGGAAUGACUUCUAAUUUUUACGUCCGUAUGAUUUGAAAUACUUGCACACAAACCACGCAAAAGCGUUCCUGGAAAUCUCGGCCUAAAAAGGACGUUUAGUAAUUCUAAAAGGGACUACAGGAUGAAAAAUAAUAGUUUGGGCAGUUAAAAUUUGAGAUUCGACGGUGCCGUAGAUCCGUUUGGUCAUCAGGUGUUACGAGCCACACCCAUGUCUAGCUAGAAUAGUGUGUUAGGCUCAGGCUAGAGAAGAAACGAGGAACAAACUGAUGAAAGAAUGAUCAUACCAAGGGAAUUCACUCAGAACUAACAAGAAUGAUAACGUGCUCCGACUGGAGCAGUUUAGAAACUGCUGGAAGGCUCUAGGGGAAUAAAGAUGGAAUGACUUCUGAUUUUUAGGUCCGUAUGAUUUGAAAUACGUGCACACAAACCCCGCGAAAGCGUUCCUGGAAAUCUCAGCCCAAAAAAGGACGUUUAGUAAUUCUAAAAGGGACUACAACAUGAAAAACAAUAGUUUUGGCAGUUAAAGUUUGAGAUUUCAUGGUGCCGUAGAUCUGUUUGGUCAUCAGGUGUUACGAGCCACACCCAUGUCUAGCUAGAAUAGUGUGUUAGGCUCAGGCUAGAAAAGAAACGGGAAACAAAGUGAUGAAAGAAUGACCAUACCGAGGGAAUUCACUCAGAACUAACAAGAAUGAUAACAUGCUCCGACUUGAGCGGUUUAGGAACUGCUGGAAGGCUCUAGGGGAAUAAAGAUGGAAUGACUUCUAAUGUUUAGGUCCGUAUGAUUUGAAAUACUUGCACAUAAACCGCACAAAAGCGUUCCUGGAAAUCUCAGCCCAAAAAAGGACGUUUAGUAAUUCUAAAAGGGACUACAGGAUGAAAAACAAUAGUUUUGGCAGUUAAAGUUUGAGAUUCGACGGUGCCGUAGAUCCGUUUGGUCAUCAGGUGUUACGAGCCACACCCAUGUCUAGCUAGAAUAGUGUGUUAGGCUCAGGCUAGAGAAGAAACUUGGAACAAACUGAUGAAAGAAUGAUCAAACCAACGGAAUUCACUCAGAACUAACAAUAAUGAUAACGUGCUCCGACUGGAGCAGUUUAGGAACUGCUGGAAGGCUCUAGGGGAAUAAAGAUGGAAUGACUUCUAAUUUUUAGGUCCGUAUGAUUUGAAAUACUUGCACGCAAACCGCGCGAAAGCGUUCCUGGAAAUAUCAGCCCAAAAAAGGACGUUUAGUAAUUCUAAAAGGGACUACAGGAUGAAAACAAUAGUUUUGGCAGUUAAAGUUUGAGAUUCAACAGUGCCGUAGAUCCGUUUGGUCAUCAGGUGUUAUGAGCCAUACCCAUGUCUAGCUAGAGUAGUGUGCUAGGCUCAGGCUAGAGAAGAAACAGGGAACAAACUGAUGAAAGAAUGAUCAUACCGAGGGAAUUCACUCAGAACUAACAAGAAUGAUAACGUGCUCCGACUGGAGCGGUUUAGGAACUGCUGGAAGGCUCUAGGGGAAUAAAGAUGGAGUGACUUCUAAAUUUUUAGGUCCGUAUGAUUUAAAAUACUUGCACACAAACCGCACGAAAGCGUUCCUUGAAAUCUCAGCCCAAAAAAGGACGUUUAGUAAGUCUAAAAGGGACUAUAGGAUGAAAAACAAUAGUUUUGGCAGUUAAAGUUUGAGAUUCGAUGGUGCCGUAGAUCUGUUUGGUCAUCAGGUGUUACGAGCCACACCCAUGUCUAGUUGGAAUAGUGUGCUAGGCUCAGACUAGAGAAGAAACAGGGAACAAACUGAUGAAAGAAUGAUCAAACCGAGGAAAUUCACUCAGAACUAACAAUAAUGAUAACAUGCUCCGACUGGAGCGGUUUAGGAACUGCUGGAAGGCUCUAGGGGAAUAAAGAUGGAAUGACUUCUAAAUUUUUAGGUCCGUAUGAUUUGAAAUAGUUGCACACAAACUGCGCGAAAGCGUUCCUGGAAAUCUCAGCCCAAAAAAGGACGUUUAGUAAUUCUAAAAGGGACUAUAGGAUGAAAAACAAUAGUUUUGGCAGUUAAAGUUUGAGAUUCGACGGUGCCGUAGAUCCGUUUGGUCAUCACGUGUUACAAGCCACACCCAUGUCUAGCUAGAGUAGUGUGCUAGGCUCAGACUAUAGAAGAAACGGGGACCAAACUGAUGAAAGAAUGAUCAAACCGAGGAAAUUCACUCAGAACUAACAAUAAUGAUAACAUGCUCCGACUGGAGCGGUUUAGGAACUACUGGAAGGCUCUAGGGGAAUAAAGAUGGAAUGACUUCUAAAUUUUUAGGUCCGUAUGAUUUUAAAUAGUUGCACACAAACUGCGCGAAAGCGUUCCUGGAAAUCUCAGCCCAAAAAAGGACGUUUAGUAAUUCUAAAAGGGACUACAGGAUGAAAAACAAUAGUUUGGGCAGUUAAAAUUUGAGAUUCGACGGUGCCGUAGAUCCGUUUGGUCAUCAGGUGUUACGAGCCACACCCAUGUCUAGCUAGAGUAGUGUGCUAGGCUCAGGCUAGAGAAGAAACAGGGAACAAACUGAUGAAAGAAUGAUCAUACCGAGGGAAUUCACUCAGAACUAACAAGAAUGAUAACGUGCUCUGACUGGAGCGGUUUAAGAACUGUUGGAAGGCUCUAGGGGAAUAAAGAUGGAAUCACUUCAAAUUUUUACGUCCGUGUGAUUUGAAAUACUUGCACACAAACCGCACGAAAGCGUUCCUGGAAAUCUCAGCCCAAAAAAGGACGUUUAGUAAGUCUAAAAGGGACUACACGAUGAAAAACAAUAGUUUUGGCAGUUAAAGUUUGAGAUUCGACAGUGCCGUAGAUCCGUUUGGUCAUCAGGUGUAACGAGCCACACCCAUGUCUAGAUAGAGUAGUGUGCUAGGCUCAAACUAGAGAAGAAACGGGGAACAAACUGAUGAAAGAAUGAUCAUACCGAGGGAAUUCACUCAGAAAUAACAAGAAUGAUAACGUGCUCUGACUGGAGCGGUUUAGGAACUGCUGGAAGGCUCUAGGGGAAUAAAGAAGGAAUGACUUCUAAUUUUUAGGUCCGUAUGAUUUGAAAUACGUGCACACAAACCCCGAGAAAGCGUUCCUGGAAAUCUCGACCCAAAAAAGGACGUUUAGUAAUUCUAAAAGGGACUACGGGAUGAAAAACAAUAGUUUUGGCAGUUAAAGUUUGAGAUUCGAUAAUGCCGUAGAUCCAUUUGGUCAUCAGGUGUAACGAGCCACACCCAUGUCUAGCUAGAGUAGUGUGCUAGGCUCAGACUAGAGAAGAAACAGGGAACAAACUGAUGAAAGAAUGAUCAUAUCGAGGGAAUUCACUCAGAACUAACAAGAAUGAUAACAUGCUCCGACUUGAGCGGUUUAGGAACUGCUGGAAGGCUCUAGGGGAAUAAAGAUGGAAUGACUUCUAAUUUUUAGGUCCGUAUGAUUUGAAAUACUUACACACAAACCACGCGAAAGCGUUCCUGGAAAUCUCAGCCCAAAAAAGGACGUUUAGUAAUUCUAAAAGGGACUACAUGAUGAAAAACAAUAGUUUUCGCAGUUAAAGUUUGAGAUUCGACGGUGCCGUAGAUCCGUUUGGUCAUCAAGUGUUACGAGCCACACCCAUGUCUAGCUAGAAUAGUGUGUUAGGCUCAGCCUAGAGAAGAAACGGGGAACAAACUGAUGAAAGAAUGAUCAUACCGAGGGAAUUCACUCAGAACUUACAAGAAUGAUAACGUGCUCCGACUUGAGCGGUUUAAGAACUGUUGGAAGGCUCUAGGGGAAUAAAGAUGGAAUCACUUCAAAUUUUUACGUCCGUGUGAUUUGAAAUACUUGCACACAAACCCCGAGAAAGCGUUCCUGGAAAUCUCGGCCGAAAAAAGGAUGUUUAAUAAUUCUAAAAGGGACUACAGGAUGAAAAACAAUAGCUUUGGCAGUUAAAGUUUGUGAUUCGAUGGUGCCGUAGAUCUGUUUGGUCAUCAGGUGUUAUGAGCCACACCCAUGUCUAGCUAGAAUAGUGUGUUAGGCUCAGGCUAGAGCAGAAACUAGGAACAAACUUAUGAAAGAAUGAUCAUACCGAGGGAAUUCACUCAGAACUAACAAGAAUGAUAACGUGCUCCGACUGGAGCGGUUUAGGAACUGCUGGAAGGCUCUAGGGGAAUAAAGAUGGAAUGACUUCUAAUUUUUAGGUCCGUAUGAUUUGAAAUACAUGCACACAAACCCCAAGAAAGCGUUCCUAGAAAUCUCAGCCCAAAAAGGACGUUUAGUAAUUCUAAAAGGGACUACAGGAUGAAAAACAAUAGGUUUGGCAGUUAAAGUUUGAGAUUCGAUAAUGCCGUAGAUCCGUUUGGUCAUCAGGUGUAACGAGCCACACCCAUGUCUAGCUACAUUAGUGUGCUAGGCUCAGACUAGAGAAGAAACGGGGAACAAACUGAUGAAAGAAUGAUCAUACCGAGGGAAUUCACUCAGAACUAACAAGAACGAUAACAUGCUCCGACUGCAGCGGUUUAGGAACUGCUGGAAGGCUCUAGGGGAAUAAAGAAGGAAUGACUUCUAAUUUUUAGGUCCGUAUGAUUUGAAAUACUUGCACACAAACCGCGCGAAAGCAUUCCUGGAAAUCUCAGCCCAAAAAAGGACGUUUAGUAAUUCUAAAAGGGACUACAGGAUGAAAAACAAUAAUUUUGGCAGUUAAAGUUUGAGAUUCGACGGUGCCGUAGAUCCGUUUGGUCAUCAGGUGUUACGGGCCAUACCCAUGUCUAGCUAGAAUAGUGUGUUAGGCUCAGGUUAGAGAAGAAACGGGGAACAAAGUGAUGAAAGAAUGAUCAUACCGAGGGAAUUCACUCAGAACUAACAAGAAUGAUAACGUGCUCCGACUGGAGCGGUUUAGGAAUUGCUGGAAGGCUCUAGGGGAAUAAAGAUGGAAUGACUUCUAUAUUUUACGUCCGUAUGAUUUGAAAUACUUGCACACAAACCACGCAAAAGCACUCCUGGAAAUAUCAGCCUAAAAAGGAUGUUUAGUAAUUCUAAAAGGGACUACAGGAUGAAAAAUAAUAGUUUUGGCAGUUAAAAUUUGAGAUUCAACGGUGCCGUAAAUCCGUUUGGUCAUCAGGUGUUACGAGCCACACCCAUGUCUAGCUAGAAUAGUGUGUUAGGCUCAGGUUAGAGAAGAAACGGGGAACAAACUGAUGAAAGAAUGAUCAUACAAGGGGAAUUCACUCAGAACUAUCAAGAAUGAUAACGUGCUCCGACUGGAGCAGUUUAGGAACUGCCGGAAGGCUCUAGGGGAAUAAAGAUGGAAUGACUUCUAAUUUUUAUGUCCGUAUGAUUUGAAAUACUUGCACACAAACCACGCAAAAGCGUUCCUGGAAAUCUCAGCCUAAAAAGGACGUUUAGUAAUUCUAAAAGGGACUACAGGAUGAAAAACAAUAGUUUGGGCAGUUAAAAUUCGAGAUUCGACGGUGCCGUAGAUCCGUUUGGUCAUCAGGUGUUACGAGCCACACCCAUGUCUAGCUAGAAUAGUGUGUUAGGCUCAGGCUAGAGAAGAAACGGGGAACAAACUGAUGAAAGAAUGAUCAUAUCGAGGGAAUUCACUCAGAACUAACAAGAAUGAUAACGUGCUCCGACUGGAGCGGUUUAGUAACUGCUGGAAGGCUCUAGGGGAAUAAAGAUGGAAUGACUUCUAAUUAUUAGGUCCGUAAGAUUUGAAUUACAUGCACACAAACCCCGAGAAAGCGUUCCUGGAAAUCUCGGUCGAAAAAAGGAUGUUUAGUAAUUCUAAAAGGGACUACAGGAUGAAAAACAAUAGUUUUGGCAGUUAAAGUUUGUGAUUCGAUGGUGCCGUAGAUCUGUUUGGUCAUCAGGUGUUACGAGCCACACCCAUGUCUAGCUAGAAUAGUGUGUUAGGCUCAGGCUAGAGCAGAAACGGGGAACAAACUUAUGAAAGAAUGAUCAUGCCGAGGGAAUUCACUCAGAACUAACAAGAAUGAUAACGUGCUCCGACUGGAGCGGUUUAGGAACUGCUGGAAGGCUCUAGGGGAAUAAAGAUGGAAUGACAUCAAAUUUUUAGGUCCGUAUGAUUUGAAAUACUUGCACACAAACCGCAAGAAAGCGUUCUUGGAAAUCUCCGCCCAAAAAAGGACGUUUAGUAAUUCUAAAAGGGUCUACAGGAUGAAAAACAAUAGUUCUGGCAGUUAAAGUUUGAGAUUCGAUAAUGUCGUAGAUCCGUUUGGUCAUCAGGCGUAACGAGCCACACCCAUUUCUAGCUAGAGUAGUGUGCUAGGCUCAGACUAGAGAAGAAACGGGGAACAACCUGAUGAAAGAAUGAUCAUACCGAGGGAAUUCACUCAGAACUAACAAGAAUGAUAACGUGCUCCGACUGGAGCGGUUUAGGAACUGCUGGAAGGCUCUACGGGAAUAAAGAAGGAAUGACUUCUAAUUUUUAGGUCCGUAUGAUUUGAAAUACGUGCACACAAACCCCGAGAAAGCGUUCCUGGAAAUCUCGGCCCAAAAAAGGACGUUUAGUAUUCUAAAAGCGACUACAGAAUGAAAAACAAUAGUUUUGGUAGUUAAAGUUUGAGAUUUAACGGUGCCGUAGAUCUGUUUGGUCAUCAGGUGUUACGAGCCACACCCAUGUCUAGCUAGAAUAGUGUGUUAGGCUCAGGCUAGAUAAGAAACAGGGAACAAAGUGAUGAAAGAAUGAUCAUACCAAGGGAAUUCACUCAGAACUAACAAGAACGAUAACAUGCUCCGACUGGAGUGGUUUAGGAACUGCUGGAAGGCUCUAGGGGAAUAAAGAUGGAAUGACUUCUAAUUUUUAGGUCUGUAUGAUUUGAAAUACUUGCACACAAACCGCACGAAAGCGUUCCUGGAAAUCUCAUCCCAAAAAAGGACGUUUAGUAAUUCUAAAAGGGACUACAGGAUGAAAAACAAUAGUUUUGGCAGUUAAAGUUUGAGAUUCGAUAAUGCUGUAGAUCCGUUUGGUCAUCAGGUGUAACGAGCCACACCCAUGUCUAGCUAGAGUAGUGUGCUAGGCUCAGACUAGAGAAGAAACGGGGAACAAACUGAUGAAAGAAUGAUCAUACCGAGGGAAUUCACUCAGAACUAACAAUAAUGAUAACGUGCUCCGACUGGAGCGGUUUAGGAACUGCUGGAAGGCUCUAGGGGAAUAAAGAUGGAAUGAGUUCUAAUUUUUAGGUCUGUAUGAUUUGAAAUACUUGCACACAAACCGCGUGAAAGCAUUCCUGGAAAUUUCAGCCCAAAAAAGGACGUUUAGUAAUUUUAAAAGGGACUACACGAUGAAAAACAAUAGUUUUGGCAGUUAAAGUUUGAGAUUCGACGGUGCCGUAGAUCCGUUUGGUCAUCAGGUGUUACGAGCCACACCCAUGUCUAGCUAGAAUAGUAUGUUAGGCUCGGGUAAGAGAAGAAACGGGGAACAAACUGAUGAAAGAAUGAUCAUACCAAGGGAAUUCACUCAGAACUAACAAGAAUGAUAACGUGCUCCGACUGGAGCGGUUUAGGAACUGCUGGAAGGCUCUAGGGGAAUAAAGAUGGAAUGACUUCUAAUUUUUACGUUCGUAUGAUUUGAAAUACUUGCACACAAACCACGCAAAAGCGUUCCUGGAAAUCUCAUCCUAAAAAAGGACGUUUAGUAAUUCUAAAAGGGACUACAGGAUGAAAAAUAAUAGUUUGGGCAGUUAAAAUUUGAGAUUCGACGGUGCCGUAGAUCCGUUUGGUCAUCAGGUGUUACGAGCCACACCCAUGUCUAGCUAGAAUAGUGUGUUAGGCUCAGGCUAGAGAAGAAACGGGGAACAAACUGAUGAAAGAAUGAUCAUAUCGAGGGAAUUCACUCAGAACUAACAAGAAUGAUAACGUGCUCCGACUGGAGCAGUUUAGAAACUGCUGGAAGGCUCUAGGGGAAUAAAGAUGGAAUGACUUCUAAUUUUUAGGUCUGUAUGAUUUGAAAUACGUGCACACGAACCCCGAGAAAGCGUUCCUGGAAAUCUCGGCCCAAAAAAGGACGUUUAGUAAUUCUAAAAGGGACUACAGGAUGAAAAACAAUAGUUUUGGCAGUUAAAGUUUGAGAUUCGACGGUGCCGUAGAUCCGUUUGUUCAUCAGGUGUUACGAGCCACACCCAUGUCUAGCUAGAAUAGUGUGUUAGGCUCAGGCUAGAGAAGAAACGGGGAACAAACUGAUGAAAGAAUGAUCAUACCGAGGGAAUUCACUCAGAACUAACAAGAAUGAUAACGUGCUCCGACUGGAGCGGUUUAGGAACUGCUAGAAGGCUCUAGGGGAAUAAAGAAGGAAUGACUUCUAAUUUUUAGGUCCGUAUGAUUUGAAAUACGUGCACACAAACCCCGAGAAAGCGUUCCUGGAAAUCUUGGCCCAAAAAAGGACGUUUAGUAUUCUAAAAGCGACUACAGAAUGAAAAACAAUAGUUUUGCUAGUUAAAGUUUGAGAUUUGAUGGUGCCGUAGAUCUGUUUGGUCAUCAGGUUUUACGAGCCACACCCAUGUCUAGCUAGAAUAGUGUGUUAGGCUCAGGCUAGAAAAGAAACAGGGAAUAAAGUGAUGAAAGAAUGAUCAUACCAAGGGAAUUCACUCAGAACUAACAAGAACGAUAACAUGCUCCGACUGGAGUGGUUUAGAACUGCUGGAAGGCUAAAGGGGAAUAAAGAUGGAAUGACUUCUAAUUUUUAGGUCCGUAUGAUUUGAAAUACUUGCACACAAACCGCACGAAAGUGUUCCUGGAAAUCUCAGCCCAAAAAAGGACGUUUAGUAAUUCUAAAAGGGACUACAGGAUGAAAAACAAUAGUUUUGGCAGUUAAAGUUUGAGAUUCGAUAAUGACGUAGAUCCGUUUGGUCAUCAGGUGUAACGAGCCACACCCAUGUCUAGCUAGAGUAGUGUGCUAGGCUCAGACUAGAGAAGAAACGGGGAACAAACUGAUGAAAGAAUGAUCAUACCGAGGGAAUUCACUCAGAACUAACAAUAAUGAUAACGUGCUCCGACUAGAGCGGUUUAGGAACUGCUGGAAGGCUCUAGGGGAAUAAAGAUGGAAUGACUUCUAAUUUUUAGGUCCCUAUGAUUUGAAAUACUUGCACACAAACCGCGUGAAAGCAUUCCUGGAAAUUUCAGCCCAAAAAAGGACGUUUAGUAAUUUUAAAAGGGACUACACGAUGAAAAAGAAUAGUUUUGGCAGUUAAAGUUUGAGAUUCGACGGUGCCGUAGAUCCGUUUGGUCAUCAGGUGUUACGAGACACACCCAUGUCUAGCUAGAAUAGUAUGUUAGGCUCGGGUUAGAGAAGAAACGGGGAACAAACUGAUGAAAGAAUGAUCAUACCAAGGGAAUUCACUCAGAACUAACAAGAAUGAUAACGUGCUCCGACUGGAGCGGUUUAGGAACUGCUGGAAGGCUCUAGGGGAAUAAAGAUGGAAUGACUUCUAAUUUUUACGUUCGUAUGAUUUGAAAUACUUGCAAACAAACCACGCAAAAGCGUUCCUGGAAAUUUCAUCCUAAAAAAGGACGUUUAGUAAUUCUAAAAGGGACUACAGGAUGAAAAAUAAUAGUUUGGGCAGUUAAAAUUUGAGAUUCGAUGGUGCCGUAGAUCCGUUUGGUCAUCAGGUGUUACGAGCCACACCCAUGUCUAGCUAGAAUAGUGUGUUAGGCUCAGGCUAGAGAAGAAACGGGGAACAAACUGAUGAAAGAAUGAUCAUAUCGAGGGAAUUCACUCAGAACUAACAAGAAUGAUAACGUGCUCCGACUGGAGCAGUUUAGAAACUGCUGGAAGGCUCUAGGGGAAUAAAGAUGGAAUGACUUCUAAUUUUUAGGUCUGUAUGAUUUGAAAUACGUGCACACAAACCCCGAGAAAGCGUUCCUGGAAAUCUCGUCCGGAAAAAGGAUGUUUAAUAAUUCUAAAAGGGACUACAGGAUGAAAAACAAUAGUUUUGGCAGUUAAAGUUUGUGAUUCGAUGGUGCCGUAGAUCUGUUUGGUCAUCAGGUGUUACGGGCCACACCCAUGUCUAGCUAGAAUAGUGUGUUAGGCUCAGGCUAGAGCAGAAACGGGGAGCAAACUUAUGAAAGAAUGAUCAUAGCGAGGGAAUUUACUCAGAACUAACAAGAAUGAUAACGUGCUCCGACUGGAGCGGUUUAGGAACUGCUGGAAGGCUCUAGGGGAAUAAAGAUGGAAUGACUUCAAAUUUUCAGGUAUGUAUGAUCUGAAAUACUUGCACACAAACCGCGAGAAAGCGUUCCUGGAAAUCUCAACCCAAAAAAGGAUGUUUAGUAAUUCUAAAAGGGACUACAGGAUUAAAAACAAUAGUUUUGGCAGUUAAAGUUUGAGAUUCGAUAAUGUCGUAGAUCCGUUUGGUCAUCAGGUGUAACGAGCCACACCCAUGUCUAGCUAGAGUAGUGUGCUAGGCUCAUACUAGAGAAGAAACGGGGAACAAACUGAUGAAAGAAUGAUCAUACCGAGGGAAUUCACUCAGAACUAACAAGAAUGAUAACGUGCUCCGACUGGAGCGGUUUAGGAACUGCUGGAAGGCUCUAGGGGAAUAAAGAUGGAAUGACUUCUUAUUUUUAGGUCCGUAUGAUUUGAAAUACAUGCACACAAACCCCAAGAAAGCGUUCCGGGAAAUCUCGGCCCAAAGAAUGAUGUUUAGUAAUUCUAAAAGGGACUAUAGAAUGAAAAACAAUAGUUUUGGCAGUUAAAGUUUGAGAUUUGACGGUGUCGUAGAUCUGUUUGGUCAUCAGGUGUUACGAGCCACACCCAUUUCUAGCUAGAAUAGUGUGUUAGGCUCAGGCUAGAAAAGAAACGGGGAACAAAGUGAUGAAAGAAUGAUCAUACCGAGGGAAUUCACUCAGAACUAACAAGAAUGAUAACAUGCUCCGACUAGAGCGGUUUAGGAACUGCUGGAAGGCUCUAGGGGAAUAAAUAUGGAAUGACUUCUAAUUUUCAGGUCCGUAUGAUUUGAAAUACUUGCACACAAACCGCGCGAAAGCGUUCCUGGAAAUCUCAUCCCAAAGAAGGUCGUUUAGUAAUUCUAAAAGGGACUACAGGAUGAAAAACAAUAGUUUUGGCAAUUUAAGGUUUGAGAUUCGACGGUGCCGUAGAUCCGUUUGGUCAUCAGGUGUUACGAGCCACACCCAUGUCUAGCUAGAAUAGUGUGCUAGGCUCAGGCUAGAGAAGAAACAGGGAACAAACUGAUGAAAGAAUGAUCAAACCGAGGGAAUUCACUCAGAACUAACAAUAAUGAUAACGUUCUCCGUCUGGAGCGGUUUAGGAACUGCUGGAAGGCUCUAGGGGAAUAAAGAUGGAAUGACUUCUAAUUUUUAGGUCCGUAUGAUUUGAAAUACUUGCACACAAACCGCGCCAAAUCGUUCCUGGAAAUCUCAGCCCAAAAAAGGACGUUUAGUAAUUCUAAAAGGGACUACAGGAUGAAAAACAAUAGUUUUGGCAGUUAAAGUUUGAGAUUCGAUGGUGCCGUAGACCCGUUUGGUCAUCAGGUGUUACGAGCCACACCCAUGUCUAGCUAGAGUAGUGUGCUAGGUUCAGACUAGAGAAGAAACAGGGAACAAAGUGAUGAAAGAAUGAUCAUACCGAGGGAAUUCACUCAGAACUAACAAGAAUGAUAACGUGCUCCGACUGGAGCGGUUUAGGAACUGCUGGAAGGCUCUAGGGGAAUAAAGAUGGAAUGACUUCUAAUUUUUACGUCCGUAUGAUUUGAAAUACUUGCACACAAACCACGCAAAAGCGUUCCUGGAAAUCUCAGCCUAAAAAAGGACGUUUAGUAAUUCAAAAAGGGACUACAAAAUGAAAAACAAUAGUUUUGGCAGUUAAAGUUUGAGAUUCGAUGGUGCCGUAGAUCCGUUUGGUCAUCAGGUGUUACGAGCCACACCCAUGUCUAGCUAGGAUAGUGUGUUAGGCUCAGGCUAGAGAAGAAACGGGGAACAAACUGAUGAAAGAAUGAUCAUACCGAGGGAAUUCACUCAGAACUAACAAGGAUGAUAACAUGCUCCGACUAGAGCGGUUUAGGAACUGCUGGAAGGCUCUAGGGGAAUAAAGAUGGAAUGACUUCUAAUUUUUAGGUCCGUAUGAUUUGAAAUACUUGCACACAAACCGCAAGAAAGCGUUCCUGGAAAUCUCAGCCCAAAAAAGGACGUUUAGUAAUUCUAAAAGGGACUACAGGAUGAAAAACAAUAGUUCUGGCAGUUAAAGUUUGAGAUUCGAUAAUGCCGUAGAUCUGUUUGGUCAUCAGGUGUAACGAGCCACACCCAUGUCUAGCUAGAGUAGUGUGCUAGGCUCAGACUAGAGAAGAAACGGGGAACAAACUGAUGAAAGAAUGAUUAUACCGAGGGAAUUCACUCAGAACUAACGAGAAUGAUAACGUGCUCCGACUGGAGCGGUUUAGGAACUGCUGGAAGGCUCUAGGGGAAUAAAGAUGGAAUGACUUCAAAUUUUUAGGUCUGUAUGAUUUGAAAUACUUGCACACAAACCGCAAGAAAGCGUUCCUUGAAAUCUCAGCCCAAAAAAGGACGUUUAGUAAUUCUAAAAGGGACUACAGGAUGAAAAACAAUAGUUCUGGCAGUUAAAGUUUGAGAUUCGAUAAUGUCGUAGAUCCGUUUGGUCAUCAGGUGUAACGAGCCACACCCAUGUCUAGCUAGAGUAGUGUGCUAGGCUCAGAAUAGAGAAGAAACGGGGAACAAACUGAUGAAAGAAUGAUCAUACCGAGGGAAUUCACUCAGAACUAACAAGAAUGAUAACGUGCUCCGACUGGAGCGGUUUAGGAACUGCUGGAAGGCUCUAGGGGAAUAAAGAAGGAAUGACUUCUAAUUUUUAGGUCCGUAUGAUUUGAAAUACGUGCACACAAACCGCGCGAAAGCGUUCCUGGAAAUCUCAGCCAAAAAAAGGACGUUUAGUAUUCUAAAAGGGACUACAGAAUGAAAAACAAUAGUUUUGGCAGUUAAAGUUUGAGAUUCGACGGUGCUGUAGAUCCGUUUGGUCAUCAGGUGUUACGAGCCACACCCAUGUCUAGCUAGAAUAGUGUGCUAGGCUCAGGCUAGAGAAGAAAAGGGGAACAAACUAAUGAAAGAAUGAUCAAUCCGAGGGAAUUCACUCAGAACUAACAAUAAUGAUAACGUGCUCCGACUGGAGCGGUUUAGGAACUGCUGGAAGGCUCUAGGCGAAUAAAGAUGGAAUGACUUCUAAUUUUUACGUCCGUAUGAUUUGAAAUACUUGCACACAAACCACGCAAAAGCGUUCCUGGAAGUCUCGGCCUAAAAAGGACGUUUAGUAAUUCUAAAAGGGACUACAGGAUGAAAAAUAAUAGUUUGGGCAGUUAAAAUUUGAGAUUCGACGGUGCCGUAGAUCCAUUUGGUCAUCAAGUGUUACGAGCCACACCCAUGUCUAGCUAGAAUAGUGUGUUAGGCUCAGGCUAGAGAAGAAACGGGGAACAAACUGAUGAAAGAAUGAUCAUACCAAGGGAAUUCACUCAGAACUAACAAGAAUGAUAACGUGCUCCGACUGGAGCAGUUUAGAAACUGCUGGAAGGCUCUUGGGGAAUAAAGAUGGAAUGACUUCAAAUUUUUAGGUCCGUAUGAUUUGAAAUACUUGCACACAAACCACGCGAAAGCGUUCCUGGAAAUCUCAGCCCAAAAAAGGACGUUUAGUAAUUCUAAAAGGGACUACAUGAUGAAAAACAAUAGUUUUGGCAGUUAAAGUUUGAGAAUCGUCGGUGCCGUAGAUCCGUUUGGUCAUCAGCUGUAACGAGCCACACCCAUGUCUAGCUAGAGUAGUGUGCUAGGCUCAGACUAGAGAAGAAACAGGGAACAAAGUGAUGAAAGAAUGAUCAUACCGAGGGAAUUCACUUAGAACUAACAAGAAUGAUAACAUGCUCCGACUUGAGCGAUUUAGGAACUUCUGGAAGGCUCUAGGGGAAUAAAGAUGGAAUGACUCAAAUUUUUAGGCCCGUAUGAUUUGAAAUACAUGCACACAAACCGCGAGAAAGUGUUCCUGGAAAUCUUAGCCCAAAAAAGGACGUUUAGUAAUUCUAAAAGGGACUACAGGAUGAAAAACAAUAGUUUUGGUAGUUAAAGUUUCAGAUUCGAUAAUGCCCUAGAUCCGUUUGGUCAUCAGGUGUAACGAGCCACACCAAUGUCUAGCUAGAGUAGUGUGCUAGGCUCAGACUAGAUAAGAAACGGGGAAGAAACUGAUGAAAGAAUGAUCAGACCGAGGGAAUUCACUCAGAACUAACAAUAAUGAUAACGUGCUCCGAGUGGAGCGGUUUAGGAACUGCUGGAAGGCUCUAGGGGAAUAAAGAUGGAAUGACUUCUAAUUUUUAGGUCCGUAUGAUUUGAAAUACGUGCACACAAACCCCGAGAAACCGUUCCUUGAAAUCUCGGCCCAAAAAAGGACGUUUAGUAAUUCUAAAAGGGACUACAAAAUGAAAAACAAUAGUUUUGGCAGUUAAAGUUUGAGAUUCGACGGUGUCGUAGACCCGUUUGGUCUUCAGGUGUUACGAGCCACACCCAUGUCUAGCCAGAGUAGUGUGCUAGGUUCAGACUAGAGAAGAAACGGGGAACAAAGUGAUGAAAGAAUGAUCAUACCGAGGGAAUUCACUCAGAACUAACAAGAAUGAUAACGUGCUCCGACUGGAGCGGGUUAGGAACUCCUGGAAGGCUCUAGGGGAAUAAAGAUGGAAUGACUUCUAAUUUUUACGUCCGUAUGAUUUGAAAUACUUGCACACAAACCACGCAAAAGCGUUCCUGGAAAUCUCAGCCUAAAAAAGGACGUUUAGUAAUUCUAAAAGGGACUACAGGAUGAAAAAUAAUAGUUUGGUCAUCAGGUGUUACGAGCCACACCCAUGUCUAGCUAGAAUAGUGUGCUAGGCUCAGGCUAGAGAAGAAACGGGGAAUAAACUGAUGAAAGAAUGAUCAAACCGAGGGAAUUCACUCAGAACUAACAAUAAUGAUAACGUUCUCCGUCUGGAGCGGUUUAGGAACUGCUGGAAGGCUCUAGGGGAAUAAAGAUGGAAUGACUUCUAAUUUUUAGGUCCGUAUGAUACGAAAUACUUGCACACAAACCGCGCGAAAUCGUUCCUGGAAAUCUCAGCCCAAAAAAGGACGUUUAGUAAUUCUAAAAGGGACUACAGCAUGAAAAACAAUAGUUCUGGCAGUUAAAGUUUGAGAUUCGAUAAUGCCGUAGAUCCGUUUGGUCAUCAGGUGUAACGAGCCACACCCAUGUCUAGCUAGAGUAGUAUGCUAGGCUCAGACUAGAGAAGAAACGGGGAACAAACUGAUGAAAGAAUGAUUAUACCGAGGGAAUUCACUCAGAACUAACAAGAAUGAUAACGUGCUCCGGCUGGAGCGGUUUAGGAACUGCUAGAAGGCUCUAGGGGAAUAAAGAUGGAAUGACUUCAAAUUUUUAGGUCUGUAUGAUUUGAAAUACUUGCACACAAACCGCAAGAAAGCGUUCCUGGAAAUCUCAGCCCAAAAAAGGACGUUUAGUAAUUCUAAAAGGGACUAUAGGAUGAAAAACAAUAGUUCUGGUAGUUAAAGUUUGAGAUUCGAUAAUGUCAUAGAUCCGUUCGGUCAUCAGGUGUAACGAGCCACACCCAUGUCUAGCUAGAGUAGUGUGCUAGGCUCAGACUAGAGAAGAAACGGGGAACAAACUGAUGAAAGAAUGAUCAUACCGAGGGAAUUCACUCAGAACUAACAAGAAUGAUAACGUGCUCCGACUGGAGCGGUUUAGGAACUGCUGGAAGGCUCUAGGGGAAGAAAGAAGGAAUGACUUCUAAUUUUUAGGUCCGUAUGAUUUGAAAUACGUGCACACAAACCGCGCGAAAGCGUUCCUGGAAAUCUCAGCCCAAAAAAGGACGUUUAGUAUUCUAAAAGGGACUACAGAAUGAAAAACAAUAGUUUUGGCAGUUAAAGUUUGAGAUUCGACGGUGCCGUAGAUCCGUUUGGUCAUCAGGUGUUACGAGCCACACCCAUGUCUAGCUAGAAUAGUGUGCUAGGCUCAGGCUAGAGAAGAAAAGGGGAACAAACUGAUGAAAGAAUGAUCAAACCGAGGGAAUUCACUCAGAACUAACAAUAAUGAUAACGUGCUCCGACUGGAGCGGUUUAGGAACUGCUGGAAGGCUCUUGGCGAAUAAAGAUGGAAUGACUUCUAAUUUUUACGUCCGUAUGAUUUGAAAUACUUCCACACAAACCAGGCAAAGGCGUUCCUGGAAAUCUCGGCCUAAAAAGGACGUUUAGUAAUUCUAAAAGGGACUACAGGAUGAAAAAUAAUAGUUUGGGCAGUUAAAAUUUUAGAUUCGACGGUGCCGUAGAUCCGUUUGGUCAUCAGGUGUUACGAGCCACACCCAUGUCUAGCUAGAAUAGUGUGUUAGGCUCAGGCUAGAGAAGAAACGGGGAACAAACUGAUGAAAGAAUGAUCAUACCAAGGGAAUUCACUCAGAACUAACAAGAAUGAUAACGUGCUCCGACUGGAGCAGUUUAGAAACUACUGGAAGGCUCUAGGGGAAUAAAGAUGGAAUGACUUCAAAUUUUUAGGUCCGUAUGAUUUGAAAUACUUGCACACAAACCGCGCGAAAGCGUUCCUGGAAAUCUCAGCCCAAAAAAGGACGUUUAGUAAUUCUAAAAGGGACUACAUGAUGAAAAACAAUAGUUUUGGCAGUUAAAGUUUGAGAUUCGUCGGUGCCGUAGAUCCGUUUGGUCAUCAGCUGUAACGAGCCACACCCAUUUCUAGCUAGAGUAGUGUGCUAGGCUCAGACUAAAGAAGAAAUGGGGAACAAAGUGAUGAAAGAAUGCUCAUACCGAGGGAAUUCACUCAGAACUAACAAGAAUGAUAACAUGCUCCGACUUGAGCGAUUUAGGAACUUCUGGAAGGCUCUAGGGGAAUAAAGAUGGAAUGACUCAAAUUUUUAGGUCCGUAUGAUUUGAAAUACUUGCACACAAACCGCGAGAAAGCGUUCCUGGAAAUCUCAGCCCAAAAAAGGACGUUUAGUAAUUCUAAAAGGGACUACAUGAUGAAAAACAAUAGUUUUGGCAGUUAAAGUUUGAGAUUUGAUAAUGCCGUAGAUCCGUUUGGUCAUCAGGUGUAACGAGCCACACCCAUGUCUAGCUAGAGUAGUGUGCUAGGCUAAGACUAGAUAAGAAAAGGGGAAGAAACUUAUGAAAGAAUGAUCAGACCGAGGGAAUUCACUCAGAACUAACAAUAAUGAUAACGUGCUCCGACUGGAGCGGUUUAGGAACUGCUGGAAGGCUCUAGGGGAAUAAAGAUGGAAUGACUUCUAAUUUUUAGGUCCGUAUGAUUUGAAAUACGUGCACACAAACCCCGAGAAACCGUUCCUGGAAAUCUCGGCCCAAAAAAGGAUGUUUAGUAAUUCUAAAAGGGACUACAAAAUGAAAAACAAUAGUUUUGGCAGUUAAAGUUUGAGAUUUGAUGGUGCCGUAGAUCUGUUUGGUCAUCAGGUGUUACGAGCCACACCCAUGUCUAGCUAGAAUAGUGUGUUAGGCUCAGGCUAGAAAAGAAACGGGAAACAAAGUGAUGAAAGAAUGAUCAUACCGAGGGAAUUCACUCAGAACUAACAAGAAUGAUAACAUGCUCUGACUGGAGCGGUUUAGGAACUGCUGGAAGGCUCUAGGGGAAUAAAGAUGGAAUGACUUCUAAUGUUUAGGUCCGUAUGAUUUGAAAUACUUGCACAUAAACCGCGCAAAAGCGUUCCUGGAAAUCUCAGCCCAAAAAAGGACGUUUAGUAAUUCUAAAAGGGACUACAGGAUGAAAAACAAUAGUUUUGGCAGUUAAAGUUUGAGAUUCGACGGUGCCGUAGAUCCGUUUGUUCAUCAGGUGUUACGAGCCACACCCAUGUCUAGCUAGAAUAGUGUGUUAGGCUCAGGCUAGAGAAGAAACGGGGAACAAACUGAUGAAAGAAUGAUCAAACCGAGGGAAUUCACUCAGAACUAACAAUAAUGAUAACGUGCUCCGACUAGAGCGGUUUAGGAACUGCUGGAAGGCUCUAGGGGAAUAAAGAUGGAAUGACUUCUAAUUUUUAGGUCUGUAUGAUUUGAAAUACUUGCACGCAAACCGCGCGAAAGCGUUCCCGGAAAUAUCAGCCUAAAGAAGGACGUUUAGUAAUUCUAAAAGGGACUACAGGAUGAAAAACAAUAGUUUUGGCAGUUAAAGUUUGAGAUUCAACGGUGCCGUAGAUCCGUUUGGUCAUCAGGUGUUACGAGCCACACCCAUGUCUAGCUAGAGUAGUGUGCUAGGCUCAGGCUAGAGAAGAAACAGGGAACAAACUGAUGAAAGAAUGAUCAUACCGAGGGAAUUCACUCAGAACUGAUGAAAGAAUGAUCAAACCAAGGAAAUUCACUCAGAACUAACAAUAAUGAUAACAUGCUCCGACUGGAGCGGUUUAGGAACUGCUGGAAGGCUCUAGGGGAAUAAAGAUGGAAUGACUUCUAAUUUUUAGGUCCGUAUGAUUUGAAAUACGUGCACACAAACCCCGAGAAACCGUUCCUGGAAAUCUCGGCCCAAAAAAGGACGUUUAGUAAUUCUAAAAGGGACAACAAAAUGAAAAACAAUAGUUUUGGCAGUUAAAGUUUGAGAUUCGACGGUGCCGUAGACCCGUUUGGUCAUCAGGUGUUACGAGCCACACCCAUGUCUAGCUAGAGUAGUGUGCUAGGUUCAGACUAGAGAAGAAACGGGGAACAAAGUGAUGAAAGAAUGAUCAUACCGAGGGAAUUCACUCAGAACUAACAAGAAUGAUAACGUGCUCCGACUGGAGCGGGUUAGGAAUUGCUGGAAGGCUCUAGGGGAAUAAAGAUAGAAUGACUUCUAAUUUUUACGUCCGUAUGAUUUGAAAUACUUGCACACAAACCACGCAAAAGCGUUCCUAGAAAUCUCAGCCUAAAAAAGGACGUUUAGUAAUUCUAAAAGGGACUACAGGAUGAAAAAUAAUAGUUUGGCCAGUUAAAAUUUAAGAUUCGACGGUGCCGUAGAUCCGCUUGGUCAUCAGGUGUUACGAGCCACACCCAUGUCUAGCUAGAAUAGUGUGUUAGGCUCAGGCUAGAGAAGAAACGGGGAACAAACUGAUGAAAGAAUGAUCAUACCGAGGGAAUUCACUCAGAACUAACAAGAAUGAUAACAUGCUCCGACUGGAGCGGUUUAGGAACUGCUGGAAGGCUCUAGGGGAAUAAAGAUGGAAUGACUUCUAAUUUUUAGGUCCGUAUGAUUUGAAAUACUUGCACACAAACCGCAAGAAAGCGUUCCUGGAAAUCUCAGCACAAAAAAGGACGUUUAGUAAUUCUAAAAGGGACUACAGCAUGAAAAACAAUAGUUCUGGCAGUUAAAGUUUGAGAUUCGAUAAUGCCGUAGAUCCGUUUGGUCAUCAGGUGUAACGAGCCACACCCAUGUCUAGCUAGAGUAGUGUGCUAGGCUCAGACUAGAGAAGAAACGGGGAACAAAAUGAUGAAAGAAUGAUUAUACCGAGGGAAUUCACUCAGAACUAACAAGAAUGAUAACGUGCUCCGACUGGAGCGGUUUAGGAACUGCUGGAAGGCUCUAGGGGAAUAAAGAUGGAAUGACUUCAAAUUUUUAGGUCUGUAUGAUUUGAAAUACUUGCACACAAACCGCAAGAAAGCGUUCCUGGAAAUCUCAGCCCAAAAAUGGACGUUUAGUAAUUCUAAAAGGGACUAUAGGAUGAAAAACAAUAGUUCUGGCAGUUAAAGUUUGAGAUUCGAUAAUGUCGUAGAUCCGUUCGGUCAUCAGGUGUAACGAGCCACACCCAUGUCUAGCUAGAGUAGUGUGCUAGGCUCAGACUAGAGAAGAAACGGGGAACAAACUGAUGAAAGAAUGAUCAUACCGAGGGAAUUCACUCAGAACUAACAAGAAUGAUAACGUGCUCCGACUGGAGCGGUUUAGGAACUGCUGGAAGGCUCUAGGGGAAGAAAGAAGGAAUGACUUCUAAUUUUUAGGUCCGUAUGAUUUGAAAUACGUGCACACAAACCGCGCGAAAGCGUUCCUGGAAAUCUCAGCCCAAAAAAGGACGUUUAGUAUUCUAAAAGGGACUACAGAAUGAAAAACAAUAGUUUUGGCAGUUAAAGUUUGAGAUUCGACGGUGCCGUAGAUCCGUUUGGUCAUCAGGUGUUACGAGCCACACCCAUGUCUAGCUAGAAUAGUGUGCCAGGCUCAGGCUAGAGAAGAAAAGGGGAACAAACUGAUGAAAGAAUGAUCAAACCGAGGGAUUUCACUCAGAACUAACAAUAAUGAUAACGUGCUCCGACUGGAGCGGUUUAGGAACUGCUGGAAGGCUCUAGGCGAAUAAAGAUGGAAUGACUUCUAAUUUUUACGUCCGUAUGAUUUUAAAUACUUGCACACAAACCACGCAAAAGCGUUCCUGGAAAUCUCGGCCUAAAAAGGACGUUUAGUAAUUCUAAAAGGGACUACAGGAUGAAAAAUAAUAGUUUGGGCAGUUAAAAUUUGAGAUUCGACGGUGCCGUAGAUCCGUUUGGUCAUCAGGUGUUACGAGCCACACCCAUGUCUAGCUAGAAUAGUGUGUUAGGCUCAGGCUAGAGAAGAAACAGGGAACAAACUGAUGAAAGAAUGAUCAUACCAAGGGAAUUCACUCAGAACUAACAAGAAUGAUAACGUGCUCCGACUGGAGCAGUUUAGAAACUGCUGGAAGGCUCUAGGGGAAUAAAGAUGGGAUGACUUCAAAUUUUUAGGUCCGUAUGAUUUGAAAUACUUGCACACAAACCGCGCGAAAGCGUUCCUGGAAAUCGCAGCCCAAAAAAGGACGUUUAGUAAUUCUAAAAGGGACUACAUGAUGAAAAACAAUAGUUUUGGCAGUUAAAGUUUGAGAUUCGUCGGUGCCGUAGAUCCGUUUGGUCAUCAGCUGUAACGAGCCACACCCAUGUCUAGCUAGAGUAGUGUGCUAGGCUCAGACUAGAGAAGAAAUGGGGAAAAAAGUGAUGAAAGAAUGAUCAUACCGAGGGAAUUCACUCAGAACUAACAAGAAUGAUAACAUGCUCCGACAUGAGCGAUUUAGGAACUUCUGGAAGGCUCUAGGGGAAUAAAGAUGGAAUGACUCAAAUUUUUAGGUCCGUAUGAUUUGAAAUACUUGCACACAAACCGCGAGAAAGCGUUCCUGGAAAUCUCAGCCCAAAAAAGGACAUUUAGUAAUUCUAAAAGGGACUACAGGAUGAAAAACAAUAGUUUUGGCAGUUAAAGUUUGAGAUUUGAUAAUGCCGUAGAUCCGUUUGGUCAUCAGGUGUAACGAGCCACACCCAUGUCUAGCUAGAGUAGUGUGCUAGGCUAAGACUAGAUAAGAAACCGGGAAGAAACUAAUGAAAGAAUGAUCAGACCGAGGGAAUUCACUCAGAACUAACAAUAAUGAUAACGUGCUCCGACUGGAGCGGUUUAGGAACUGCUGGAAGGCUCUAGGGGAAUAAAGAUGAAAUGACUUCUAAUUUUUAGGUUCGUAUGAUUUGAAAUACAUGCACACAAACCCCGAGAAACCGUUCCUGGAAAUCUCGGCCCAAAAAAGGAUGUUUAGUAAUUCUAAAAGGGACUACAAAAUGAAAAACAAUAGUUUUGGUAGUUAAAGUUUGAGAUUUGAUGGUGCCAUAGAUCUGUUUGGUCAUCAGGUGUUACGAGCCACACCCAUGUCUAGCUAGAAUAGUGUGUUAGGCUCAGGCUAGAAAAGAAACGGGAAACAAAGUGAUGAAAGAAUGAUCAUACCGAGGGAAUUCACUCAGAACUAACAAGAAUGAUAACAUGCUCUGACUGGAGCGGUUUAGGAACUGCUGGAAGGCUCUAGGGGAAUAAAGAUGGAAUGACUUCUAAUGUUUAGGUCCGAGGUCCGUAUGAUUUGAAAUACUUGCACAUAAACCGUGCAAAAGCGUUCCUGGAAAUCUCAGCCCAAAAAAGGACGUUUAGUAAUUCUAAAAGGGACUACAGGAUGAAAAACAAUAGUUUUGGCAGUUAAAGUUUGAGAUUCGACGGUGCCGUAGAUCCGUUCGUUCAUCAGGUGUUACGAGCCACACCCAUGUCUAGCUAGAAUAGUGUGUUAGGCUCAGGCUAGAGAAGAAACGGGGAACAAACUGAUGAAAGAAUGAUCAAACCGAGGGAAUUCACUCAGAACUAACAAUAAUGAUAACGUGCUCCGACUAGAGCGGUUUAGGAACUGCUGGAAGGCUCUAGGGGAAUAAAGAUGGAAUGACUUCUAAUUUUUAGGUCUGUAUGAUUUGAAAUACUUGCACGCAAACCGCGCGAAAGCGUUCCCGGAAAUAUCAGCCCAAAAAAGGACGUUUAGUAAUUCUAAAAGGGACUACAGGAUGAAAAACAAUAGUUUUGGCAGUUAAAGUUUGAGAUUCAACGGUGCCGUAGAUCCGUUUGGUCAUCAGGUGUUACGAGCCACACCCAUGUCUAGCUAGAGUAGUGUGCUAGGCUCAGGCUAGAGAAGAAACAGGGAACAAACUGAUGAAAGAAUGAUCAUACCGAGGGAAUUCACUCAGAACUGAUGAAAGAAUGAUCAAACCGAGGAAAUUCACUCAGAACUAACAAUAAUGAUAACAUGCUCCGACUGGAGCGGUUUAGGAACUGCUGGAAGGCUCUAGGGGAAUAAAGAUGGAAUGACUUCUAAUUUUUAGGUCCGUAUGAUUUGAAAUACGGGCACACAAACCCCGAGAAACCGUUCCUGGAAAUCUCGGCCCGAAAAAGGACGUUUAGUAAUUCUAAAAGGGACUACAAAAUGAAAAACAAUAGUUUUGGCAGUUAAAGUUUGAGAUUCGACGGUGCCGUAGACCCGUUCGGUCAUCAGGUGUAACGAGCCACACCCAUGUCUAGCUAGAGUAGUGUGCUAGGCUCAGACUAGAGAAGAAACGGGGAACAAACUGAUGAAAGAAUGAUCAUACCGAGGGAAUUCACUCAGAACUAACAAGAAUGAUAACGUGCUCCGACUGGAGCGGUUUAGGAACUGCUAGAAGGCUCUAGGGGAAGAAAGAAGGAAUGACUUCUAAUUUUUAGGUCUGUAUGAUUUGAAAUACGUGCACACAAACCGCGCGAAAGCGUUCCUGGAAAUCUCAGCCCAAAAAAGGACGUUUAGUAUUCUAAAAGGGACUACAGAAUGAAAAACAAUAGUUUUAGCAGUUAAAGUUUGAGAUUCGACGGUGCCGUAGAUCCGUCUGGUCAUCAGGUGUUACGAGCCACACCCAUGUCUAGCUAGAAUAGUGUGCUAGGCUCAGGCUAGAGAAGAAAAGGGGAACAAACUGAUGAAAGAAUGAUCAAACCGAGGGAAUUCACUCAGAACUAACAAUAAUGAUAACGUGCUCCGACUGGAGCGGUUUAGGAACUGCUGGAAGGCUCUAGGCGAAUAAAGAUGGAAUGACUUCUAAUUUUUACGUCCGUAUGAUUUGAAAUACUUGCACACAAACCACGCAAAAGCGUUCCUGGAAAUCUCGGCCUAAAAAGGACGUUUAGUAAUUCUAAAAGGGACUACAGGAUGAAAAAUAAUAGUUUGGGCAGUUAAAAUUUGAGAUUCGACGGUGCCGUAGAUCCGUUUGGUCAUCAGGUGUUACGAGCCACACCCAUCUCUAGCUAGAAUAGUGUGUUAGGCUCAGGCUAGAGAAGAAACGGGGAACAAACUGAUGAAAGAAUGAUCAUACCAAGGGAAUUCACUCAGAACUAACAAGAAUGAUAACGUGCUCCGACUGGAGCAGUUUAGAAACUCCUGGAAGGCUCUAGGGGAGUAAAGAUGGAAUGACUUCAAAUUUUUAGGUCCGUAUGAUUUGAAAUACUUGCACACAAACCGCGCGAAAGCGUUCCUGGAAAUCUCAGCCCAAAAAAGGACGUUUAGUAAUUCUAAAAGGGACUACAUGAUGAAAAACAAUAGUUUUGGCAGUUAAAGUUUGAGAUUCGUCGGUGCCGUAGAUCCGUUUGGUCAUCAGCUGUAACGAGCCACACCCAUGUCUAGCUAGAGUAGUGUGCUAGGCUCAGACUAGAGAAGAAAUGGGGAACAAAGUGAUGAAAGAAUGAUCAUACCGAGGGAAUUCACUCAGAACUAACAAGAAUGAUAACAUGCUCCGACUUGAGCGAUUUAGGAACUUCUGGAAGGCUCUAGGGGAAUAAAGAUGGAAUGACUCAAAUUUUUAGGUCCGUAUGAUUUGAAAUACUUGCACACAAACCGCGAGAAAGCGUUCCUGGAAAUCUCAGCCCAAAAAAGGACGUUUAGUAAUUCUAAAAGGGACUACAGGAUGAAAAACAAUAGUUUUGGCAGUUAAAGUUUGAGAUUCGAUAAUGUCGUAGAUCCGUUUGGUCAUCAGGUGUAACGAGCCACACCCAUGCCUAGCUAGAGUAGUGUGCUAGGCUAAGACUAGAUAAGAAACGGGGAAGAAACUGAUGAAAGAAUGAUCAGACCGAGGGAAUUCACUCAGAACUAACAAUAAUGAUAACGUGCUCCGACUGGAGCGGUUUAGGAACUGCUAGAAGGCUCUAGGGGAAUAAAGAUGGAAUGACUUCUAAUUUUUAGGUCCGUAUGAUUUGAAAUACGUGCACACAAACCCCGAGAAACCGUUCCUGGAAAUCUCGGCCCAAAAAAGUAUGUUUAGUAAUUCUAAAAGGGACUACAAAAUGAAAAACAAUAGUUUUGGCAGUUAAAGUUUGAGAUUUGAUGGUGCCGUAGAUCUGUUAGGUCAUCAGGUGUUACGAGCCACACCCAUGUCUAGCUAGAAUAGUGUGUUAGGCUCAGGCUAGAAAAGAAACGGGAAACAAAGUGAUGAAAGAAUGAUCAUACCGAGGGAAUUCACUCAGAACUAACAAGAAUGAUAACAUGCUCUGACUGGAGCGGUUUAGGAACUGCUGGAAGGCUCUAGGGGAAUAAAGAUGGAAUGACUUCUAAUGUUUAGGUCCGUAUGAUUUGAAAUACUUGCACAUAAACCGCGCAAAAGCGUUCCUGGAAAUCUCAGCCCAAAAAGGACGUUUAGUAAUUCUAGAAGGGACUACAGGAUGAAAAACAAUAGUUUUGGCAGUUAAAGUUUGAGAUUCGACGGUGCCGUAGAUCCGUUUGUUCAUCAGGUGUUACGAGCCACACCCAUGUCUAGCUAGAAUAGUGUGUUAGGCUCAGGCUAGAGAAGAAACGGGGAACAAACUGAUGAAAGAAUGAUCAAACCGAGGGAAUUCACUCAGAACUAACAAUAAUGAUAACGUGCUCCGACUAGAGCGGUUUAGGAACUGCUGGAAGGCUCUAGGGGAAUAAAGAUGGAAUGACUUCUAAUUUUUAGGUCUGUAUGAUUUGAAAUACUUGCACGCAAACCGCGCGAAAGCAUUCCCGGAAAUAUCAGCCCAAAAAAGGACGUUUAGUAAUUCUAAAAGGGACUACAGGAUGAAAAAGAAUAGUUUUGGCAGUUAAAGUUUGAGAUUCAACGGUGCCGUAGAUCCGUUUGGUCAUCAGGUGUUACAAGCCACACCCAUGUCUAGCUAGAGUAGUGUGCUAGGCUCAGGCUAGAGAAGAAACAGGGAUAAAACUGAUGAAAGAAUGAUCAUACCGAGGGAAUUCACUCAGAACUGAUGAAAGAAUGAUCAAUCCGAGGGAAUUCACUCAGAACUAACAAUAAUGAUAACGUGCUCCGAUUGGAGCGGUUUAGGAACUGCUGGAAGGCUCUAGGGGAAUAAAGAUGGAAUGACUUCUAAUUUUUAGGUCCGUAUGAUUUGAAAUACUUGCACACAAACCGCAAGAAAGCGUUCCUAGAAAUCUCAGCCCAAAAAAGGACGUUUAGUAAUUCUAAAAGGGACUACAGGAUGAAAAACAAUAGUUUUGGCAGUUAAAGUUUGAGAUUCGAUGGUGCCCUAGAUCCGUUUGGUCAUCAGGUGUUACGAGCCACACCCAUGUCUAGCUAGAAUAGUGUGUUAGGCUCAGGCUAGAGAAGAAACGGGGAACAAACUGAUGAAAGAAUGAUCAUACGGAGGGAAUUCACUCAGAACUAAGAAGAAUGAUAACGUGCUCCGACUGGAGCGGUUUAGGAACUGGUGGAAGUCUCUAGGGGAAUAAAGAUGGAAUGACUUCUAAUUUUUAGGUCUGUAUGAUUUGAAAUACUUGCGCACAAACCGCGCGAAAGCGUUCCUGGAAAUAUCAGCCUAAAAAAGGAUGUUUAGUAAUUCUAAAAGGGACUACAGGAUGAAAAACAAUAGUUUUGGAAGUUAAAGUUUGAGAUUCGACAGUGUCGUAGAUCCGUUUGGUCAUCAGGUGUUACGAGCCACACCCACGUCUAGCUAGAGUAGUGUGUUAGGCUCAGGCUAGAGAUUAAACGGGGAACAAACUGAUGAAAGAAUGAUCAAACCGAGGGAAUUCACUCACAAUAAAGAUGGAACUUCUUUCUUCCCCUAGAGCCUUCCAGCAGUUCCUAAACCGCUCCAGUCGGAGCACGUUAUCAUUCUUGUUAGUUCUGAGUGAAUUCCCUCGGUAUGAUCAUUCUUUCAUCAGUUUGUUCCCCGUUUCUUCUCUAGUCUGAGCCUAGCACACUACUCUAGCUAGACAUGGGUGUGGCUCGUUACACCUGAUGACCAAACGGAUCUACGACAUUAUCGAAUCUCAAACUUUAACUGCCAGAACUAUUGUUUUCCAUCCUGUAGUCCCUUUUAGAAUUACUAAACGUCCUUUUUUGGGCUGAGAUUUCCAGGAACGCUUUCUUGCGGUUUGUGUGCAAGUAUUUCAAAUCAUACGGACCUAAAAAUUAGAAGUCAUUCCAUCUUUAUUCCCCUAGAGCCUUCCUGCAGUUCCUAAACCGCUCCAGUCGGAGCGUGUUAUCAUUAUUGUUAGUUCUGAGUGAAUUCCCUCGGUUUGAUCAUUCUUUCAUCAGUUUGUUCCCCGUUUAAUCUCUAGCCUGAGCCUAACACACUACUCUAGCUAGACGUGUGUGUGGCUCGUAACACCUGAUGACCAAACGGAUCUACGGCACCGUCGAAUCUCAAACUUUAACUUCCAAAACUAUUGUUUUUCAUCCUGUAGUCCCUUUCAAAAUUACUAAACGUCCUUUUUUGGGCUGAGAUUUCCAGGAACGCUUUCGCGCGGUUUGUGUGCAAGUAUUUCAAAUCAUACAGACCUAAAAAUUAGAAAUCAUUCCAUCUUUAUUCCCCUAGAGACUUCCACAAGUUCCUAAACCGCUCCAGUCGGAGCACGUUAUCAUUCUUCUUAGUUCUGAGUGAAUUCCCUCCGUAUGAUCAUUCUUUCAUCAGUUUGUUCCCCGUUUCUUCUCUAGCCUGAGCCUAACACACUAUUCUAGCUAGACAUGGGUGUGGCUCGUAACACCUGAUGACCAAACGGAUCUAGGGCACCAUCGAAUCUCAAACUUUAACUGCCAAAACUAUUGUUUUUCAUCCUGUAGUCCCUUUUAGAAUUACUAAACGUCCUUUUUUGGGCUGAGAUUUCUAGGAACGCUUUCGCGCGGUUUGUGUGCAAGUAUUUCAAAUCAUACGGACCUAAAAAUUAGAAGUCAUUCCAUCUUUAUUCCCCUAGAGCCUUCCAGCAGUUCCUAAACCGCUCCAAUCGGAGCACGUUAUUAUUAUUGUUAGUUCUGAGUGAAUUCCCUCGGUUUGAUCAUUCUUUCAUCAGUUUGUUCCCCGUUUCUUCUCUAGCCCGAGCCUAAUACACUAUUCUAGCUAGACAUGGGUGUGGCUUGUAACUUCUGAUGACCAAACGGAUCUACGGCACCAUCAAAUCUCAAACUUUAAAUGCCAAAACUAUUGUUUUUCAUUCUGUAGUCCCUUUUAGAAUUACUAAACGUCCUUUUUUGGGCCGAGAUUUCUAGGAACGCUUUCUCGGGGUUUGUGUGCACGUAUUUCAAAUCAUACAGACCUAAAAAUUAGAAGUCAUUCCUGUAGGGUUUCGUAGUAAUUUCAAAAAAUUUCCUACGCACACACAGGAUCAUGUGAUGCAUAGCAACGAGGGGAGAGUAUUGUCUACGUACCCAACGCAGACCGACUGCGGAAGCGAUGACACGACGUAGAGGAAGUAGUCGUACGUCUUCACGAUCCAACCGAUCAAGUACCGAAACUACGGCACCUCCGAGUUCGAGCACACGUUCAGCUCGAUGACGAUCCCCGGACUCCGAUCCAGCAAAGUGUUGGGGAAGAGUUUCGUCAGCACGACGGCGUGGUGACGAUCUUGAUGAACUACAGCAGCAGGGCUUCGCCUAAACUCCGCUACAGUAUUAUCGAGGAAUAUGGUGGCAGGGGGCACCGCACACGGCUAAGGAAUAGAUCACGUGGAUCAACUUGUGUCAACUUGUGUGUUUGGGGUGCCUCUACCUCAGUAUAUAAAGGAGCCAAGGGGGGAGGGGGCGCCGGCCAAGAGAGAGAGGCGCAGGAGGAGUCCUACUCCUACCGGGAGUAGGACUCCCCCCCCAAUCCUAUUCCAACUAGGAUUCCCAAGGGGGAAAGAGGAUGAGGGGUGGCCGGCCACCUCUCCUAGUCCUAAUAGGACUAGGGGAAGGGGGGAGGCGCGCAUCCCCCUUGGUCUGCCCCUUUCUCCUUUCCACUAAGGCCCAUGAUGGCCCAUAUGGCUCCCGGGGGGUUCCGGUAACCUCCCGGUAACCCGGUAAAAUCCCGAUUUCACCCGGAACACUUCCGAUGUCCAAACAUAGGCUUCCAAUAUAUCAAUCUUUAUGUCUCGACCAUUUCGAGACUCCUCGUCAUGUCCGUGAUCACAUCCGGGACUCCGACCAACCUUCGGUACAUCAAAAUGCAUAAACUCAUAAUAUAACUGUCAUCGUAACCUUAAGCGUGCGGACCCUACGGGUUCGAGAACAAUGUAGACAUGACCGAGACACGUCUCUGGUCAAUAACCAAUAGCGGGACCUGGAUGCCCAUAUUGGCUCCUACAUAUUCUACGAAGAUCUUUAUCGGUUAGACCGCAUAACAACAUACGUUGUUCCCUUUGUCAUCGGUAUGUUACUUGCCCGAGAUUCGAUCGUCGGUAUCCAAUACCUAGUUCAAUCUCGUUACCGGCAAGUCUCUUUACUCGUUCCGUAAUACAUCAUCUCACAACUAACAUAUUAGUUGUAAUUCUUGCAAGGCUUAUGUGAUGUGUAUUACCGAGAGGGCCCAGAGAUACCUCUCCGACAAUCGGAGUGACAAAUCCUAAUCUCGAAAUACGCCAACCCAACAUCGACCAUUGGAGACACAUGUAGUACUCCUUUAUAAUCACCCAGUUACGUUGUGACGUUUGGUAGUACCCAAAGUGUUCCUCCGGUAAACGGGAGUUGCAUAAUCUCAUAGUCAUAGGAACAUGUAUAAGUCAUGAAGAAAGCAAUAGCAACAUACUAAACGAUCGGGUGCUAAGCUAAUGGAAUGGGUCAUGUCAAUCAGAUCAUUCUGCUAAUGAUGUGACCUCGUUAAUCAAAUAACAACUCAUUGUUCAUGGUUAGGAAACAUAACCAUCUUUGAUUAACGAGCUAGUCAAGUAGAGGCAUACUAGUGACACUUUGUUUGUCUAUGUAUUCACACAUGUAUUAUGUUUCCGGUAAAUACAAUUCUAGCAUGAAUAAUAAACAUUUAUCAUGAUUAUAAGGAAAUAAAUAAUAACAUUAUUAUUGCCUCUAGGGCAUAUUUCCUUCAAUUCCAUCUUUAUUCCCCUAGACCCUUCCAGCAGUUCCUAAACCGCUCCAGUCGGAGCACGUUAUCAUUCUUGUUAGUUCUGAGUGAAUUCCCUCGGUAUGAUCAUUCUUUCAUCAGUUUGUUCCCCAUUUCUUCUCUAGCCUGAGACUAACACACUAUUCUAGGUAGACAUGGGUGUGGCUCGUAACACCUGCUGACCAAACAGAUCUACGGCACCAUUGAAUCUCAAACUUUAACUGCCAAAACUAUUGUUUUUCAUCCUGUAGUCCCUUUUAGAAUUAUUAAACAUCCUUUUUUCGGCCGAGAUUUCCAGGAACGCUUUCUCGGGGUUUGUGUGCACGUAUUUCAAAUCAUACGGACCUAAAAUUAGAAUUCAUUCCAUCUUUAUUCCCCUAGAGCCUUCCAGCAUUUCCUAAACCGCUCCAGUCGGAGCACGUUAUCAUUCUUGUUAGUUCUGAGUGAAUUCCCUCGGUAUGAUCAUUCUUUCAUCAGUUUGUUCCCCGUUUCUUCUCUAGUCUGAGCCUAGCACACUACUCUAGCUAGACAUGGGUGUGGCUCGUUACACCUGAUGACCAAACGGAUCUACGGCACCGUCGAAUCUCAAACUUUAACUGCCAAAACUAUUGUUUUUCAUCCUGUUGUCCCUUAUAGAAUUACUAAACGUCCUUUUUGGGAUGAGAUUUCCAGGAACGCUUUCGUGUGGUUUGUGUGCAAGUAUUUCAAAUCACACGAACGUAAAAAUUUGAAGUCAUUCCAUCUUUAUUCCCCUAGAUCCUUCCAGCAGUUCCUAAACCGCUCCAGUCGGAGCACGUUAUCAUUCUUGUUAGUUCUGAGUGAAUUCCCUCGGUAUGAUCAUUCUUUCAUCAGUUUGCUCCCCAUUUCUUCUCUAGCCUAAGCCUAGCACACUACUCUAGCUAGACAUGGGUGUGGCUCAUAACACCUGAUGACCAAACGGAUCUACGGCACCUUCGAAUCUCAAACUUUAACUGCCAAAACUAUUGUUUUUCAUCCUGUAGUCCCUUUUAGAAUUAAUAACGUCCUUUUUUGGGCUGAGAUUUCUAGGAACGCUUUCGUGCAGUUUGUGUGCAAGUAUUUCAAA